rnacentral:lncRNA from 1 species
UAGAGUCUCAAAGUUAAAAUCAGUGAAACCAUCAAAGGCAUUUUCACCUCUUGAUUUGAGCAAGCGUUUGUGAUUGUAUUCGGUGUUAACAAAGGUUAUGUGAAAGCCUCGAAGGUGAAGAAGCUUAGCUAGUUUGAACAAUGGAUUGAUAUGGCCUUGAGUUGGAUAUGGAAUCAACACAGCAUGUGGUUUUCUCUUUGCAAAAUUACUCAUCUUUGAUCAGUCUAUGAUAUGUCAUAAAACUAUACAAAAGAUAAAACAGGUUACGUAAUGUUACAUAUUUUGGUUUUUGUAUGUUUUGCAACAAGUAACACGAGGAACAUUUUUUUAUAAUUAAAAUAAUGGAGCGGCAAAUAGUACGCCUCUUCUAUCCGUAUAGAUAAAUCAAUAGCAAGUGGUCCACAUUUAUUAAUACAUGUCUCUUUGUCUGAAUAUGUUUUCAAAUGAAUCAUAGUUUCAAAUGAAUCAUCAAUAUCAUUCUAGUCCUUGCAAAUAUCACCUAAGCGCCAUGUAAAUUUUCCAAAAAUGCCCUUGUGUAUUCCGGAUUUUAAAAUCCGGAUUCAUGUUUACUAUUUCGAAUUUUAUAAUCCGGACAAUUCUUAUGUAUAAUCAGCCAUCAGACUCUCACAUUUCAGCAAUUUUGAGUUUUGUUUUUAAAAACAACAAAAAAACUAAGUAAAAAAAAUGCUAAAAGCCUGUCAAAUAAAAUCAUAAAAAUAGAAACAUAAAAUUCUAAAAAUCAAAUAAAACUAAUGCAAAUUUUUCCGAAUUUUUCUGAGAAUAUGAAAAAUUAAAAAAAAUGAAAAAUGGGUCUAAACGAUGGAAUUUUGGAUUUUGAGGGGCGGAGUCCCUUAAGAAGUCUCUUCUGUGGGAGUCAUGGUCCUUGAAUUGUUUCUGAUUUUCUGCGGAAGUUUCGGAGCAAUCCAAUCAAGUAGCCCGAAAACCCGAUUUUUGACUAAGAACAUGUAACAAUGACCCAAAACAGAAGGAUGAAAGUUAGGAAGAUUAAUAUUGUCCCUAAAAUGACUAUCCAUAUUACAAACAUGUUUAGAAUUUGUGCUGAUACAGUUCAGAUUAUAUAAUCCGAACUGUUUUACCUUGAAAAAAGUUGUUUAGGGGAUUUCCGGAUUAUAUAAUCCGGAAACAUCAUGUAACACGCCCUAAUUUUUGAAAUUUCUGGAUUAUAAAAUCCGGAAAAAUCCGUUACUCAUUUUUUCACCCUCUAACAAAAGAAAACACCAUUCUGGAUUAUAAAAUCCGGAAACUUAAGGACAUUUUUGGAAAAAUAGGGCGCGCGAGGAAACCCACAGGGUGGGAAAAGUAACUCCCUAAAAUCUUACAACUUCAUAUUUUUAGGCCCCUUAAAUUAAAGCCCAAAAUAUUAAGAUCCAAGUCCAACGAGAUUUUAGGAUCCAUCAGCAGCCACUUUCUUGCAUGAAAUGUGCAUGGCUUCUUACAUGAGAUUGCACAUGGCACUUUGAGUGAAAUUACACUUGGAUGAUUGCAUGAAUAACACAUGUCCUUGUUGCGUGUAGCUCUCUUGCCGCAUGACUUAAUGCAUGUAACUCUCUUGCCACUAGGCUUAAUGCAUAUAAUUCUUCAUUUUCAUUCUCCUAUAGAUAAGAGUUUCUAAUGUAACUUCAUCAUUCAAGUUUUAUAAAGUGAGUGUUCAUCAAAACCGACCAUCUAUUUGUUCUUGUCCGGUUGUUGUAAACCAUUUUUUCAAAGAUUAAUGAUAUUUGUAGACAACUCUCAUUUUUUCUCUUCUUAUUGGUCAAAAUAAUAGAGAGAGACGGCAAAAAGUUAAGAAGAUAAUGUGAAAAUGAAAGAGAUAGUUGCUUUAAAGUUAUACAAAAAUAAUUGUAUAAAUAUGAUUUCUCUUUUUCAAAUUAAUUGGUUUUGAAAAAAAAUACAAAAAUGUCCUACAUUGAAACAUGAAUACCAAAAUAACUUGUUGUAGAUUGUUUCCUUCGUCAUGGCAGUGAGGUUACCAUGAAGAAUUUGUAAACAGUUUGAAGGCGAAGGAGUUUAUAAAAACGUGAAACCGAAAAAUCACAAGAUGGAAGAGGAAAGGAGAUGCAACAGUCAUUGUGUAAAUGGUGAAACACUGAAAGGUUAAUGACAAAUGCAAUAAAAAAUAAUGUUUUAAUAUUGGCAAAUUCUAUGGUACACCUAAUAUAUUUGAGUGUACCGGUACACCCACUCUUUAAAUUAAUAGUUAAAUAAGUUAUUUUUUGAAGAAAAAUAUUAUUUUUUAUCAUUUAUAAUUAUAAUAACUAAAUCUUAUUCAUAAAAAAUGUCAACAAAAUAAAAUUACUAUUUUUUGAAUUUUUAUCACUCAUAAUCGAGAACAUUCAUUAUUUUUUAUGAUAAUAUGUAAAAAUAAUUACUAUAAUUCUUAUAAACAAUGAAAUGAUGUUUUUUCUUAUGAAAUAAUGUUCUAUAAAAUAUAAAUAUUGAAAAUAGCUAUUUAUUACAUAAAAAAUAUCGUUAAUUUAUAAAAUUAUGAAGCAGGAGUACCGGUACACCUCACUUUGUGAGUGUACCGUAGAAGUUCCCUUUAAUAUUUAGUAUUUUUAAAAAAUUCAACAGAUGACAGAAAAAUAUCAGUUAUUUCUUGUCAAAAAAAAAAUAUCAGUUAUUAAAUUUUGACAGCUUAUACAACGAUUAUAUAACGUACACUUUGCAAAAUAGACAACACUUUUUUUUAAGCAACUUUUAUAUAAUCAUUGUUGAUAUAUACAUUUGAAAAAAAAAAAAAAGGAACCUAUCUUCGUCAUUUGGAAUGGCGACGCUCUUCCAAUCAUUUCCUAAUCCUCGCUAAUCCAAAUUGCAAGGUCCAGCUAGUUUCCAAAAAGUAAAAGAUUUUGGUAUUUAGUUCUUAAUGUAGGGCAUUUUUGUAAUUUUUUAGGGUUAAAUAUGUUUUUAGUCCUUACAUUUUACGCCUAUUUGAAGAAUAGUCCCUACAUUUCAUUAAAUGUUUUUAAAAUCCUCCAUAUUUUAUCUCGGUUAUCAAAAUUAGCUGCCGUUAAUUCUCGUAAAGAUCAUAUUUUGAGAGAGAGAAAACAUAUAAUAUUUUUGCUCAAGAAAGAUCAAAUGCCAAGAAAGUUGCUUACCGACGAUAAGUAUAGUACAUAUUUGACUAUAUGAGGUCAGUGUACAAGUAUCAUACAAUAUGAUUGAAUCCAUUUAGAUUGGUCCGGUGACGUUGGUUUAGGACCUUCAAUUAUGCUCUCUAUAGGUUAUUGUGUUCGAUUUUCCCUAUCGUCAAUUUCGGUGAAUUAAUUUAGUUUCUUAAAAAAACAUAAAGUGGAAGUGAUUAGAAAGACACAUAAUUUAUUAUUAAUAUUGUAAUGUAUUCUUGAAAUGUAUGAGGCAGCCUCUGGACAAGUUAUUAGCCUUCCAAAGUCUGAAGUUUAUUAUAGUAGAAGUCUUCCGAUCCCUACACAAGAGUCCAUCACGGCAAUCCUUGGUGUUGGUGCCGUUAUGGGAACUUGGAAGUAUCUGCCUUCCAUGAUUGGCCGAAGCAAAGAAGCCACCUUCGGCUUUAUUAAAGACUGUGUUUGGCAUAAAAUCAAUUUUUGGAGUAGCAAAUGUCUUUCCAAAGUAGGCAGAGAAGUUCUUAUUAAAUCGGUACUCCAAUCCAUUCCUUCUUAUGUUAUGAGUAUUUAUUUGUUGCCAAACAGAUUAGUCGAUGCUAUAGAAAAAUGAUUAAUGCAUUUUGGUGGGGAAAUGGCGGUUCUACUAGAUGAAGUUUGCAUUGACUUUCUUGGGAAAGGUUAUCUGUUCAUAAAAAUUAUGGUGGAAUGAGAUUUAAAGAUCUUACGUCCUUUAAUGUAGCAAUGCUAGGUAAAUAGGGUUGGAAGUUUCAAACAGAUUCAGAUAGUCUUGUGUCACGUUUGUUUAAGGCGCGCUAUAUUCCUCAUACUGAUUUUCUGAUUUGUCGAAUUGGUGCUAAUCCUAGUUAUGUGUGGCGUAGUAUUUUUAGUGCUAAAAUAGAUGUCCAACAUGGUGCUAGAUGGAGGAUUGGAACGGGUGCUAAUAUUCCUUUGUUUGGUGCACCGUGGCUCAAAGAUGGGCGAUCUUUUACAACAAAUUGUCCUAUGUAUGAAUCUCUUUCUCAUGUUAAAGUACAGAAUAUUAUCGAGCCAACGACAAAGGUUUGGAGCACCACUCUUAUAUCUUCUCCUUUUCGUUAUAAUACUAUCCAGAUUAUUUUGAAUACUACUCUUCAUCCACUUGUUAGCGAAAACAAAUUAGUGCGAAAGGCUGAGAAAAAUGGUAAUUAUUCUGUCCGUAAUGCAUAUCGUAUUUGUGUAACUGACAUUGCAGAUAAUUUCCAUUUACAUGUGUCGGGGAGAUGGAAUUUGAUUUGGAAGCUUAAAGUUCCUCCCAAGAUCAAAAACUUUGUGUGGCGUAAGUGUCAGGGAUGUUUCCUGAUGACAUCUCGUCAUUACGUAAUUUUAUAUGUAUUUUGAUCACAAAUUGGAGUUCACAAGGAAUCUUAUGCAGCAAAAAGAGCAGAAAAUGUGUCAUGAUUUGGAACAAACGUGACACGAUUUUAGAAACCAAAACAUGCUUUCAAUAUUGAGGAAAACGUGUCACGAUGGCAAAAACGUGACACGAUUUGAGGAAACCCUAAUUUAGCUUUUUGUUAUUCAGAGGAAACCAUGUCACGAUUAACUUAAAACGCGACACGAUUUUGGGCGAAUUUCUAUGCCUAUUUAAGCUGAAGUCUAUUCCAAAGACAAGCGUUACAAUUUGAAGAGAGCAAAGUGCGAUUUUGAGACUACAAGAUGGCUAGGAGGGCGAUUUCUUCAUCCUUUUACCUGUUCAUGUAUGUAUUGAUUCCUCUAAUGAUUAUGUUAUUUGUAAACACCAUUAUGACUAGCUAAAUCCAUUAGAGGUUAGGUCUGAGAUGAUUCUUUAUAACCUUAAUUGAACCAUGUUGCUGUGAAACUCUAUUUAUUGUGAAUGACAAUAUAGUUUUUAUUCAAUUCAAUUGUUCUUAAUACUUUUUAUCUCGUGAUCAAAUAUAAACAUGAUUUAGUGAGAACGAAUGACUACUGACCCUAGCUUUCGACUUAGACUGAAUUGAAUUGUUCUAAUAAACAUGGUUAGUCUAGGAAUGAAUAAUCAUUUAUUAGUGAUAUUAGGUUAACAUGCUUAAACCUUCAAAAGUUAGUAGACCACCUAAGGAAUUAGGGGCUACAAGUAACCCUAGAAGAGGGUCCGAACUCAAUGGAUUGAUUAUGACUAUUUUGUUAAUUAUCGUGGAACUAAUGAAUCAUUCAUAAGAAUAGGUGCAGUAUACCAAUUAGGGGAACAUAGAUGAUUCGAAAGACCUAAACUCAUCUCUCUCUUAUUCUUAAAACCAACUUUACUUUAUUUCGUUAAUUUUAUGCAAUCAAACCAAUCAACUGCCUAGUGGCAAAUAAAAAUAACUUUUGUACAUCCUAACUUACAACGUAAUUGAAUUAUUGAAAUUAAAAUCAGUCCUUGUGGGAACGAUAUUUUUACUACUUCGAUAGUAUUCGGUACACUUGCGAAACGUCUAUCAUUUCCCAACACGCACACGCCUUAGCAGCCGAGGAGUGCAUUGUUCCACACAGUCUGUUCUUUGUGGUAGUAACUAUGAAGAUAAGAUUCAUGUGUUGUUGGAAUGCCCAGGUGCAAGGAAAGCUUGGCGUGAGGUUCAAUUAUGGGACACGAUUGACAAAACUCUCCGAAAAAAUUAUAAUAUGGAUACACUUAUUUUUACUCUUCUUGAUCAACUGCCUUUGGUCCAAAGAGAAUUAGUUUUCAGAACUCUCAUGUCGAGUUCAAUAGGAGGCAAGCCAAUGGGGUCGCUAAUGAAUUAGCUAGGGUAGCCCCAUCUCAUACUAGCUCCCAUGUUUAUGAUAAUGUACCGUCAUGUAUUUCUUCUUUGAUUGAUAAUGAGAAGCAAUGAAUUUCUCCUUUCAAAAAAAAAAAAAAUAUAUAUUUUAAUGUAUAUAUUCUAUCCACACCAGUCUUGGAGGAGUUUACUAUGGUCGGUCCAUUACAUUGUACCGUUACAUGACAAAACUUAUACAACCAAAAUAACUAUAUUUAAAACUAUGUAACGAGAAACACUCCAAUCUGUUUACUUGUCUUGUUCUAUUUCCUUUGUAGUUUUCUUGCAUAUCAUAUAUUGUAAUAUUCCAUUUGUUUCUAUUAAAGAAAAUACUCAUCCUUAGAAUACUUUAACAUUGCACAAGAAAAUUAUCAGAAAUGAGUAAUUCUGCAAGCAGAAAACCACAUGCUGUGUUGAUUCCAUAUCCACUUCAAGGCCAUAUCAAUCCAAUGUUCAGAUUAGCAAAACUACUUCACCUUAGAGGCUUUCACAUAACCUUUGUUAACACCGAAUACAAUCACAAACGUUUGCUCAAAUCAAGAGGUCCUAAUGCUUUUGAUGGUUUCACCGAUUUUCGCUUUGAGACUAUUCCUGAUGGUUUAACUCCAAUGGAUGGCGAUGGUGGUGAUGCUACUCAAGACUUGAUAUCUCUUCGCGAAUCAAUCAGAAAGAAUUGCAUCGAACCUUUUCGCGAACUUUUAGCUAAACUUAAUGACUCUGCAAAAGCCGGUCUUAUACCUUUUGUUACUUGCUUAGUUUCUGAUUGUAUUAUGCCAUUUACUACACAAGUUGCUGAAGAACUUGCACUCCCAAUAGUGAUCUUUUUCCCGUCAAGUGCUUGUUCUUUCCUGUCUAUUUUACACUUUCGUGCACUUAUUGAGAAAGGUCUCAUACCACUCAAAGGUAACAGUUUGUGUUCCUUUUCUUAUUAUUUAAGAGAGAUGUGUGUGUACAUAUCAAGGUUUUGAAAACAAGGUCUGCAACCGCGAUCUAGGCUGAGCAUAAAGAUUGCGACGUCUUUAUGAUCGUAUAUGAGGCUGCAUUAGGCUUAUUUGGUUGCGAUUAUGAUUCAUAUAAAAAUAGCGACAUCAUAGAGAUGAUUAUUGCGACCAAGAUUGAAAACCUUGAUAUUUAUAUAUUUCUGCUAUUUACUUUUGCAAUUAUGAUAUGCAGAUGAGAGUUAUUUGACAAAUGGAUAUUUGGACACUAAAGUUGACUGGAUUCCAGGUUUGCGAAACUUUAGACUGAAGGACCUUCCUGAUUUUAUACGGACAACAGAUGCUAAUGAUUUGAUGUUAGAAUUUAUCUUUGAAAUGGUAGAUAGACUUCAUAGAGCUUCUGCUAUUUUUUUAAAUACUUCUAAUGAUCUUGAGAGUGAUGUUAUGAAUGCUCUUUAUUCUAUGCUCCCUUCUCUAUACACCAUUGGCCCAUUUGCUUCGUUUUUGAAUCAAAGUCCACAAAAUCACUUGGAAUCUUUAGGUUCCAAUCUUUGGAAAGAAGAUACUAAAUGUCUUGAAUGGCUUGAAUCAAAAGAAUCAGGAUCUGUUGUUUAUGUUAAUUUUGGUAGCAUCACGAUUAUGUCUCCGGAGAAAUUGUUAGAGUUUGCUUGGGGUUUGGCCAAUAGCAAGAAAACCUUUUUAUGGAUCAUUAGGCCUGAUCUUGUCAUUGGUGGCUCAGUGGUUUUGUCGUCUGAGUUUGUGAAUGAAAUUGCAGAUAGAGGCCUAAUAGCAAGUUGGUGUCCACAAGAGAAAGUUUUGAACCACCCUUCAAUUGGCGGAUUCUUGACUCAUUGCGGAUGGAACUCAACCACUGAGAGCAUAUGCGCUGGAGUGCCAAUGCUUUGUUGGCAAUUCUUUGGUGAUCAACCAACAAACUGUAGAUUUAUUUGCAAUGAAUGGGAGAUUGGGAUCGAAAUCGAUAUGAAUGUGAAGAGAGAGGAGGUUGAAAAGCUUGUCAAUGAAUUGAUGGUGGGAGAGAAAGGAAAUAAAAUGAGGAAAAAGGUUAUGGAGUUGAAAAAGAAGGCAGACGAGGACACUAGACUUGGCGGGUCUUCAUACUUGAACUUGGACAAAGUGAUCAAGGAGGUGUUGCUUAAACAAAAUUAGUUCAAAGUGAUUUAUUUUUUGCAAAGAAGUACUUUUCUUGUAUAUCGAUUUUCUCUUGUUUAAUAUAUUUCUUUGACAAGCAAAAACAUAUGAUUGUGGACCACCACCAUAAGUUUUGUUCCUAAGCUUAUGCAAGCUACACAGAAACAGUGUCUGAUGUUAUCAAGACUCAUUCAUCCAAAAUAUAUAUAUGCUGCAGCUUCACUCUACAUAUUCAAAAUAUAAUUUUAUAUCAUUCAACUCGAUUAAUAGAAAAAACAUUUUCACACUUACAAUAUUCCGGUAAAAGUAUAACGGAUUCAUCACAUAAAACAGAACAGAUUCUAGUUUUAGCCCAAAAAAUAAGAGCAAAACAAUUAAGAAAUAGACUAGAGACCAAAGUUGCAAAAUUCAACUUUAUAUGCAUACCAUAUAACUUCAAAAUGUUGAUACUCAAAACAUUUAAGAUUAGCCAGAAUCACAACUUCAGUUUAGGAACUCCAGCUGAUGAUAGGUUCCAUCAUUAUAAACUCAUUAACUUAUUACCAUCAUUGUAUUUGUACUUGCUAAUACACUGCAAUAACAUCAUAACUUAAGACCCUGUUUGGAUUAACAGCUAAAUUUAUAGCUUAUAGUAUUAGUACUUACCAUAAUAAGCACUUAGUUAUAAGCUAUAUUUAUAAUGCGAAAAUAAAAUAAAGUUAAAUUAGUUUUUUUAUAAGCUGUAAGCUCUUUUUAUAAGCUACUCUUCUAGAGCUUACGGAAAUAAGUUGAAAACAACUCAUGAACAUAUAAGAAGUUGUUUACAUAAAUUCUGCAAACAGUCUUCUAAGUGUUUAUGCCGGUAAAUAAGUUCAAUUAAGCUAAACCAAACAGACCCUAAAUCAUGAAUAGCUAGAAAUUUAAGUGCGGAAUAAGGUUGAAACCCUGAUCAACCAAAUUAUAAACCUAUGAAGCACGGACACAGACAGAGACAUUGGACACGAUACUCACAUGUGUUGGAGCUUGUCAAAGAAAUAUAUUCAAUAAGAGAAAAUCAAUAUAGAAAUACAGUACUUUGCAGGGAAAAAAAUCACUUUAAUCUAAUUUUGUUUGAGCAGCACCUCCUUAAUCACUUUUUCCAAGUUCACAUAUGAACAACCACCUGGUCUUGUGUCCUCCUCUGCCUUCUUCUUCAAUUCCAUGGCCUUUUGCCUCAUCUUCUUUCCUUUAUCUCCCACCAUUAAUUCAUUGAUCAGCUUCUCCACCUCCUCUCUCUUCACAUUGGUAUCAAUUUCUGCUCCAAUCUCCCAUUCAUUGCAAAUAUAUCUGCAAUUUGUUGGCUGCUCAGCAAAAAAAGGCCAACACAACAUUGGUACUCCGGCACAGAUGCUUUCCAUUGUGGAGUUCCAUCCACAAUGAGUCAAGAAUCCUCCAACUGAAGGAUGGUUCAACACUUUCUCUUGCGGACACCAGCUUGCUAUUACGCCUCUAUCCGAAGUUUCAUUCACAAAAUCGGAUGACAAAAUAACCGAGCCACCAAUGACAAGGUCAGGCCUAAUAAUCCACAAAAAAGGUUUCUUGCUGUUGGCCAAACCCCAAGCGAACUCUAACAGUUGAUCUGGAGUCAUGACCGUGAUGCUUCCAAAAUUCACAUAAACUACAGAACCUUGUUCCUUAGAUUCAAGCCAUUCAAGACAUUUCAUAUCUUCUUUCCAAAGAUUAGAACCUAUAGAAGCCAAGUUAUUUUGCGGACUUUGAUUCAAAAAUGAAGUUAAAGGGCCAAUGGCAUAAAUAGAAGGGAUCUUAAUAGAUAGAGCAUUUAUUACAUCAUUCUCAAGUUCAUCAGAAGUAUUGAAAACAAUAGAAUUAGCUUCAUGAACCCUAUCGGCCGCUUCAAUGAUAAAUUUUAUCAUUAUAUCAUUAGGAUCAGUAGUUCUUAUAAAGUCAGGCAGGUCCUUUAGUCUAAAGUUUCCCAAACCUGGAAUCCAGUCAACUUUAGUGUCCAAAUAUCCAUUUGUCAAAUAACUCUCAUCUGCAUAUCAUAAUCACAAAAGCCAUUAACAUCAAACUCUCCAAACUUCUAAUACAUAUUAAGACUUAACUAUUUCAUAAGUUCUAGAUAUAAAAGGAUCAGAUUCUUACAACAUGGACAAAGAAAUAACAUAUAUAAAGUGUUACCUUUGAGUGGUAUGACACCUUUAUCAAUCAAUGUACGAAAGUGCAAAGCCGACAGAAGUGAACAUGCACUAGCUGAACUAAAUAGAACACUAGGUAAACCAUGUUCUUCAGCAGCUUGUAUAGUAAAAGUCAAUCCAAUAUCAGAAACUAAGCAACUAACAGGAGGAAUAUGACCAUCAUUGGAAGAAUCUUUAAGUCUAGCAAGAAGUUCACAGAAGGGGUGAUAGAAAUUCUUUCUUAUUGAAUCGGAAAGAGAGAUAAUGUCUUGACUAACAUCACCAUCGCCUUCUAUCGGAGUUAAACCAUCUGGAAUAGUCUCAAAGGUAAAAUCAGUGAAACCAUCAAAGGCUUUUGGACCUCUUGAUUUGAGCAAACGUUUGUGAUUGUAUUCGGUGUUGACAAAGGUUAUGUGAAAGCCUCUAAGAUGAAGAAGUUUUGCUAGUUUUAACAACGGAUUGAUAUGGCCUUGAAGUGGAUAUGGAGUUAUCACUGCAUGUGGCUUAAUUCUCUCUGCAAAAUUGCUCAUGUUUGAAUUUGUGUGUGUAAGAUAAGUUUAAGAAUAAAGGGAUACAAGUGAUCUUUGCUUUAAUAGAGAGAAAAUGUCAUCUUCAUUGUUUGGUGUAAGAAAAUGAGGGAAGUACAAAGGAUAAGUGUUAUACCCUGUUUUUGGACCUAAAAAUACUGGGCCCAAUUUCAUUUCAAACUUUGUCAAUUAUCAAAUUUCAACUGCACAGUUCAAAUUGUCUCUGCCUCGCAGUAUUUUUCAAUCACAAUUUUACCUAUGUUUUUCUUGCAUAAAACCUUUCGAAAUGUCUUUACUUGUCUUGUAAGUCAUUCAAAAGUGUCUCUGAAUCAUUACAUUGCUUUUUCCACAGUUUAUUUCAAAAUUUGCAAAGAAGUCAUACAGAAGGGUAUUUUGGUCAUUUCCCGCAGUGGGACCCAUUUUCAUCCUUGUGACUGUCUCUGAGUCUUUUCAAAUUCAUUUUUAACUUUCCAUCAGUAAACCUUGCUAAUUUCGUUUCAAACUUGCAUCUGAGUCAGUGUCGAGUUAAUUUGAUUCUGUUUAGGUCAUUUUUAGCCCUAGGGGCAUUUUGGUCAUUUCACAUAAAAUUUUGGCAUGGGGAGGUUACUUUGAAGUACCUCAUUUAGGCCAUUGGUUCGUUUUAGUCCGUUUUGUCAAUUUUAUUUUUUUGUUUCGCUUUACGUUUUGUCAGGUUACCAAUUUUAUUUCAAUUUUAUUUUAUUUUGCAUUUUGGUCCUCAAAGAGGUCCAAAAUUGCAUUUCAGUCCAGAAUUCUUUCUAUUUGCAUUUUUAGUCCUUUUUGUUAUUUCCAUUUUAGUCCUUUAAUUUUUCAAUUUUGCAGAAAAGGGCUCAAAGUGUCAAGCUCACGUUUUUUUUCAGUUAAAGUCCAGAUGUCACAAUUCUAUUGGUCCAAGAUCACACAUGUCAGCUAUAAAAGGUGUACAGUGCCACACAGACCCAUUAAUCACACGCCAACUCAUAAACACAAAAUCAAUUUUCUCUUUCUCAGCAAUUAGAUCAAAAACAGAAAAUCUCUCAGAAUUUCUCAAGAACACCAGGAACAAAAACCCUAACCGUUUUCCAGAAACCCUAAUUUUCAUCAGAAUCAACAUUUUUUGCAUCAAUCCUCAGAGAUUCGUGUGAAUCUUCAUCACCGGACUGAAGAUUUUCCUGCAAUUCCAAGUGCGAGCUCGCAUUGAAGCAAGCUCAAGCACUGAUCACAGGAUCUCCUCGCGUGGAUCUAAGAAACAUUGAAGCAAGCUCAAGCACGUAAUCACAGAGAAGCAGAGAAAGAGUCAGAGAAGAUGAAGAAUCUGGACCGGUGAAGCAAACAGAAUCAAAAAUCAUCAAGAACAGAAUCAAGAUUUCCAAAGAUUUCCUCCAUUAAAGGUUUCAACCAAAACCUUAGGUAAAACUCAUAAUCUUUUCUCAGAAAAUAAUAUCACUGUUAAACCUAAAAAUCACGCAAGCAAAACAGAUCCAAAAUUUCCAGAAUUCAAAGCCAAAACCGUAACCGUGAACACAAAACCUAGAUCCAUAAGGAUCUAAGUUUUGAAAGCAAAAACAAACAUCAAAGAGGUGUUAAACAACGAAAUGAUGUAGAUCUUCAAGGAUCUAAACGUUUUCUUUCAAAAAAUCAAAAUCAAAUUCAAAGCCGUACGACAAAUUUCCAGAUCUACAUCGUUUCGAAUUGAAUUUGAAAAAACAAUUGCUGGAUUCGUGUUUAGGGUUAAAGGACGAAUUGAUUGAUGAAGAAAUUUUGAAAUUCUGGAAAUUUUAGGUCACCGGAGUUCUUGAACUCGCCGGAGAAGAUGAAGUUUCCGGCGGACCUUCAAGGUCUCCGCCGUAGCUUCAUCCUCGCCGGCGGCGAGGUUAGUGAGAGGUGAGAGAAGAGAGAGGAACUUAGAGAGAGAAAGGGGAGUGAAAAGUGAAGAAAACCGGAACCUCUUCCCUUAUAUAAGCUAGUGAACCAGACCGGUUCAAGACCGGUCCAAUCCUGUUGAUUCCAGGCCGUUUGAUCUAGGGUUUCAGGAUCCUGGAUCAAUCCUGUGGCUCCUGUGAAUCCGGUUCUUUAGGGUUUUGGGUUGGGCCUUUGGUUUCUUUGGAUCUUUACGUUUUGCUAUUUCUGUGCUAUUCACACCCCUAUUUUUUGCUGCCUGCACCUAUGUCUUGAUUAAAAUUGUGAUAAAAUUCCUAGAAAAAUUCAUACAUGUUUCUUGAUAUUUUCUUAGUGUUUUUAUGACAUUUUUGCACAUUAAGGAUCUAUGAAAAUUUUGUAUAAUCAAUUCAUAGCAUUUUAAUUCUCUUUGAAUUAUUUGUUAUGGAUUCUUCUUCACACAUUUGUCCUUGAUGUGAGAAUAUGUAAUAAAAGCUACUUGAUGUGUUAAUAUGAGAGAUUUGUGCCUAUAAUUUCAUGUUGAUUUGCUGUUUUGAUUUGGUUUAUGAGUUCUUGUUUUUAUGAACAAUAUAUCCAUAUUUUGAAAGAUAUAAAAUGCCAAGUUUACUCUAGAAAAUAUGGCAUGAAAUCAUGCUUGCAUGUUUCCAAUAAUUCCAUGCUAUAACUUGAGAUAAAGAAAACUCUUUCAAAAUUUGUUAAAGCAUGAGAAUUAGAGGCCAAGAAUGCUUUAGGUUUCAUACCUAAGUUUUUAGGGUUUAAUGUCAUUUUGUUAACUUUUUGUGCCAUCUUGCAUGCUUUUAUUUCUUAGUACUUGUUAUGUUUUUUCUUUUCACUAACAAGUUUAUUUCCAUGUUUCAUGCAUCCCAUUUAGCAUUCCCUCCACUUUCUUUAGCCUAGCCUUUAUCUUUUGCAAGUUUUAAUUCAUUUGGUAAUGUAAUUUGUUAUCAUUGGUUUGUAGCUUGGCAAAGGGGCCAUAGAAUGUAUUUAGGCAAUUUUUGUAAUAUGGACUAUGGACACUAUGAUGCACCGACACGCACACACUCACCUUAGAUGUAUGCAUAGGAUUGUAUGGUUAAAUAAGCGUUUAGGUUUUAAACACUUAGAGAAAAUCCAUCUUUUUUUCAAAAAAAAAUAAUUGAACUUCACUUCAAAAACUUUCCUAAUAAGUAUGAAGUCAACACUUCAUUUUUUUCCUUUCUUUUUUUCUUAAGAAAAAUUCAAUUCAUCUUAAUCAUUUAGACUUUCUUUCUAAUCACUAAUCAAACCUCACUUUUUGCUAAAUCUAAUGCUCAUGAAGCCUCCCAAUCUCCUUCUUCAAAACCUUUUUUCUCAAAACUUAAAAUUAAACAAUUAGAACAAAAAACAAGUCUUUUUAGCAAGAACUACGCCGGUUUUGAUCCCGUAAAACGGUACGUAGGCAAUGAGUCAAAACUCAUCCAAGCCGAAAUAAAAUCCAAUUCUACUUCUUCUCACCCCCAUUCUUCACUAAUCAUACUUUCUUUUUUACAAAUAAGCAAUAAAACUAAAGCGUAGAAAUAAACUUAGGAAAGCGGUUCUUAUGGAGUACCAUAAUCGCUCCGGGUGCCUAACACCUUCCCGUAGCGAAAACGACCCCCGAACUUAGAAUCUAAGGGUUUUUCUCAAUUUUGCCCUUCCCAAGAAAAAAUAGAGAAUAUCAACGGUCAAAAGGUUCAAGUCCAAUUAAUGGCUUGGCACCCAAAAACCAUGAUAACAGAAAUGGCGACUUCACUGGGGAUUUUUUUAGCGGGUCACGCCUAGUUUUCCUUAGUUUAUUUACGCUUUGUUUUAUUGCUUACAUAUGUGAAUACUUGUUUACUUUCAUUUGACGUGUGGGGUGAGAAUAUCAAAAGUCCUAUACCCGGGCUGAGUGAACUUAUGUUUAGGUAGAGAUAUAAUCGAGAAUUCGAUCCGGGGGUUGCCUCGUGUAUUGGAUUAUGCGAUCAAUCUCACAUAGCUGAGGCAUUUUGAAGGUGAUAUUGUCGGCGUGUGUUGUCAUGCUUAGGCACUUCACUUUCAAUUGUUCGACGAAGCUAUGAACCGUAGUUACCAAACCCAUCCUAGCCUUUUUAGGACGUAGUGCGGUGGCUAAAUUGAGUGUUGUCUCAAACUUUAGUCGUCACGCGAUACUACACUCAAGCUAGACCUUCUCACAAAUAAUCAUGGAACGGGUGUCGUCCUGUACUACCAUGAUAUAUGUGAGAGAGGUUGCAGUUUGGGAACUGUGUUAGAACCAUGGUUACUACUAUCCAAAGCCUUAGUUCACCGGACGCCGUGUCCAUCCGUGGCCCCGUUACUUUGAAACUCAAUCCACUUUUAACAACACGAUCAUGCAUACAUGCAUUCAUGCAUAAACAUUUUUCAUGCAUUCAUCGAAGGGUUUAAACAAAUGGAAAUUUUUGUAAAUAAUCACAGGUAUGAAGAAGACUAAGUGCUACAAGUUCAAGGAAGUGGAUUUGGUUAGUUUGAGAGAGUUGGCACUCAAGGUCAAGAGUCAAACAGGGUUCCGACUCCGGUAUGGGGGAUUGCUUACUUUGCUCCGAACCGAUGUGGACGAGAAGCUAGUGCACACUCUAGUGCAAUUUUAUGAUCCAAGCUUCUGUUGCUUCACCUUCCCGGACUUCCAGUUGGUUCCUACUCUCGAGGCUUACUCCAAUCUAGUGGGUUUACCUAUGGCCGAGAAGACGCCUUUCACCGGUCCCGGGACUUCUCUUACUCCUCUGGUUAUUGCUAAGGAUCUCUACCUCAAGACUUCCGACGUCUCCAACCAUCUUAUUACCAAGUCUCACAUUCGGGGGUUCACUUCGAAGUAUCUUCUUGAUCAGGCUAAUCUCGGUACUACUCGUCAGGAUACACUCGAGGCUAUUCUUGCUUUGCUUAUCUACGGGCUCAUUCUCUUCCCGAACCUCGACAACUUCGUGGACAUGAAUGCUAUCGAGAUCUUUCAUUCCAAGAACCCGGUUCCUACUUUGCUAGCGGAUACCUACCACGCCAUUCAUGACAGGACUCUCAAGGGCCGUGGGUAUAUUCUUUGCUGCAUACCUCUUCUGUAUAGGUGGUUUAUUUCGCACCUUCCGAGUUCCUUCCAUGAUAACUCGGAGAACUGGUCCUACUCGCAGCGGAUUAUGGCCCUCACUCCUAAUGAGGUCGUCUGGCUCACUCCGGCCGCUCAGGUGAAGGAAAUUGUCAUGGGUUGUGGAGACUUUCUCAAUGUACCUCUUCUUGGUACUCGUGGAGGAAUUAACUACAACCCCGAGCUUGCUAUGAGGCAGUUUGGUUUUCCUAUGAAGUCGAAGCCCAUCAAUCUUGCUACAUCUCCAGAGUUCUUCUUCUAUGCGAAUGCUCCUACCGGACAAAGGAAAGCUUUCAUGGAUGCUUGGUCCAAGGUUCGAAGGAAGAGUGUGAAGCAUCUAGGUGUGAGAUCCGGUAUUGCUCAUGAGGCCUAUACUCAGUGGGUGAUAGAUCGAGCUGAGGAGAUCGGUAUGCCUUAUCCAGCUAUGAGAUAUGUGUCUUCGUCUACUCCAUCUAUGCCUCUACCUCUACUCCCCGCGACUCAGGAUAUGUAUCAGGAGCAUCUAGCUAUGGAGAGUCGUGAGAAGCAAGUGUGGAAAGCUCGGUACAAUCAAGCCGAGAAUCUAAUCAUGACUUUGGAUGGUAGAGAUGAGCAGAAGACUCAUGAGAAUCUAAUGUUGAAGAAAGAGCUAGCUAAGGCCCGGAGGGAAUUGGAAGAGAAAGAUGAGCUGCUUAUGAGGGACUCCAAGAGAGCCAGAGGACGACGAGACUUCUUUGCCAGAUACUGUGAUUCAGAUUCCGAGUCCGAUGAUCUUCCGACUACUUCCUAUGCUUGAGGGCUUCAUAUGUUUAUUUCAAAGUCUUUCUGUUGAGAAUACUAUGUAGUUUUGUUUAUUUGCAAGAUUUCUAAUUUGUUUAAAAAUCCUUCGAUGAGAGAAUAAGUCUUUUGCAUUUGCAUUUGCACAUCAUGCAUCAUAUGCAUCAUGCAUUGGUCACAAAGGCUUCCAAGUGCUUACCACCUCCUGGUUUCUCUGCCGCAGUGUGAAAAGUGGCUCGUGCUCAGAGAAUUUACGAACCUGAUAGAAUUGAUCGAACCAGAGAAUACAGAAGAAAGAAAAGGGCUAUGGAAGAAGAGAACACACAGCUUCGUACCGAAUUGGCAUCUCUAAGGGAGGAAUUGGCCAAAGCUCAUGAUGCUAUGACUGCUCUGUUGGCUGCUCAGGAACAACCAGUUCCUGUAGUUUCUACAGCUGCAAAUGUGACUCCUACCGUAACAACUGAUCCCCGCUCUAUCAUGCCAUCCGGGUACCCUUACGGACUUCCGCUGUACUAUACUACUAAUACAGGGGCAGGGACCUCUGGUACUACCAACAAUGGCCCAAUCCCAGGGGCAAACUUAACUCCUGUUAGUACCGCCUUGACUCAAGCUGCAACGACUGUUACCGAGCCCAUUGUGAAUGCGGUGCCUCUAUUUGUCCAUGCUAAUGCGCACCACGGGAGUAUUGCCACAACCGGAACUAUGGAAGAGAGAAUGGAAGAACUUGCCAAAGAGCUCCGACGGGAAAUUAAGGCCAACAGGGGAAACGGGGACUCCAUUAAAACCCAGGAUCUCUGCUUGGUAUCGAAGGUAGAUGUUCCAAAAAAGUUCAAAGUCCCGGAGUUCGACAAAUAUAACGGGCUGACUUGUCCUCAAAAUCAUAUUGUCAAAUACGUCCGGAAGAUGGGCAACUACAAGGACAAUGAUUCCCUUAUGAUCCAUUACUUCCAAGACAGUCUGAUGGAAGAUGCUGCAGAGUGGUAUACUAGUCUGAGCAAAGAUGAUGUCCAUACCUUUGAUGAGCUAGCCACCGCUUUCAGGAGCCACUACGGGUUUAACACUCGUUUGAAGCCGAAUAGGGAGUUCCUCAGGUCCCUAUCUCAGAAAAAGGAGGAGAGUUUCCGUGAAUAUGCGCAAAGGUGGAGAGGGGCAGCUGCCCGUAUCACUCCUGCUUUAGAUGAAGAAGAAAUGACCCAGACAUUCUUAAAGACCUUGAAGAAGGAUUAUGUUGAGAGGAUGAUCAUCGCCGCCCCGAACAACUUUUCAGAGAUGGUCACUAUGGGAACCCGUCUUGAGGAAGCAGUCAGGGAUGGAAUCAUUGUGUUUGAGAAAGCUGAAUCUUCUACGAGUGCAUCGAAGAGGUAUGGUAAUGGACACCACAAGAAGAAAGAAACGGAAGUGGGGAUGGUGUCAGCUGGAGCCGGUCAAUCUAUGGCUACUGUUGCACCUAUCAAUGCAGCUCAAAUGCCUCCGUCAUACCCAUAUAUGCCGUAUUCUCAGCAUCCGUUCUUCCCACCGUUUUAUCAUCAGUAUCCUUUGCCACCAGGCCAACCUCAGGUUCCUGUCAAUGCCAUCGCUCAACAGGUACAACAUCAACCGCCAGUUCAACAGCAGCAGCAGCAGUAUACUAGACCAACUUUUCCUCCUAUACCAAUGUUGUAUGCUGAGUUGCUUCCAACUUUACUCCAGAGAGGACAUUGCACAACUAGACAGGGCAAGCCACCACCUGAUCCGUUGCCUCCAAGGUUCAGGUCUGAUCCCAAAUGUGACUUUCAUCAAGGUGCCUUAGGUCAUGAUGUCGAGGGGUGUUAUGCUUUGAAGUAUAUUGUGAAGAAGCUCAUUGAUCAGGGAAAGCUGACUUUUGAGAACAAUGUUCCACAUGUCCUUGACAAUCCACUACCAAAUCAUGCCGCUGUGAAUAUGAUCGAAGUGUGUGAGGAAGCUCCUAGACUUGAUGUCCGCAAUGUUGCCACUCCCCUGGUGCCUCUGCAUAUCAAGCUAUGCAAAGCUUCUCUGUUCAGCCAUGAUCAUGCCAAGUGUCUAGGAUGCCUCCGUGAUCCUUUGGGUUGCCAUACUGUUCAAGACGACAUCCAAAGCCUGAUGGAUGAUAAUCUUCUGACUGUCAGUGAUGUUUGCGUGGUCGUGCCAGUUUUUCACGAUCCGCCUGUCAAGAGUGUACCUUUGAAGAAGAAUGCUGAGCCUUUGGUGAUAAGGUUGCCAGGACCAAUUCCUUAUGUUUCGGACAAGGCAGUGCCAUACAAGUACAAUGCUACUAUGAUAGAAAAUGGAGUAGAGGUGCCUCUAGCCUCCUUUGCCACAGUAAGCAAUAUUGCCGAAGGGACUUCUGCAGCGCUAAGAAGCGGGAAGGUUCGUCCGCCAUUAUUUCAGAAGAAGGUAGCUACGCCAAUCACUCCACCAGUUGAAGAAGCAACUCCAACCGUUGUUUCACCCAUUGCUACAGAUGUGAAUCAGCCAGGCAAGUCUAUAGAGGAUUCGAAUUUAGAUGAGAUUCUGAGAAUAAUAAAGAGGAGCGACUACAAGAUCGUUGAUCAAUUGCUGCAAACUCCUUCGAAGAUAUCCGUCUUGUCACUACUCUUGAGCUCUGAGGCUCAUAGGAAUACCUUGUUGAAAGUGCUGGAGCAGGCUUAUGUUGACCACGAAGUCUCGGUAGAUCGUUUCGGUGGCAUAGUGGGAAAUAUCACUGCUUGUAACAACCUCUGGUUCAGUGAAGAAGAGUGGCCAGAAGUGGGAAAGGGUCACAAUCUGGCUUUGCACAUCUCGGUGAACUGUAAAUCAGACAUGAUAUCAAAUGUGUUGGUGGAUACCGGUUCCUCUCUCAAUGUAAUGCCCAAGACAACUCUAGAUCAGUUGAGCUACCGCGGGACCCCGUUGAGGAGAAGUACUUUCUUGGUCAAAGCUUUUGACGGAUCUCGAAAGAAUGUGCUGGGAGAGAUAGACUUGCCGAUAACUAUUGGCCCUGAGAAUUUCUUGGUUACCUUCCAAGUGAUGGACAUUAAUGCAUCCUACAGUUGCCUGCUGGGAAGACCGUGGAUACACGAUGCAGGUGCGGUUACUUCCACUUUACAUCAGAAGUUGAAAUUUGUGAAGAAUGGAAAACUCGUUACAAUCCAUGGUGAAGAAGCAUACUUAGUCAGCCAGUUGUCUUCUUUUUCUUGUGUUGAAGCAGGGUCUGCUGAAGGGACUGCUUUCCAAGGUUUGACCAUUGAAGGCGCAGAGCCUAAGGAAGCUGGGGCUGCUAUGGCUUCAUUGAAAGAUGCUCAGAGAGCCAUCCAAGAAGGUCAGACUGCCGGCUGGGGCAAGGUGAUACAGCUCUGUGAGAACAAGCGUAAAGAAGGUCUCGGGUUCUCCCCGUCAUCAAGGGUUUCCUCGGGAGUCUUCCACAGUGCAGGGUUUGUUAAUGCUAUCUCUGAAGAAGCCACUGGAUCUGGUCUCAGGCCUGUAUUUGUUACACCAGGAGGCAUUGCGACAAAUUGGGAUGCCGUUGACAUUCCUUCAAUCAUGCAUGUUUCUGAGUAAUGUGUCUUGUUGCUUUAGUACUUUGUUUUCAAAAUAACAAUCCUCUCGCUCUGCCCAAAGCGAGAGUGAUAUUUUCUGUAAGGGCAUGUUUGUUUCGGCAUUGCCGUUGAUUAAUAAAAUUUUGUCGUUUCUUCCACGACUACUUUUUUUAAGUGCUUUUUCCCUUGGAAGCAAUGGUAAUGCCAGAAAAAACCAAAACGUCUGUAUUUUCUUAUUAAUUUCAAAAAUCUGCAUGAAAAAAAACUCUUUCUAAAAAUCAUCCAAUCAUUAUAUGCAGGUUGAACCAUAAUAAAUCCGUUGAACACAGUAAUCCUACGGUUCCUCCAAGUUUUGAUUUCCCUGUAUAUGAAGCCGAAGAUGAGGAAGGUGAUGACAUACCGUAUGAGAUCACUCGGUUACUUGAGCAAGAAAAGAAAGCCAUUCAGUCUCACCAAGAAGAGAUUGAGCUUAUCAACAUAGGUACCGAGGAAAACAAGCGAGAAAUCAAGAUUGGUGCUACCCUAGAGGAAGGGGUUAAACAGAAGAUCAUCCAACUCCUCCGGGAAUAUCCGGAUAUUUUUGCAUGGUCCUAUGAAGAUAUGCCAGGUCUAGACCCUAUGAUCGUGGAGCAUCGGAUCCCUACCAAGCCUGAAUGUCCUCCCGUCAGGCAGAAAUUGAGAAGGACUCAUCCUGACAUGGCCCUCAAGAUUAAGAGUGAAGUUCAAAAGCAGAUUGAUGCGGGUUUCCUCAUGACAGUGGAGGUAUCCCGAAUGGGUUGCCAAUAUUGUGCCUGUGCCAAAGAAGGAUGGUAAAGUCCGGAUGUGUGUUGACUUUAGGGACUUGAACAAAGCCAGUCCAAAAGACAACUUUCCGUUACCUCAUAUUGAUGUGCUUGUUGAUAAUACUGCUCAAUCUAAGGUGUUCUCCUUCAUGGACGGUUUUUCCGGUUAUAAUCAGAUCAAAAUGUCUCCUGAAGAUAGAGAAAAGACAUCUUUUAUCACGCCAUGGGGUACUUUCUGCUACAAAGUGAUGCCGUUCGGCCUAAUCAAUGCUGGUGCUACCUACCAAAGGGGAAUGACCACUCUGUUUCAUGACAUGAUUCACAAAGAAGUUGAGGUAUAUGUGGAUGACAUGAUUGUGAAGUCAGCAGAUGAGGAGCAGCAUGUUGAAUAUUUAACAAAGAUGUUUGAAAGGUUGAGAAAAUACAAGCUGCGACUGAAUCCCAACAAAUGUACAUUCGGUGUCAGGUCUGGAAAGUUAUUAGGCUUCAUUGUCAGCCAAAAGGGCAUUGAAGUCGAUCCUGAUAAAGUCCGGGCCAUCCGAGAAAUGCCAGCUCCACAGACAGAGAAGCAAGUCAGAGGUUUCUUGGGACGUUUGAAUUACAUCUCCCGAUUCAUAUCUCAUAUGACUGCAACCUGCGGGCCGAUCUUCAAACUACUUAGAAAGAACCAGCCUGUUGUAUGGGAUGAUGAAUGCCAAGAAGCUUUUGAUAGCAUCAAGAAUUACCUGCUGGAACCACCUAUCCUUGUCCCACCCGUGGAAGGAAGGCCUUUGAUUAUGUAUUUGGCAGUAUUUGAUGAAUCCAUGGGAUGUGUACUUGGUCAACAAGAUGAAACCGGAAAGAAAGAGCAUGCUAUCUACUAUCUAAGCAAGAAGUUCACCGAUUGUGAAACUCGGUAUACAAUGCUUGAAAAGACUUGUUGUGCUCUAGCUUGGGCUGCCAAACGCCUGCGCCAUUAUUUGGUGAAUCAUACAACUUGGUUGAUAUCCAGAAUGGAUCCGAUAAAGUAUAUCUUUGAGAAAGCGGCCGUUACUGGGAAGAUCGCACGCUGGCAGAUGCUUUUGUCUGAAUAUGAUAUUGUGUUCAAAACUCAAAAGGCAAUCAAAGGCAGCAUUCUUGCCGAUCACCUUGCUUAUCAACCUCUUGAUGAUUACCAACCAAUUGAAUUCGAUUUCCCUGAUGAAGAGAUCAUGUAUUUGAAAUCCAAAGACUGCGACGAACCGUUGAUUAAUGAAGGUCCAGAUCCCAAUAGCAAGUGGGGUUUAGUCUUUGAUGGUGCUGUCAAUGCUUAUGGCAAAGGAAUUGGGGCAGUCAUUGUAUCCCCGCAAGGGCAUCACAUUCCUUUUACCGCCCGUAUUCUGUUCGAAUGUACAAACAAUAUGGCUGAGUAUGAAGCAUGUAUCUUCGGGAUCGAGGGAGCAAUUGACAUGAGAAUCAAACACCUCGACAUCUAUGGAGAUUCUGCGCUCGUCAUCAAUCAGAUAAAGGGUGAAUGGGAGACCCACCAUGCUAAGUUGAUUCCUUAUCGUGAUUAUGCGAGACGUCUUCUGACAUAUUUUACAAAGGUUGAGCUGCAUCAUAUUCCUCGUGAUGAGAACCAAAUGGCUGAUGCUCUUGCUACUCUAUCUUCCAUGUUUCGAGUAAACCAUUGGAAUGAUGUGCCAUUAAUUAAAGUGCAACGCCUUGAAAGACCUUCGCAUGUGUUUGCUAUUGGGGAUGUGAUCGAUCAGGCUGGUGAAAAUAUGGUUGACUAUAGACCCUGGUACUACGACAUCAAACAGUUCUUGCUGAGCCGUGAGUAUCCGCCGGGUGCUUCCAAACAAGACAAGAAGACCUUGAGAAGAUUGGCCGGUAGAUUCUUGUUAGAUGGAGAUAUUCUGUACAAGAGGAACUAUGACAUGGUAUUGUUAAGAUGUGUUGAUGAACAUGAAGCAGAGCAGUUAAUGCAUGAUGUACAUGACGGUACCUUCGGGACCCAUGCUACAGGGCAUACUAUGUCAAGAAAGUUGCUACGGGCAGGUUACUACUGGAUGGCCAUGGAGCAUGAUUGCUACCAAUACGCCAGAAAAUGCCACAAAUGUCAAAUCUAUGCUGAUAAGAUUCAUGUGCCUCCGCACGCUCUCAAUGUUAUGUCAUCCCCAUGGCCGUUCUCAAUGUGGGGCAUCGAUAUGAUUGGAAGAAUUGAACCGAAAGCUUCAAAUGGUCAUCGUUUCAUCUUAGUGGCAAUUGACUACUUUACCAAAUGGGUUGAAGCAGCAUCUUAUACCAAUGUGACCAAGCAAGUGGUAGCUAAGUUCAUCAAGAACAACAUCAUCUGUCGAUAUGGUGUUCCCAGCAAGAUUAUUACCGACAAUGGUACCAACCUGAACAACAAUGUGGUGCAAGCUCUUUGUGAAGAAUUCAAAAUUGAGCAUCAUAACUCUUCUCCUUAUAGACCUCAGAUGAAUGGUGCAGUUGAGGCCGCCAAUAAGAAUAUCAAGAGAAUUGUCCAGAAGAUGGUAACCACUUACAAGGACUGGCAUGAGAUGUUACCCUAUGCUCUGCAUGGCUACCGUACUACCAUGCGCAGUUCAACCGGGGCAACCCCUUUCUCUCUUGUAUAUGGUAUGGAAGCAGUUCUUCCUUUGGAAGUGGAGAUCCCAUCUCUCCGUGUGAUCAUGGAAGCAAAGUUAUCCGAAGCUGAAUGGUGCCAAAGCCGGUAUGAUCAGUUGAAUUUGAUUGAGGAAAAACGUAUGGAUGCCAUGGCUCGUGGACAGUCAUAUCAAGCAAGAAUGAAGACUGCCUUUGACAAGAAAGUCCAUCCUCGAGAAUUCAAGGUAGGGGAACUUGUAUUGAAAAGGAGGAUAAGCCAGCAACCCGACCCGAGGGGCAAGUGGACGCCUAACUAUGAAGGUCCUUAUGUCGUCAAGAAGGCCUUCUCCGGUGGUGCUUUAAUCCUUACACACAUGGAUGGUGUAGAGCUUCCAAAUCCAGUGAAUGCCGAUAUAGUCAAGAAAUACUUUGCCUAAAAAUAUGAAAAGAACAGCGUGGUAGGUCGAAAACCCGAAAGGGCGGCCUAGGCAAAAAUGCGCUUCCCGGUGGAUCGAAAACCCGAAAGGGCGGUCCAGGCAAAAAUAAGGGACAAAAAAAACAACAAAUAUGAAAAGCUCGCUGAGAUUGUACACAACUCAGGCAAGAAUGAGCGUCUCGAUGAGCCGAAAACCCGGAAGGUCGGUUCAUGCAAAAAUGAGAUUGAAACAAAAGGCAAGUAACUAUAUCUGGCCAACCACCGUCCCCCUUGGGGCAUCUGCAGCUGUUAAUGCCUAUCUUCAUCAAAAGCUUCUGUACUUGUGAAUUCGAAGUUUCUGGGAAAUGUCAUGAUUACUGUGUUCAAUGUACCACCAACCAAUAAAAUUACCAUUUUCCAAGCUUUGUGAAUCCGUGGAGUCGUGCCUUCGGCUGAUCACCACUCUUAUACAUCAAUUUGAGCUUGUGCUUUUGUUUGAAACUCUAUUUUUCUUCUACUUUCAAAGCUGUAUACAAAACAUUCUCUUUCCAUUUUGAUAAUGACAAUGCUUGAAACAAACAUUUUUGAAAAUUGAAAACUUUUUGUCUAUUUUGAAAAGCAAACCCGAGCAACAGGGUACAUUCAAAUGAACAUGCAUGAGCGAGUGUGUGUGGGUGUCUAUCUUCAAUAUAUGUUACAAGCAGGUUCUCCUCCAAGAUAAUCUGUGGUCAAUGGCAAGAAUGAAAAAACAGAAUGAAAAUGCAUGAAAAUGAAUGAGCUCGCUAAGUUGAAAACCCGAAAGGGCGACUUAGGCAAAAAUGAGCACCCCGCUGGAUUGACAACCCGAAAGGGCAGUUCAGGCAAAAAUGGGGCAUUGAAAAGAAUUUAUUUCCCCGGUGGGUCGAAAACCCGAAAGGGCGAUCCAGGCAAAAAUGGGAUGCAAAAAAUGAAUGAUGAAGAUUGAGAAUAUAACAUGCAAAAAGCAUUGACCACAGAUGCGAUGUCCACAACAUGCCCAGCACAACGGCAUUAUCCCCAGUAAAGUCUCUCAAGAUUCUAUCCCCAGCAAGUUGCAUAGCUACCAGCCCUCAGCCUAGGUCCCGAAACGUCUCCCAACGACGUCAUCUCCAAAGAGGAUUUCCAAGAAUGUGUAAUAUAGCUCGAGCCACUACGUGCCCAAUACUCUGAUGUCUUGUCUUCCCCGUGAAGUCGUGCCUACAAAAUGCCAACAGUCAUGCAUUACAAGCAUUCAUACAUGCAUAAUCAUGCAUAUUACGUACCCAUGCAUUUAAUGAAAUUGUUAUAUCAUCCAUGCAUAUUGCAUUUCCAAUGUCAACAUCAGUCUCAAUUCAACACUCAUGUCAGGUUCUCUGUCAAAACCUUGUGAGCCAAUAAUAUCGGUCAAUUUCUACCUUUCAAUUCAAAUCGACGUCAAGUCAAUCUCAAUCUAUAUUUUGUCAACAAACCAAUCCCCAGUGAAUAUGUUUUUGUUCGGUCAAGUUACUAGUUCGCAUCCAAGAACGACUUGCACCCGUUUACUUUUCAAUGUUAUCGGUCGAGUGCCCAGCUCAAUCCAAGAGCAGCUUGUACCUGUCUAUUUGUUUCUGUCCGGUGGAGUAACCAGUUCGCAUCCAAGAACAAGCUCACACCUGUUUAUUUGCCUUGCUUUCGGUCGAGUAACCAGUUCGAAUCCUUAAGAACAACUCGUACCUGCCAAUUUUACAUGUUUUCAGUCGAGUCACCAGUUCGAAUCCGUAAGAACAACUCGUACUUGCCAAUUUUCUCUUUUUCCCAGUCGGGUCACCAGUUCGAAUCCAUAAGAACAACUCGCACUUUCCAGUAUCCCCAAGUGAGUUAUCAGUUCGAAUCCAUAAGAACAACUCAUAUUUGUCCAGUAACCUCUAUCCCCUGUGGAGUGACCAGUUCGAAUCCAUAAGAACAACUCGCAGUUGUCUGUUUGUUUCAUUCCCGGUCAGGUGCCCAGCUCGAUCCAAGAGCAGCUUGUACCUGUCCAACUUGUUUCUAGUUUCCCGUUACUCUGCUAUUCACUAUCUUUGUCAAUGUCUACCAAUCCCGCAAUGGAUACGACAUAUUUUGUUAAUUCCAAUCCCCAUGAGGUCUUGCAUUCAUAAUCCAAACGAUGCAUGGCAUGCAUAUUAUUUGAAAAUGGGUAGGCGUAUUUUUACGUCCAAACACAGUGCAAAUGCUAAUAUUUAAGUAUCUUCGUCCUGUCAAGCCAAAGACUCCGUCUCUUGACUCUCCAGACAAAGAAACUUAAAUAGGGGCAGCUGUUAUACCCUGUUUUUGGACCUAAAAAUACUGGGCCCAAUUUCAUUUCAAACUUUGUCAAUUAUCAAAUUUCAACUGCACAGUUCAAAUUGUCUCUGCCUCGCAGUAUUUUUCAAUCACAAUUUUACCUAUGUUUUUCUUGCAUAAAACCUUUCGAAAUGUCUUUACUUGUCUUGUAAGUCAUUCAAAAGUGUCUCUGAAUCAUUACAUUGCUUUUUCCACAGUUUAUUUCAAAAUUUGCAAAGAAGUCAUACAGAAGGGUAUUUUGGUCAUUUCCCGCAGUGGGACCCAUUUUCAUCCUUGUGACUGUCUCUGAGUCUUUUCAAAUUCAUUUUUAACUUUCCAUCAGUAAACCUUGCUAAUUUCGUUUCAAACUUGCAUCUGAGUCAGUGUCGAGUUAAUUUGAUUCUGUUUAGGUCAUUUUUAGCCCUAGGGGCAUUUUGGUCAUUUCACAUAAAAUUUUGGCAUGGGGAGGUUACUUUGAAGUACCUCAUUUAGGCCAUUGGUUCGUUUUAGUCCGUUUUGUCAAUUUUAUUUUUUUGUUUCGCUUUACGUUUUGUCAGGUUACCAAUUUUAUUUCAAUUUUAUUUUAUUUUGCAUUUUGGUCCUCAAAGAGGUCCAAAAUUGCAUUUCAGUCCAGAAUUCUUUCUAUUUGCAUUUUUAGUCCUUUUUGUUAUUUCCAUUUUAGUCCUUUAAUUUUUCAAUUUUGCAGAAAAGGGCUCAAAGUGUCAAGCUCACGUUUUUUUUCAGUUAAAGUCCAGAUGUCACAAUUCUAUUGGUCCAAGAUCACACAUGUCAGCUAUAAAAGGUGUACAGUGCCACACAGACCCAUUAAUCACACGCCAACUCAUAAACACAAAAUCAAUUUUCUCUUUCUCAGCAAUUAGAUCAAAAACAGAAAAUCUCUCAGAAUUUCUCAAGAACACCAGGAACAAAAACCCUAACCGUUUUCCAGAAACCCUAAUUUUCAUCAGAAUCAACAUUUUUUGCAUCAAUCCUCAGAGAUUCGUGUGAAUCUUCAUCACCGGACUGAAGAUUUUCCUGCAAUUCCAAGUGCGAGCUCGCAUUGAAGCAAGCUCAAGCACUGAUCACAGGAUCUCCUCGCGUGGAUCUAAGAAACAUUGAAGCAAGCUCAAGCACGUAAUCACAGAGAAGCAGAGAAAGAGUCAGAGAAGAUGAAGAAUCUGGACCGGUGAAGCAAACAGAAUCAAAAAUCAUCAAGAACAGAAUCAAGAUUUCCAAAGAUUUCCUCCAUUAAAGGUUUCAACCAAAACCUUAGGUAAAACUCAUAAUCUUUUCUCAGAAAAUAAUAUCACUGUUAAACCUAAAAAUCACGCAAGCAAAACAGAUCCAAAAUUUCCAGAAUUCAAAGCCAAAACCGUAACCGUGAACACAAAACCUAGAUCCAUAAGGAUCUAAGUUUUGAAAGCAAAAACAAACAUCAAAGAGGUGUUAAACAACGAAAUGAUGUAGAUCUUCAAGGAUCUAAACGUUUUCUUUCAAAAAAUCAAAAUCAAAUUCAAAGCCGUACGACAAAUUUCCAGAUCUACAUCGUUUCGAAUUGAAUUUGAAAAAACAAUUGCUGGAUUCGUGUUUAGGGUUAAAGGACGAAUUGAUUGAUGAAGAAAUUUUGAAAUUCUGGAAAUUUUAGGUCACCGGAGUUCUUGAACUCGCCGGAGAAGAUGAAGUUUCCGGCGGACCUUCAAGGUCUCCGCCGUAGCUUCAUCCUCGCCGGCGGCGAGGUUAGUGAGAGGUGAGAGAAGAGAGAGGAACUUAGAGAGAGAAAGGGGAGUGAAAAGUGAAGAAAACCGGAACCUCUUCCCUUAUAUAAGCUAGUGAACCAGACCGGUUCAAGACCGGUCCAAUCCUGUUGAUUCCAGGCCGUUUGAUCUAGGGUUUCAGGAUCCUGGAUCAAUCCUGUGGCUCCUGUGAAUCCGGUUCUUUAGGGUUUUGGGUUGGGCCUUUGGUUUCUUUGGAUCUUUACGUUUUGCUAUUUCUGUGCUAUUCACACCCCUAUUUUUUGCUGCCUGCACCUAUGUCUUGAUUAAAAUUGUGAUAAAAUUCCUAGAAAAAUUCAUACAUGUUUCUUGAUAUUUUCUUAGUGUUUUUAUGACAUUUUUGCACAUUAAGGAUCUAUGAAAAUUUUGUAUAAUCAAUUCAUAGCAUUUUAAUUCUCUUUGAAUUAUUUGUUAUGGAUUCUUCUUCACACAUUUGUCCUUGAUGUGAGAAUAUGUAAUAAAAGCUACUUGAUGUGUUAAUAUGAGAGAUUUGUGCCUAUAAUUUCAUGUUGAUUUGCUGUUUUGAUUUGGUUUAUGAGUUCUUGUUUUUAUGAACAAUAUAUCCAUAUUUUGAAAGAUAUAAAAUGCCAAGUUUACUCUAGAAAAUAUGGCAUGAAAUCAUGCUUGCAUGUUUCCAAUAAUUCCAUGCUAUAACUUGAGAUAAAGAAAACUCUUUCAAAAUUUGUUAAAGCAUGAGAAUUAGAGGCCAAGAAUGCUUUAGGUUUCAUACCUAAGUUUUUAGGGUUUAAUGUCAUUUUGUUAACUUUUUGUGCCAUCUUGCAUGCUUUUAUUUCUUAGUACUUGUUAUGUUUUUUCUUUUCACUAACAAGUUUAUUUCCAUGUUUCAUGCAUCCUGUUAUCAUGGUUUUUGGGUGCCAAGCCAUUAAUUGGACUUGUACCUUUCGACCGUUGAUAUCUCUAUUUUUUCUUGGGAAGGGCAAAAUUGAGAAAAAACCCUUAGAUUCUAAGUUCGGGGGUCGGUUUUACUACGGGAAGGUGUUAGGCACCCGGAGUAACUAUAGUCCUCUAUAGGAGCCGUUUUCCUAAGUCUAUAUUCACGCUUAUUUUUACUUACUUUUGAAGAUGGGAGGUUUAUUUAGUUAAGAAUGAGGGGAGAGAAGUUGUAAGACUUUUUAAUUUUAUUUCGGCUUGGAUGAGUUUUGACUCAUUGCCUACGUACCGUUUUACGGGAUCAAAACCGGCGUAGUUCUUGCUAAAAAAAAGACUUGUUUUUCUUUUGUUUUAAUUGUUUGAUUUUAAGUUUUAAAAAAAGGUUUUGAAGAAGGAGAUUGGGAGGCUUCAUGAGCAUUAGAUUUAGCAAAAAAGGUGAGGUUUGAUUAGUGAUUUAGAAAGAAAGUCUAAAUGAUUAAGAUGAAUUGAAUUUUUCUUAAGAAAAAAGAGAAAGGAAAAAAAAAAUGAAGUGUUGACUUCAUACUUAUUAUGAAAAUUUUUGAAGUGAAGUUCAAUUGCUUUUUUUGAAAAAAAGAUGGAUUUUCCCUAAGUGUUCAAACCUAAGCGCUUAUCUAACCAUACAAUCCUAUGCAUACAUCUAAGGUGAGUGUGUGCGUGUCGGUGCGUCAUAGUGUCCAUAGUCCAUAUUACAAAAAUUGCCUAAAUACAUUCUAUGGCCCCUUUGCCAAGCUACAAACCAAUGAUAACAAAUUACAUUACCAAAUGAAUUAAAACUUGCAAAAAAAACAAAUGCUAGGCUAAAAAGUGGAGGGAAUGCUGAGUUUUUAUGGAGAUUCUGUUAGGUUUCUUCGGAAACACUUGGAUUUGGCUUUUGCUUGUUGAUUUCUGGCUUUGAACCGAAAAUAAAUCGGUGAUUCUUCUUUUCUCACUGAUUCCGUUUCUUCAUCUUCUUCGCCGGCUUAAAACCUUGCUUCUUUCCCUUUUCUUCUCCUUUUUCAACGCCUCUGUGAUCGGUGUUGGAGUUCUUCGCCACUGGGGAAGAAUUCUCACCUUGAAUUGCAGAGGGAUCAACUCAGUGAUGAAGAUUCGCCAUUGAAUCUCUGAGAGUUUGAUGCAAAAAUCAAUGAAUUUGUGUAUGAAUUUUGGUUCUGGAAAUUUCUAGGGUUCUUGUGUUCUUGAUGAACUUGAUGAUUUUUCUGUUUCUGAUCUAACUGAAUGGAGAGAGAAAGUCUCAUUGUGUUUGUUGAGUUGGCGUGUGAUUAAUGGCUUUGAAUCUGACUCACUGUUUAUAUAGUUGACAUGUGUACACUUGAGCCAAUGAAAUUGUGACACGUACCCUGGACUUGCUCACUUGGGCGCUGCUUGCUAUUUUAAGGACCAAUCUGCAAAUUGUGAAAAUGACAAGGACUGGACUGCAAAAUUAAAAAAAACUUGAAAUGAAAUAAAUAAUAAAAAAACAGUUUGGACAAAAAUGCAAUUUUGGGACCUCAAUUGAGGGACCAAAAUGCAAUACAAAAUAAAAUUUGAAUAAAAAACGUAAUUUGACCAAACGUAAAGUGAAACAAAAAUAAAAUUGACAAAACGGACUAAAACGAACCAAUGGCCUAAAUGAGGUACUUCAAAGUAACCUCCCCAUGCCAAAAUUUCAUGUGAAAUGACCAAAAUGCCCCUAGGGCUAAAAAUGACCUAAACUGACUCAAACAGACUUGACACUGACUCAGAUGCAAGUUUGAAAUGAAUUUAAACAGGGUUUACUGACGAAAUGUCAAAAAAUGAAUUUGAAAAGACUCGGAGAUAGUCACAAGGAUGAAGAUGGGUCCCACUGCAGGAAAUGACCAAAAUACCCUUCUGUAUGACCUUUUGCAAAUUUUGAAAUAAACUGUAGAAAAAGCAAUGUAAUGAUUCAGAGGCACUUUUGAAUGACUUACAAGACAAGUAAAGACAUUUUGAAAGGUUUUAUGCAAGAAAAACAUAGGUAAAAUUGUGAUUGAAAAUACUGCGAAGCAGAGACAAUUUGAACUGUGCAGUUGAAAUUUGAUAAUUGACAAAGUUUGAAAUGAAAUUGGGCCCAGUAUUUUUAGGUCCAAAAACAGGGUAUAACAGCUGCCCCUAUUUAAGUUUCUUUGUCUGGAGAGUCAAGAGACGGAGUCUUUGGCUUGACAGGACGAAGAUACUUAAAUAUUAGCAUUUGCACUGUGUUUGGACGUAAAAAUACGCCUACCUAUUUUCAAAUAAUAUGCAUGCCAUGCGUCAUUUGGACUAUGAAUGCAAGACCUCAGGGGGAUUGGAAUUAACAAAAUAUGUCGUAUCCAUUGCGGGAUUGGUAGACAUUGACAAAGAUAGUGAAUAGCAGAGUAACGGGAAACUAGAAACAAGUUGGACAGGUACAAGCUGUUCUUGGAUUCAAACUAGCCACUUGACCGGGGAUGAAACAAACAGACAACUGCGAGUUGUUCUUAUGGAUUCGAACUGGUCACUUCACAGGGGAUAGAGGUUACUGGACAAACAUGAGUUGUUCUUAUGAAUUCGAACUGAUAACUCACUUGGGGAUGUUGGAAAGUGCGAGUUGUUCUUAUGGAUUCGAACUGGUGACCCGACUGGGGAAAUUGACAAGUACGAGUUGUUCUUAUGGAUUCGAACUGGUCACUCGACCGAAAGCAAAGGCAAAUAAACAGGUGUGAGCUUGUUCUUGGAUGCGAACUGGUUACUCCACCGGACAGAAAUAGAUAGACAGGUACAAGCUGCUCUUGGAUUGAGCUAGCCACUUGACCAAACGGAAACAUAUUGACAGGUACGAGCUGCUCUUGGAUUGAGCUGGACACUCGACCGAUAACAUAAGCAAAUUGAUAGGUACAAGCUGUUCUUGGACUUGAACUAGCCACUUGACCAAACAGAAACAUAUUCACUGGGGAUUGAGUUUUGUUUGACGAAAUAUAGAUUGAGAUUGACUUGGCGUCGAUUUGGUUUGAAAGGUAGAAAUUGAUUGAUAUUAUUGGAUCACAAGGCUUUGACAGAGAACCUGACAUGAGUAUUGAAUUGAGACUGAUGUUGACAUUGGAAAUGCAAUAUGCAUGGAUGAUAUAACAGUUCCAUUAAAUGCAUGGGCACGUAAUAUGCAUGAUUAUGCAUGUAUGAAUGCUUGUAAUGCAUGACUGUUGGCAUUUUGUAGGCACGACUUCACGGGGAAGACAAGACAUCAGAGUAUUGGGCACGUAGUGGCUCGUGCUAUAUUACACAUUCUUGGAAAUCCUCUUUGGAGAUGACGUCGUUGGGAGACGUAUCGGAACCAUGGCUGAGGGCAGGUAGCUAUGCAACUUGCUGGGGAUAGAAUCUCGAGAGACUUUACUGGGGAUAAUGCCGUUGUGCUGGGCAUGUUGUGGACAUCGCAUCUGUGGUCAAUGCUUUUUGCAUGCUAUUUUCUCAUUCUCAUUUUUCGCAUCCCAUUUUUGCCUGGAUCGCCCUUUCGGGUUUUCGAUCCACCGGGGAAAUAGAUUCUUUUCAAUGCCCCAUUUUUGCCUGAACUGCCCUUUCGGGUUGUCAAUCCAGCGGGGUGCUCAUUUUUGCCUAAGCCGCCCUUCCGGGUUUUCAACUUAGCGAGCCUUUUCAUUUUCAUGCAUUUUCAUUCUGUUUUUUCAUUCUUGCCAUUGACCACAGAUUAUCUUGGAGGAGAACCUGCUUGUAACAUAUAUUGAAAUAGACAUUAACAUACUCUCGCUCAUGCAUGUUUCAUUUGAACGUACCCUGUUGCUCAGGUUUGCUUUUCAAAACAGACAAAAAGUUUUCAAUUUUCAAAAUGUUUGUUUCAAGCAUUGUCAUUAUCAAAAUAGAAAGAAAAUGUUUUGUAUAUAGCUUUGAAAGUAAAAAGAAAAAUAGAGUUUCAAACAACAGCACAAGCUCAAUUUGAUGUAUAAGAGUGGUGGUCAGCCGAAGGCAUGACUCCACGGAUUCACAAAGCUUGGAAAAUGGUAAUUUUUAUUGGUUGGUGGUACAUUGAACACGGUAACCACUACAGUUCUUAGAAACUUUGAAUUCACAAGUACAGAAGCUUUUGAUGAAGAUAGGCAUUAACAGCUGCAGAUGCCCCAAGGGGGACGGUGGUUGGCCAGAUAUAGUUACUUGCCUUUUGUUUCAAUCUCAUUUUUGCAUGAACCGCCCUUCCGGGUUUUCGGCUCAUCGAGACGCUCAUUCUUGCCUGAGUUGCGUACAAUCUCAGCGAGCUUUUCAUAUUUGUUUUUUUUUUUUUUUUUUUUUGUCCCUUAUUUUUGCCUGGACCGCCCUUUCGGGUUUUCGAUCCAUCGGGAAGCGCAUUUUUGCCUAGGCCGCCCUUUCGGGUUUUCGACCUACCACGCUGUUCUUUUCACAUUUCUAGGCAAAGUAUUUCUUGACUAUAUCGGCAUUCACUGGAUUUGGAAGCUCUACACCAUCCAUGUGUGUAAGGAUUAAAGCACCACCGGAGAAGGCCUUCUUGACAACAUAAGGACCUUCAUAGUUAGGCGUCCACUUGCCCCUUGGGUCGGGUUGCUGGCUUAUCCUCCUUUUCAAUACAAGUUCCCCUACCUUGAAUUCUCGAGGAUGGACUUUCUUGUCAAAAGCAGUCUUCAUUCUUGCUUGAUAUGACUGUCCACGAGCCAUGGCAUCCAUACGUUUUCCCUCAAUCAAAUUCAACUGAUCAUACCGGCUUUGGCACCAUUCAGCCUCAGAUAACUUUGCUUCCAUUAUCACACGGAGAGAUGGGAUCUCCACUUCCAAAGGAAGAACUGCUUCCAUACCAUAUACAAGAGAGAAAGGGGUUGCCCCGGUUGAACUGCGCACGGUAGUGCGGUAGCCAUGCAGAGCAUAGGGUAACAUCUCAUGCCAGUCCUUGUAAGUGGUUACCAUCUUCUGGACAAUUCUCUUGAUAUUCUUAUUGGCGGCCUCAACUGCACCAUUCAUCUGAGGUCUAUAGGGAGAAGAGUUAUGAUGCUCAAUUUUGAAUUCUUCACAAAGAACUUGCACCACAUUAUUGUUCAGGUUGGUACCAUUGUCGGUAAUAAUCUUGCUGGGAACACCAUAUCGACAGAUGAUGUUGUUCUUGAUGAACUUAGCUACCACUUGCUUGGUCACAUUGGUAUAAGAUGCUGCUUCAACCCAUUUGGUAAAGUAGUCAAUUGCCACUAAGAUGAAACGAUGACCAUUUGAAGCCUUCGGUUCAAUUCUUCCAAUCAUGUCGAUGCCCCACAUCGAGAACGGCCAUGGGGAUGACAUAACAUUGAGAGCGUGCGGAGGCACAUGAAUCUUAUCAGCAUAGAUUUGACAUUUGUGGCAUUUUCUGGCGUACUGGUAGCAAUCAUGCUCCAUAGUCAUCCAGUAGUAACCUGCCCGUAGCAACUUUCUUGACAUAGUAUGCCCUGUAGCAUGGGUCCCGAAGGUACCGUCAUGUACAUCAUGCAUUAACUGCUCUGCCUCAUGUUCAUCAACACAUCUUAACAAUACCAUGUCAUAGUUUCUCUUGUACAGAAUAUCUCCAUCUAACAGGAAUCUACUGGCCAAUCUUCUCAAGGUCUUCUUGUCUUGUUUGGAAGCACCCGGCGGAUACUCACGGCUCAGCAAGAACCGUUUGAUGUCGUAGUACCAGGGUUUAUAGUCAACCACAUUUUCGCCAGCCUGAUCGAUCACAUCCCCAAUAGCAAACACAUGGGAAGGUCUUUCAAGGCGUUGCACUUUGAUUACUGGCACAUCAUUCCAAUGGUUUACUCGGAACAUGGAAGAUAGAGUAGCAAGAGCAUCCGCCAUUUGGUUCUCAUCACGAGGAAUAUGAUGCAGCUCAACCUUUGUAAAAUAUGUCAGAAGACGUCUCGCAUAAUCACGAUAAGGAAUCAACUUAGCAUGGUGGGUCUCCCAUUCACCCUUUAUCUGAUUGAUGACGAGCGCAGAAUCUCCAUAGAUGUCGAGGUGUUUGAUUCUCAUGUCAAUUGCUUCCUCGAUCCCGAAGAUACAUGCUUCAUACUCAGCCAUGUUGUUGGUACAUUCGAACAGAAUUCGGGCGGUAAAGGGAAUGUGAUGCCCUUGCGGGGAUACAAUGACUGCCCCAAUUCCUUUGCCAUAAGCAUUGACAGCACCAUCAAAGACUAAACCCCACUUGCUAUUGGGAUCUGGACCUUCAUUAAUCAACGGUUCGUCGCAGUCUUUGGAUUUCAAAUACAUGAUCUCUUCAUCAGGGAAAUCGAAUUCAAUUGGUUGGUAAUCAUCAAGAGGUUGAUAAGCAAGGUGAUUGGCAAGAAUGCUGCCUUUGAUUGCCUUUUGAGUUUUGAACACAAUAUCAUAUUCAGACAAAAGCAUCUGCCAGCGUGCGAUCUUCCCAGUAACGGCCGCUUUCUCAAAGAUAUACUUUAUCGGAUCCAUUCUGGAUAUCAACCAAGUUGUAUGAUUCACCAAAUAAUGGCGCAGGCGUUUGGCAGCCCAAGCUAAAGCACAACAAGUCUUUUCAAGCAUUGUAUAUCGAGUUUCACAAUCGGUGAACUUCUUACUUAGAUAGUAGAUAGCAUGCUCUUUCUUUCCGGUUUCAUCUUGUUGACCAAGUACACAUCCCAUGGAUUCAUCAAAUACUGCCAAAUACAUAAUCAAAGGCCUUCCUUCCACGGGUGGGACAAGGAUAGGUGGUUCCAGCAGGUAAUUCUUGAUGCUAUCAAAAGCUUCUUGGCAUUCAUCAUUCCAUACAACAGGCUGGUUCUUUCUAAGUAGCUUGAAAAUCGGCCCGCAGGUUGCAGUCAUGUGAGAUAUGAAUCGGGAGAUGUAAUUCAAACGUCCCAAGAAACCUCUGACUUGCUUCUCUGUCUGUGGAGCUGGCAUUUCUCGGAUGGCCCGGACUUUAUCAGGAUCGACUUCAAUGCCCUUUUGGCUGACAAUGAAGCCUAAUAACUUUCCGGACCUGACACUGAAUGUACAUUUGUUGGGAUUCAAUCGCAGCUUGUAUUUUCUCAACCUUUCAAACAUCUUUGUUAAAUAUUCAACAUGCUGCUCCUCAUCUGCUGACUUCACAAUCAUGUCAUCCACAUAUACCUCAACUUCUUUGUGAAUCAUGUCAUGAAACAGAGUGGUCAUUCCCCUUUGGUAGGUAGCACCGGCAUUGAUUAGGCCGAACGGCAUCACUUUGUAACAGAAAGUACCCCAUGGAGUGAUAAAAGAUGUCUUUUCUCUAUCUUCAGGGGACAUUUUGAUCUGAUUGUAACCGGAGAAACCGUCCAUGAAGGAGAACACCUUAGAUUGAGCAGUAUUAUCAACAAUCACAUCAAUAUGAGGUAAUGGAAAGUUGUCUUUUGGACUGGCUUUGUUCAAGUCCCUGAAGUCAACACACAUCCGGACUUUACCAUCCUUCUUUGGCACAGGCACAAUAUUGGCAACCCAUUCGGGAUACUCAACUGUCAUGAGGAAACCCGCAUCGAUCUGCUUUUGAACUUCAUUCUUGAUCUUGAGGGCCAUGUCAGGAUGAGUCCUCCUCAAUUUCUGCCUGACGGGAGGACAUUCAGGCUUGGUAGGGAUCCGAUGCUCCACGAUCAUAGGGUCUAGACCUGGCAUAUCUUCAUAGGACCAUGCAAAAAUAUCCGGAUAUUCCCGGAGGAGUUGGAUGAUCUUCUGUUUAACCCCUUCCUCUAGAGUAGCACCAAUCUUGAUUUCUCGCUUGUUUUCCUCGGUACCUAUGUUGAUAAGCUCAAUCUCUUCUUGGUGAGGCUGAAUGGCUUUCUUUUCUUGCUCAAGUAACCGAGUGAUCUCAUACGGUAUGUCAUCACCUUCCUCAUCUUCGGCUUCAUAUACAGGGAAAUCAAAACUUGGAGGAACCGUAGGAUUACUGUGUUCAACGGGUUUAUUAUGGUUCAACCUGCAUAUAAUGAUUGGAUGAUUUUAGAAAGAGCUUUUUUUUUUCAUGCAGAUUUUUGAAACUAAUAAGAAAAUACAGACGUUUUGGUUUUUUCUGGCAUUACCAUUGUUUCCAAGGGAAAAAGCACUAAAAGAAAAGUAGUCGUGGAAGAAACGACAAAAUUUUAUUAACCAACGGCAAUGCCGAAACAAACAUGCCCUUACAGAAAAUAUCACUCUCGCUUUGGGCAGAGCGAGAGGAUUGUUAUUUUGAAAACAAAGCACUAAAGCAACAAGACACAUUACUCAGAAACAUGCAUGAUUGAAGGAAUGUCAAUGGCAUCCCAAUUCGUCGCAAUGCCUCCUGGUGUAACAAAUACAGGCCUGAGACCAGAUCCAGUGGCUUCUUCAGAGAUAACAUUAACAAACCCUGCACUGUGGAAGACUCCUGAGGAAACCCUUGACGAUGGAGAGAACCCGAGACCUUCUUUACGCUUGUUCUCACAGAGCUGUAUCACCUUGCCCCAGCCGGCAGUCUGACCUUCUUGGAUGGCUCUCUGAGCAUCUUUCAAUGAAGCCAUAGCAGCCCCAGCUUCCUUAGACUCUGCACCUUCGAUGGUCAAACCUUGGAAAGCAGUCCCUUCAGCAGACCCUGCUUCAACACAAGAAAAAGAAGACAACUGGCUGACUAAGUAUGCUUCUUCACCAUGGAUUGUAACGAGUUUUCCAUUCUUCACAAAUUUCAACUUCUGAUGUAAGGUGGAAGUAACCGCACCUGCAUCGUGUAUCCACGGUCUUCCCAGCAGGCAACUGUAGGAUGCAUUAAUGUCCAUCACUUGGAAGGUAACCAAGAAAUUCUCAGGGCCAAUAGUUAUCGGCAAGUCUAUCUCCCCCAGCACAUUCUUUCGAGAUCCGUCAAAAGCUUUGACCAAGAAAGUACUUCUCCUCAACGGGGUCCCACGGUAGCUCAACUGAUCUAGAGUUGUCUUGGGCAUUACAUUGAGAGAGGAACCGGUAUCUACCAACACAUUUGAUAUCAUGUCUGAUUUACAAUUCACCGAGAUGUGCAAAGCCAGAUUGUGACUCCUUCCCACUUCCGGCAACUCUUCUUCACUAAACCAGAGGUUGUUACAAGCAGUAAUAUUUCCCACUAUACCACCGAAACGAUCUACCGAGACUUCGUGGUCAACAUAUGCCUGCUCCAGCACUUUCAACAAGGUGUUCCUGUGAGCCUCAGAGCUCAAGAGUAGCGACAAGACAGAUAUCUUCGAAGGAGUUUGCAGCAAUUGAUCAACGAUCUUGUAGUCGCUCCUCUUUAUUAUUCUCAGAAUCUCGUCUAAAUUUGAAUCCUCUAUAGAUUUGCCUGGCUGAUUCACAUCUGUAGCAAUGGGUGAAACAACGGUUGGAGUUGCUUCUUUAACUGGUGGAGUAAUUGGCGUAGCUACCUUCUUCUGAAAUAACGGCGGACGAACCUUCCCGCUUCUCAGCGCUGCAGAAGUCCCUUCGGCAAUAUUGCUUACUGUGGCAAAGGAGGCUAGAGGCACCUCUACUCCAUUUUCUAUCAUAGUGGCAUUGUACUUGUAUGGCACUGCCUUGUCCGAAGCAUAAGGAAUUGGUCCUGGCAACCUUAUUACCAAAGGCUCAGCAUUCUUCUUCAAAGGUACACUCUUGACAGGCGGAUCGUGAAAAACCGGCACAACCACGCAAACAUCACUGACAGUCAGAAGAUUAUCAUUCAUCAAGCUUUGGAUGUCGUCUUGAACAGUAUAGCAGCCCAAAGGAUCACAGAGGCAUCCUAGACACUUGGCAUGAUCAUGGCUGAACAGAGAAGCUUUGCACAGCUUGAUGUGCAGAGGCACCAGAGGAGUAGCAACAUUGCGGACAUCAAGUCUAGGAGCUUCCUCACACACUUCGAUCAUAUUCACAGCGGCAUGAUUUGGUAGUGGAUUGUCAAGGACAUGUGGAACAUUGUUCUCAAAAGUCAGCUUUCCCUGAUCAAUGAGCUUCUUCACGAUAUACUUCAAAGCAUAACACCCCUCGACAUCAUGACCUAAAGCACCUUGAUGAAAGUCACAUUUGAGAUCAGACCUGAACCUUGGAGGCAACGGAUCAGGUGGGGGCUUACCCUGUCUAGUUGUACAAUGUCCUCUCUGGAGUAGAGUUGGAAGCAACUCAGCAUACAACAUUGGUAUAGGAGGAAAAGUUGGCCUAGUAUACUGCUGCUGCUGCUGUUGUUGUUGUUGUUGAACCGGCAACUGUUGUUUCAUCUGUUGGGCAAUUGCAUUGACGGGCACUUGAGGCUGGCCCGGUGGCAAAGGGUACUGAUGAUAAAACGGUGGGAAGAACGGAUGCUGAGAAUACGGCAUAUAUGGGUAUGACGGAGGCAUUUGAGCUGCAUUGAUAGGAGCAACGGUAGCCAUAGAUUGACCGGCUGCAGCUGACACCAUUCCCACUUCCGUUUCUUUCUUCUUGUGGUGUCCAUUACCAUACCUCUUCGAUGCACUCGUAGAAGAUUCAGCUUUCUCAAACACAAUGAUCCCAUCUCUGACUGCUUCCUCAAGACGGGUUCCCAUGGUGACCAUCUCCGAAAAGUUGUUCGGGGCAGCAAUGAUCAUUCUCUCAACAUAAUCUUUCUUCAAGGUCUUUAAGAACGUCUGGGUCAUUUCUUCUUCAUCUAAAGCAGGAGUGAUACGGGCAGCUGCCCCUCUCCACCUUUGCGCAUAUUCACGGAAACUUUCCUCCUUUUUCUGAGAUAGGGACCUGAGAAACUCCCUAUUCGGCUUCAAACGAGUGUUAAACCCGUAGUGGCUCCUGAAAGCGGUGGCCAGCUCAUCAAAAGUAUGGACAUCGUCUUUGCUCAGACUAGUAUACCACUCCGCAGCAUCUUCCAUCAGACUGUCUUGGAAGUAAUGGAUCAUAAGGGAAUCAUUGUCCUUGUAGUUGCCCAUUUUCCGGACGUAUUUGACAAUAUGAUUUUGAGGACAAGUCAGCCCGUUAUACUUGUCGAACUCCGGGACUUUGAACUUUUUUGGAACAUCUACCUUCGAUACCAAGCAGAGGUCCUGGGUUUUAAUGGAGUCUCCAUUUCCCCUGUUGGCCUUAAUUUCCCGUCGGAGCUCUUUGGCAAGUUCUUCCAUUCUCUCUUCCAUAGUUCCGGUUGUGGUAAUACUCCCGUGGUGUGCGUUGGCAUGGACAAAUAGAGGCACCGCAUUCACAAUGGGCUCGGUAACAGUUGUUGCAGCUUGAGUCAAGGCGGUACUAAUAGGAGUUAAGUUUGCCCCUGGGAUUGGGCCACUGUUGGUAGUACCAGAGGUCCCUGCCCCUGUGUUAGCAGUAUAGUACAGCGGAAGUCCGUAAGGAUACCCGGAUGGCAUGAUAGAGCGGGGAUCAGUUGUUACAGUAGGAGUCACAUUUGCAGCUGUAGAAACUACAGGAACUGGUUGUUCCUGAGCAGCCAACAGAGCAGUCAUAGCAUCAUGAGCUUUGGCCAAUUCCUCCCUUAGAGAUGCCAAUUCGGUACGAAGCUGUGUGUUCUCUUCUUCCAUAGCCCUUUUCUUUCUUCUGUAUUCUCUGGUUCGAUCAAUUCUAUCAGGUUCGUAAACUCUCUGAGCACGAGCCACUUUUCACACUGCGGCAGAGAAACCAGGAGGUGGUAAGCACUUGGAAGCCUUUGUGACCAAUGCAUGAUGCAUAUGAUGCAUGAUGUGCAAAUGCAAAUGCAAAAGACUUAUUUUCUCAUCGAAGGAUUUUUAAACAAAUUAGAAAUCUUGCAAAUAAACAAAACUACAUAGUAUUCUCAACAGAAAGACUUUGAAAUAAACAUAUGAAGCCCUCAAGCAUAGGAAGCAGUCGGAAGAUCAUCGGACUCGGAAUCUGAAUCACAGUAUCUGGCAAAGAAGUCUCGUCGUCCUCUGGCUCUCUUGGAAUCCCUCAUAAGCAGCUCGUCUUUCUCUUCCAAUUCCCUCCGGGCCUUAGCUAGCUCUUUCUUCAACAUUAAAUUCUCAUGAGUCUUCUGCUCAUCUCUACCAUCCAAAGUCAUGAUUAGAUUCUCGGCUUGAUUAUACCGAGCUUUCCACACUUGCUUCUCACGACUCUCCAUAGCUAGAUGCUCCUGAUACAUAUCCUGAGUCGCGGGGAGUAGAGGUAGAGGCAUAGAUGGAGUAGACGAAGACACGUAUCUCAUAGCUGGAUAAGGCAUACCAAUCUCCUCAGCUCGAUCUAUCACCCACUGAGUAUAGGCCUCAUGAGCAACACCGGAUCUCACACCUAGAUGCUUCACACUCUUCCUUCGAACCUUGGACCAAGCAUCCAUGAAAGCUUUCCUUUGUCCGGUAGGAGCAUUCGCAUAGAAGAAGAACUCUGGAGAUGUAGCAAGAUUGAUGGGCUUCGACUUCAUAGGGAAACCAAACUGUCUCAUAGCAAGCUCGGGAUUGUAGUUAAUUCCUCCCCGAGUACCAAGAAGAGGUACAUUGAGAAAGUCUCCACAACCCAUAAUGAUUUCCUUCACUUGAGCGGCAGGAGUGAGCCAGACGACCUCAUUAGGAGUGAGGGCCAUAAUCCGCUGCGAGUAGGACCAGUUCUCCGAGUUAUCAUGGAAGGAACUCGGAAGGUGCGAAAUAAACCACCUAUACAAAAGAGAUGUGCAGCAAAGAAUAUACCCACGGCCCUUGAGAGUCCUGUCAUGAAUGGCGUGGUAAGUAUCCGCUAGCAAAGUAGGAACCGGGUUCUUGGAAUGAAAGAUCUCGAUAGCAUUCAUGUCCACGAAGUUGUCGAGGUUCGGAAAGAGAAUGAGCCCGUAGAUAAGCAAAGCAAGAAUAGCCUCAAGUGUAUCCUGACGAGUAGUACCGAGAUUAGCCUGAUCAAGAAGAUACUUCGAAGUAAACCCCCGGAUGUGAGACUUGGUAAUAAGAUGGUUGGAGACGUCGGAAGUCUUGAGGUAGAGAUCCUUAGCAAUAACCAGAGGAGUAAGAGGAGUCCCAGGACCGGUGAAAGGCGUCUUCUCGGCUAUAGGUAAACCCACUAGAUUGGAGUAAGCCUCAAGAGUAGGAACCAACUGGAAGUCCGGGAAAGUGAAGCAACGGAAGCUCGGAUCAUAAAAUUGCACCAGAGUGUGCACUAGCUUCUCGUCCACAUCGGUUCGGAGCAAAGUAAGCAAUCCCCCAUACCGGAGUCGGAACCCUGUUUGGCUCUUGACCUUGAGCGCCAACUCUCUCAAACUAACCAAAUCCACUUCCUUGAACUUGUAGCACUUAGUCUUCUUCAUACCUGUGAUUAUUUACAAAAAAUUUCCAUUUGUUUAAGUCCUUCGAUGAAUGCAUGAAAAAUGUUUAUGCAUGAAUGCAUGUAUGCAUGAUUGUGUUGUUUAGUUACAAUGUGGGUUGAGAUUCAAAGUAACAAGGCCACGGAUGGACACGGUGUCCGGUGAACUAAGGCUUUGGAUAGUAGUAACCAAGGUUCUAACACAGUUCCCAAACUGCAACCUCUCUCACAUAUAUCAUGGUAGUACAGGACGACACCCGUUCCAUGUUUAUUUGUGAGAAGGUCUAGCUUGAGUGUAGUAUCGCGUGACGACUAAAGUUUGAGACAACACUCAAUUUAGCCACCGCACUACGUCCUAAGAAGGCUAGGAUGGGUUUGGUAACUACGGUUCAUAGCUUCGUCGAACAAUUGAAAGUGAAGUGCCUAAGCAUGACAACACACGCCGACAAUACCACCUUCAAAAUGCCUCAGCUAUGUGAGAUUGAUCGCAUAAUCCAAUACACGAGGCAACCCCCGGAUCGAAUUGUCGAUUAUAUCUCUACCUAAACAUAAGUUCACUCAGCCCGGGUAUAGGACUUUUGAUAUUCUCACCCCACACGUCAAAUGAAAAUAAACAAGUAUUCACAUGUGUAGGCAAUAAAAUAAAGCAUAAAUAUACACUAAGGAAAACUAGGCGCGACCCGCUAAAAAGAAUUUCCCCAGUGAAGUCGCCAUUUCUGUUAUCAUGGUUUUUGGGUGCCAAGCCAUUAAUUGGACUUGUACCUUUCGACCGUUGAUAUCUCUAUUUUUUCUUGGGAAGGGCAAAAUUGAGAAAAAACCCUUAGAUUCUAAGUUCGGGGGUCGGUUUUACUACGGGAAGGUGUUAGGCACCCGGAGUAACUAUAGUCCUCUAUAGGAGCCGUUUUCCUAAGUCUAUAUUCACGCUUAUUUUUACUUACUUUUGAAGAUGGGAGGUUUAUUUAGUUAAGAAUGAGGGGAGAGAAGUUGUAAGACUUUUUAAUUUUAUUUCGGCUUGGAUGAGUUUUGACUCAUUGCCUACGUACCGUUUUACGGGAUCAAAACCGGCGUAGUUCUUGCUAAAAAAAAGACUUGUUUUUCUUUUGUUUUAAUUGUUUGAUUUUAAGUUUUAAAAAAAGGUUUUGAAGAAGGAGAUUGGGAGGCUUCAUGAGCAUUAGAUUUAGCAAAAAAGGUGAGGUUUGAUUAGUGAUUUAGAAAGAAAGUCUAAAUGAUUAAGAUGAAUUGAAUUUUUCUUAAGAAAAAAGAGAAAGGAAAAAAAAAAUGAAGUGUUGACUUCAUACUUAUUAUGAAAAUUUUUGAAGUGAAGUUCAAUUGCUUUUUUUGAAAAAAAGAUGGAUUUUCCCUAAGUGUUCAAACCUAAGCGCUUAUCUAACCAUACAAUCCUAUGCAUACAUCUAAGGUGAGUGUGUGCGUGUCGGUGCGUCAUAGUGUCCAUAGUCCAUAUUACAAAAAUUGCCUAAAUACAUUCUAUGGCCCCUUUGCCAAGCUACAAACCAAUGAUAACAAAUUACAUUACCAAAUGAAUUAAAACUUGCAAAAAAAACAAAUGCUAGGCUAAAAAGUGGAGGGAAUGCUGAGUUUUUAUGGAGAUUCUGUUAGGUUUCUUCGGAAACACUUGGAUUUGGCUUUUGCUUGUUGAUUUCUGGCUUUGAACCGAAAAUAAAUCGGUGAUUCUUCUUUUCUCACUGAUUCCGUUUCUUCAUCUUCUUCGCCGGCUUAAAACCUUGCUUCUUUCCCUUUUCUUCUCCUUUUUCAACGCCUCUGUGAUCGGUGUUGGAGUUCUUCGCCACUGGGGAAGAAUUCUCACCUUGAAUUGCAGAGGGAUCAACUCAGUGAUGAAGAUUCGCCAUUGAAUCUCUGAGAGUUUGAUGCAAAAAUCAAUGAAUUUGUGUAUGAAUUUUGGUUCUGGAAAUUUCUAGGGUUCUUGUGUUCUUGAUGAACUUGAUGAUUUUUCUGUUUCUGAUCUAACUGAAUGGAGAGAGAAAGUCUCAUUGUGUUUGUUGAGUUGGCGUGUGAUUAAUGGCUUUGAAUCUGACUCACUGUUUAUAUAGUUGACAUGUGUACACUUGAGCCAAUGAAAUUGUGACACGUACCCUGGACUUGCUCACUUGGGCGCUGCUUGCUAUUUUAAGGACCAAUCUGCAAAUUGUGAAAAUGACAAGGACUGGACUGCAAAAUUAAAAAAAACUUGAAAUGAAAUAAAUAAUAAAAAAACAGUUUGGACAAAAAUGCAAUUUUGGGACCUCAAUUGAGGGACCAAAAUGCAAUACAAAAUAAAAUUUGAAUAAAAAACGUAAUUUGACCAAACGUAAAGUGAAACAAAAAUAAAAUUGACAAAACGGACUAAAACGAACCAAUGGCCUAAAUGAGGUACUUCAAAGUAACCUCCCCAUGCCAAAAUUUCAUGUGAAAUGACCAAAAUGCCCCUAGGGCUAAAAAUGACCUAAACUGACUCAAACAGACUUGACACUGACUUAGAUGCAAGUUUGAAAUGAAUUUAAACAGGGUUUACUGACGAAAUGUCAAAAAAUGAAUUUGAAAAGACUCGGAGAUAGUCACAAGGAUAAAGAUGGGUCCCACUGCAGGAAAUGACCAAAAUACCCUUCUGUAUGACCUUUUGCAAAUUUUGAAAUAAACUGUAGAAAAAGCAAUGUAAUGAUUCAGAGGCACUUUUGAAUGACUUACAAGACAAGUAAAGACAUUUUGAAAGGUUUUAUGCAAGAAAAACAUAGGUAAAAUUGUGAUUGAAAAUACUGCGAAGCAGAGACAAUUUGAACUGUGCAGUUGAAAUUUGAUAAUUGACAAAGUUUAAAAUGAAAUUGGGCCCAGUAUUUUUAGGUCCAAAAACAGGGUAUAACACAUCCCAUUUAGCAUUCCCUCCACUUUCUUUAGCCUAGCCUUUAUCUUUUGCAAGUUUUAAUUCAUUUGGUAAUGUAAUUUGUUAUCAUUGGUUUGUAGCUUGGCAAAGGGGCCAUAGAAUGUAUUUAGGCAAUUUUUGUAAUAUGGACUAUGGACACUAUGAUGCACCGACACGCACACACUCACCUUAGAUGUAUGCAUAGGAUUGUAUGGUUAAAUAAGCGUUUAGGUUUUAAACACUUAGAGAAAAUCCAUCUUUUUUUCAAAAAAAAAUAAUUGAACUUCACUUCAAAAACUUUCCUAAUAAGUAUGAAGUCAACACUUCAUUUUUUUCCUUUCUUUUUUUCUUAAGAAAAAUUCAAUUCAUCUUAAUCAUUUAGACUUUCUUUCUAAUCACUAAUCAAACCUCACUUUUUGCUAAAUCUAAUGCUCAUGAAGCCUCCCAAUCUCCUUCUUCAAAACCUUUUUUCUCAAAACUUAAAAUUAAACAAUUAGAACAAAAAACAAGUCUUUUUAGCAAGAACUACGCCGGUUUUGAUCCCGUAAAACGGUACGUAGGCAAUGAGUCAAAACUCAUCCAAGCCGAAAUAAAAUCCAAUUCUACUUCUUCUCACCCCCAUUCUUCACUAAUCAUACUUUCUUUUUUACAAAUAAGCAAUAAAACUAAAGCGUAGAAAUAAACUUAGGAAAGCGGUUCUUAUGGAGUACCAUAAUCGCUCCGGGUGCCUAACACCUUCCCGUAGCGAAAACGACCCCCGAACUUAGAAUCUAAGGGUUUUUCUCAAUUUUGCCCUUCCCAAGAAAAAAUAGAGAAUAUCAACGGUCAAAAGGUUCAAGUCCAAUUAAUGGCUUGGCACCCAAAAACCAUGAUAACAAUAAGAAACUGAAAUAGUGUAUUUUGUUUAUAACCCUCCGUCCCAUAAAAACCGAGCCAUUUGCAAAAAAAUAUUGUCUCAGAAAAAUUGACUCAUUUCACUUUUCAAUACAAUAUUAAUUACUUUUUUUUUCCUUUCAAUUAUAACACUAAUUAAUAUUACUUUCACCACUCCCAAUUUAAUAUAUUCUAAUUUGCAUUUAUGAUAAAGAAGAAUGCACCAAUAGUUACUCAAAACCAUUUUUCUCUCUCUUUUUACUUAUACAUAUUUUCUUAAUAAGUGUGAAAUGAGCUAAGAGCUGAGCUCGAGCUCAGUUAAAAUGGGACGGAGGAGGAAUGUAAUUCAAAGUAACUCAAUUUUAUGCUAUUUAUUUAUUUAUGCUGAAGCCUCAUUAUAAUAGUAUAUAGUGAUAUGUGUGAGAAGCAUAGGAAAAGUACAUAUGGUGAUGAAUGAUGGAACAAGCUUAAAGUCAUAAUUAUUAUUGUUCAAUCAUAAAUAGAUGGUCCCCCAAUUAGAAAAGUAUUUAUGAUCCCCCAUUUUAAAAUGACCCUCGUCCUUUUUUAGAAUUUUAAUCUUAAUAAUGGUGAUAUAUCAUAAUUAAAUGGAUGCAUUUAGGAAGUUUAUAAAUAAUUUUAUAGGUAUUGAUGAUUUUACAUUAUCGGAUCGUAUGACACAUCAUUUAAAAUAUGUCAUGUUAUAGUUUUUUAGUUUAAAAAUAUGAAGAAAAAGAUAUGUCACGUCAGUACUUUUGAGUCCAAAAAUAUAAAAAUAGGCCAAAACGAAUUAUUCUAAAAUUUGGGACAAAUUUCAUGAAAAUAAAGACCUAGAGUGUAGUUAAGACUUAUAACUAUUUUAAACAUUCCUUAAAAAAACUAAUCUAUAAAAUGACAUACGAUUAAUUAUAAAUAUGAUUGACAUAUACUCUAAAAAAGGAAAUGUUUGCAUAUGGUAUUUUAAACACCGUUCUCGUGAACUUAACUCAAUUGAUACGGACAAUGCUUAAUAUGUGCAAGGUCUAGGGUUUUAACCUUGAUCACAAAAAAAACACCAAUAUUUUUUUUCGGGGAUAUUAAACACCAAUAUUCUUUGGAUACUUCUACCCUAAUAUCCAUUACUAAAGUAUUUUAAAUUAUUUAUUUAAUUUUUGUGUGGCUUUUGAUGGUCUAAUCCUAAUUUGUAGAGCAACAUGCAAAUAAUUGGACUAUAAAAGUUACGUGCACAAUUUUUCAUCAAGAAUUUUUUGGCAGCACGCAUUGAAAAUUUGUGUCUCAUUAAGAAUUUGUUAGCACUACGCAUGCAUAUUCUUUUGGGCCUGUCAUCCUGUGUAUUUUCAUUUUCAACAGUAAUUUGUCGGCACUACUAAGCAUCUAUAUCUAUCUUUGUUUUGAAACAGCAAAACUUAUAAAAAAAUCCACUCUUUAGACAAAAACGAACAAAUACCGACAAUUCAAAAACUACAAAAUAAAACGUCAUAUGUAGGCAGAACACAAAAAAAACACCAUAACAUAUCUCACCUCACCAAACAAAAACCUACGUUCAACCGCCAUAAGAAAACAAUCACCAAACCCAACUUCAUCACUCAAACCAAACUCCAUCGCAAACGACCACUGAAAACAAAAUCCAUAAACAUCCAUCGUCCGCUACUCACCCCAAUACCUCCAAAAACCAUCUUAAACAUCAUCAUCUUCUCAUCACCAUAACCUAGCCCAAUUUAACACCCGAAAAGUCCUAUUCCAACUCUCCUUCGGGUUCUACCACCCCUCAUCCCCUGGUCCACCAAAGAAAACAUCAUAAAUAUCCCAAAAUAAACUUGACUCACCGUAUAUUUAUAUCUAUAUCUAUAUCUAUAUCUAUCUAUAUAUCAAUUAAUUCAGGCUCUCAAGUUAUAUCUAUUAAUUUAGGCUCUCAAGUUAACCUCUUCACAACUCACCAUGUUAUAUAUAUCAUAUAGUCUAAUUUUGGCCACAUCAAAUAAAUUCUAAUGUGACAUCUUCCAAAACACACCAUUCCUUAUUCUCUCGUUGCCUUGCUUCAUAAUUUAUGUAUUAUUACAUCUCAUUCCCUUACGAAUUCACAAUUAAAUGACGUUUACUACAUGUCAUAACUCUCAUGUAAUAACGUCAAAUAAGAUGCAUGACCUUAAAUGUCAAAUCAUUAUUAUUAUUAUUAUGAGAGAAGAAGUGAAUGAAUAAUAUUCUCAUUAUUGAUCAAAUGAUAGAGGUUACAACUUAUAUAGUCAUGGUCUAGGAAUACAGUAAUACAAUAGUGGUAACAUCGAAUAUAAAAACUAAGAUAGCUAACUCUACUUGAUAAUAACUCUCAUGUAAUGUCAAAUAAGGUGCAUAACCUUACAUGUCAAAUCAUUAUCAAAUUUAUUACGAAAUUAAUCAAGAACCAAACCUUGAUCCAACAUGGAACUCAAUCAACAAUCAACCCACUUAUUUUGUCGUUAACAUGUUUGUAUGUUUUUUUCUUUUGUUCUCUUUGUAUCAUUUGAUUAUUACUUUAUUGUUUAGAUUCUUUAGAUUGAAUGUGUUUUUUCCUUCAUCUCCUAUGCAAUUAAUAUAUGGACAUGUUUUAAUUCGGUAAUAACGGUGUGCUCAUCAAAUUGGCAAAAUGUUUCCACAUAAAAAAAAAUAAAAAAAUAAAAAAUGUAGCGGUUCAUGUCUAAUAUGAAUCCGGUUAAUAAAAUAAUAUUUUUUUCUCUCCAAUUUUUGCUAAACAUAGGACACCAUUGUUAUUUUUUGCAUGUUAUUUUUUAAGCGACACGUUUUAUAGAUUUUUUUUAGGGAACAUUGUAUGGAAUUUUAGGAAAUGGAUCUCGCCAACUUAAUUUUUUUGUCAGGUUGUCUAGUGGUUCGAGUUCACACAUAUUAGAGAUAUAUAGUUUAGUUACAAGUAGUACUAGUCCUGGUAGUAUAUAUAGUUGUAACCACCUCAUAAGUGGGAUACUUUUCACUCAUUAGUAAUAUUUCAUUUCUAUCAAUACAAAGAGUUUGUUAGAUUUUGCUCCUUCGAUCUAUGGAUGCCAUGUUUCCUAACAACACAUUUUAAAUGUGGUGAAAUAGAGUAUCCGAGUUUAAACCCUAACCCCUACAUAUAUUAUGCGAUGUCCUUAUCAAUUAAGCUAUGUUCACCGGAAUAUUUCUUUCUGUUUUCACAUCUCAACCAUCAUAUAACCUCUCUCUCAAAUUCCAAUAUCAAUGUCAUCUCCUCUUUAUAAUUUAAUGGUCUAGAUUCCCACACUAAUUCUUCAACUUCUUUUUUACCAUGUAUCAUUUUUGUCACAUCACUUAUUUUUCAACAUGCAAGACUUUAUUCCAUUUUGCAUAUCCUACACUCCAUGUUUGUAAUUGCAGACGAUCUAAUUUCUCAUAAAUGAUCUCAACCUAGGAUCAUGGAUAUGGUCAAUAUCAUGGAUACCGCUAGAAAAUUCAUUUGUAGACCACAAAUGAAUUUUCUAACGGUAACCACAAAUGGAUUUAUGGUUAUAUAUAUAUAUAUAUAUAUAUAUAUAUGCGCGCACGCUGGGGGCCAUGAGUGAGAUGAGAACUGAGGGAGAAGGAUCCACAUAUGCAAUGGUUGCUAGUGAAAAUCCUUCCUUAUCUUAGUUUCAAAGGAUUUAUUCCAUUGCAUCUAUAUAGAAAAAGAGAAAAACUAAAAAUGUGUAGUUCUGUUAUUGAUCAAACAAAUAGCUAACUAAAACUAUAUUAACUAUACCCUCUAGAUGCAGACAAAUAGAAUGCUCAUAUACAUAUUCCCACCAAUAUUCUUCACUUCAAAUGAAUAUAACUAAAUGUGUCGGGGUCGUUUAGGUUUCAAAUAUCAACAUGUGUCGGACACUAAACACACAUCAAUUUGAAGUGUCAAUGCUACACACUUUAAAACCUUUGACCUAAGCAAGCUUACCAUGUCUAUUUUACAUUAAAACUGUUUUCCAUGCUAGAGUAAAACAUUUACUUAUGAUUUGUAUUUAAUUAGUUAGUUAUUCCUAACAAAACUAUAAAUCUUGUAGAAUAGAGAAGGAUGUUAGUUUAAACCUGUACACACGGCAAAAUGAUUGUUUUGCCUUAAUUUAUCCUUCACAUGAGAAUGGAAUUCAAGAUACUGUGGAAAAAACCUAACUCACCCAACUGCAAUUAUUCAAAGCUAUAAAAUUCAACUAAUAAAGAUUUAAAUACAUGCCAUAUAACUAUCUAAUUCAAUCCAUUUAAUAUUAGCAAUAACCACUAUUUUAUUUUAAGAAUUCUUGCACAAGAUAUGUUCAAUUCCAUCAUCAUAAACUGAUUACUUAUUAGCAUCAUCUCUUAAAUUCAAUGUAAUACUAAAUUGCAUAAAAAAAAGUCACUUAGGUUUGAUUUUGUUUAAGCAAAACCUCCUUAAUCACUUUUUCCAAAUUCAUGUAUGAACAACCACCAGGUCUCGUGUCCUCCUCCGCCUUCGUCUUCAUCUCAAUUAUCUUUUUCCACAUCUUCUUUCCUUUCUCCCCCUCCAUCAAUUCAUUGACCAAAUUCUCUACCUCAUCUCUCUUCACAUUGGUGUCAAUUUCCAUGCCAAUCUCCCAUGUAUUGCAAAUAUAUCUGCAGUUUGCUGGCUGAUCAGCAAAAAAUGGCCAACACAACAUUGGAACUCCAGCAGAUAUGCUUUCAGUGGUUGAGUUCCAUCCACAAUGAGUCAAGAAUCCACCAAUUGAAGGAUGGUUUAAUACUUGCUCUUGCGGGCACCAGCCCGCGAUUAGGCCUCUAUCUGAAAUUUCAUUGACAAACUCCGAUGACAAAACAACUGAGCCACCGAUGACAAGAUCGGGCCUAAUGAUCCACAAAAAGGGUUGCUUGCUAUUUGCUAAACCCCAUGCAAACUCUAACAGUUUUUCUGCCGUCAUAACUGUCAUGCUCCCAAAAUUCACAUAAACAACGGACCUCGGUUCCUUGGAUUCAAGCCAACCAAGACACUUGUUAUCUUCUUUCCAAAGAUUGGUACUUAAACUUGCCAAGUGAUUAUGUGGACUUUGACUUAAAAGUGAAGAUAAAGGGCCGAUACCACAAAUAUUUGGGAACGUCGAGGAGAGAACAUUCAUUACAUCCUUCUCAAGUUCACUAGAAGUAUUAAAAAUAAAAGCAGACGCUUUGUGAGCCCUUCCUGCUGCUUCAACGAUAAAUUCUACCAUCGAAUCAUUUGUAUCUGUAAUCCUUAUAAAGUCAGGCAGAUCCUUCAGUCGAAAGUUCUGCAAUCCUGGAAUACAAUCCACUUUAGUGUCCAAAUAUCCGUUUGUCAGAUAACUCUCAUCUACAUGUCAAAUUUAUAAAAGUUGUUAGCUGGAAAUAAAAUCUCCAUACUCCUAAUACAUGUCAUUUGAUUUUGAACACUUUAACUAUUCUACAUAUAUGAAGAAAGCAAGAAGAUUAAUUGUUACCUUUUAGUGGUAUGAGACCUUUAUCCAACAAUGUACUAAAAUGAAUAAAAGUCAAAAAUGUACAUGCAUUGGAUGGACUAAAGAAAACAGAAGGGAUUGAAAGUUCUUCAGAAGCUUGUAUGGUAAAAGACAUGCCAAUAUCAGAAACUAUGCAAGUAACUGGAGGGACAAGACCAGAUGUUGCAGAGUCAUUUAGUCUAGCAAGAAGUUCGCGGAAAGGUUGUAGGAAGUUCUUUCUGAUUGAUUUACAAAGAGCGUAAAUGUCUUGACUAACAUCGCCAUCACCAUCCGUUGGAGUUAAACCAUCCGGAAUAGUCUCAAAGCUAAAAUCAGUGAAACCAUCAAAGGCAUUUGGACCUCUUGACUUGAGCAACCGUUUGUGGUUGUAUUCAGUGUUUACAUAGGUUAUGUGAAAUCCUCUAAGGUGAAGAAGUUUUGCUAGUUUCAACAAUGGAUUGAUAUGGCCUUGAACUGGAUAUGGAAUUAACACAGCAUGUGGUUUUUUAUCACUCAUUUUUGAGUUUUUGUGUUUGAAUGUUGAGCUAAGGGAAGCCAAUGGUUUAAUAAAGAUAAAGCCAAUGUUUCUUGGAUUUGUGUAAAAGAAGAUAAGAGACAAAAGUCAAGGAAAGCAAACUCAAAUUCUAAGUAAUAUGUAACACAAUAAUUGAUACAUACUUAUCAAGUCACCACUUUUUGUUAUAGAAGGAAAACAAUUUUUCAUUAAAAAGUUUAUUGAACAAACUUAAGCAUGCCUUUUGGUUUGCGGUGGCGAGAAUUGAUUUGAAUGAAUUUGUUUGAUAAAAUUAGUAUCAGGUUAAAAGUGCGUUGAAUAUAAAAUAAUUUGUGUUUAUAUAAAUUUACGUAAAAUUGAUUUGAACUAUAAAUUGAAGACUAAAAAUCGAUUAUAAAAACAAAAUUUUGAUAUCUUAACUUUAAAUUACGAGCAAUUUGGAGACAAAAUCAAUUCUAUUUAAUUUGAGAACACAUAACCAUAGGGUCUGACUAGGCUUAUCUAAGAUCCCUAAUGUAACCAACUUGCAUCUAAUCAUAACUAACUUAUAACUAUCUUGAAAAAUAUCAAACUAAUUUUAACAAAUCUGAAACUAUAUCUAACACAUACUUGCAUGGAAUUGCAACCAUUCAGUAGAAAGAUAUUAUCAAACAAAAUCUUCAUAUGCUUUAGUCAAAAAAAAGGAAAAUCUUCAUAUGCUUGUGGACCAACUGAUCCAUACGUUUCAGUUUCAAAAUUGAACUAGAUGACACUUUUAUUCAAGUAAGUGUAAGAUAGUUCUGACAUCAAAGAUUUUUGUUGUACAAAGAAAAUAAUCAUGACCACUUAUUUAUUUUAUAAUAGUCUAUUGGCUAUUAUUUUCCAUGCUUGAAUCAGUCAGACAUUGGACAUCACAAAAAAAAAUUGUCCUUUUCAACAAAGGCUCAAGAUUAUCUCCAAAGUCACAAUUGCAUAAAAGCCAAAUUUACUUUUAUUGUGCAGAGAAAAGUGGAUGUAUAUUAUCAACACUGCCUUCCAUAAGGGCUUCGUGUCCUCUAAUUUUUUUUUUUACUAGUCUUUGUUAUGUCCUUUAUCAUGUCUAUGAGGUAUCAACUCAAUGGUAAGAGUUUGAGCUUUUAACCUCAAGGGAAAAAGUACAAUUCCCCUUAAUAACAGUGGUAAAAAUGCUCAUUGUUGUAACUUUAAUUAAUAAACCCUUAUAUUGACUAAUAGGAAUGUUAAAAUAUUUCUUGAAAUCUCAUGUUGAAAGUUUGUUCUUCUUUUCGGUUUGAUUAGUGUUCCCAUGCACUAGGCGCAGUUGUUUGUUGUUUUCAGCUUGUUGUAAUUUGUAGCUUGCGCAAGGCGAAGGAUAUAGCUGACUGAGGCGCAGGUGUGCAUCAAGAUCUAUAGAUAAGCAGGUUUUGCAUCAGUUUUCAGGGUAAAAAAGUGGGAAUUCUAAGGUAACAAAAGAGGGAAUUUGUAGGGUUAAAAGUUCACAUAUAUAGAUAAGAAUUUGUAGGGGACAUUGAUGAUUUCACACAAUUUGCAUUUGCAUCAUCGGUGAAUGUUUUUGAAUGUUCAUAGAGGAAAGAAACUUUGAAUUCAAAUGCUUUCAAAUCAAUCUAUGCAACAAGAAGCUGACAAAGUAGUGCAGAGAAAUUUUAUAAACGAGCUAAAGAAGAAUAUAAAUUUAAUAUUAUUAUGAUUUUGAAGUAUUGUCUUACUUCGAAGUAUGAACAGCAAUGUACCAUACUUAAGAACAUAGCAAGACCUAAAAUACAAAUGAUUUGUUCCUAACAAAACUAUAUAUAUUGUAUAAAAGUAACUUAUGUUUGAUUUUGUUUAAGCAACACCUCCUUAAUCACUUUCUCCAAGUUCAUGUAUGAACAACCUCCAGGUCUCGUGUACACCUCCGCCUUUUUCUUCAGCUCCAUGGCCUUUUGCCUCAUCUUCUUUCCUUUAUCUCAGGACAUCAAUUCAUUGACCAGUUUCUCCACGUCCUCCCUCUUUACAUUUGUAUCAAUUUCGUUUCCAAUCUUCCAUUCAUUGCAAAUAUAUCUUCAGUUUGCUGGCUGAUCUGCAAAAAAUGGCCAACACAACAUUGGAACUCCAGCACAUAUGCUUUCAGUGGUUGAGUUCCAUCCGCAAUGAGUCAAGAAUCCACCGACUGAUGGGUGGUUCAAUACUUUCUCUUGUGGACACCAACUUGCUAUUAGUCCUCUAUCUGAAAUUUCUUUCAAAAAUCAGAUGAGAAAACCACCGAGCCACCAAUGACAAGAUCAGGCCUAAUGAUCCAUAAAAAUGGUUUCUUGCUGUUGGCCAAACCCCAAGCAAACUCUAAGGCUUCUCUUGAGACUUAACAGUGAUGCUGCCAAAAUUUACAUAAACAACAGAUCCUGGUUCUUUUGAUUCAAGCCAUUCAAGACAUUUAGUAUCUUCUUUCCAAAGAUUACAGUCUAAAGAUGUCAAGUGAUUUUGUGGACUUUGAUUUACAAAAGAAGCUAAUGGACCAAUUGUGUAUAGAGAAGGGAACAUAGAAUAGAAAGCAUUCAUAACAUCACUCUCAAGUUCAUUAGAAGUAUUGAAUACCAUACCAGAAGCUCUAAGACAUUUAUCUGCCACUUCAGUGUUAAAUCUUAUCGUCAAGUCAUUAGGAUUUUUUGUCUUUAUUAACCUAGGAAGAUCCUUCAAUCUGAAGUUUUUCAAACCUGGGAUCCAGUCAACUUUCGUGUCCAGAUAUUCAUUUGUUAGAUCACUCUCAUCUGCAUGUCAUAAUUGCAAAAAUCAAUAGCUUAAAGUCAUAUGUAUAAAUAUAUAUCAUGGUUUAAAAUCACAUUAACAAUAAUAAUUUUGCCUGUGCUAUCAUAUUGAUAUUGCAUAUAAUCCCAAUCAAAUCUGGCUGAUGAAACCUCAAUUGUGAUUAUAGAGACAUCGCAACCUUGAUGUUCGGCCCAUAUUGUGACCGCAAAGCUUUUUUAAAAACCAUAACAUACACACAAAAACACACACAGAUCUCCUAAAAAGAAAAAGGGAACAGAAAUGAUUACCUUUGAAUGGUAGUUGACUAUUCUGAUACAUUUUAGGACUGAGCAAACAAGCCAAGAAAUAACAUGCUCUACUUGGGGAAAAAAGAACAACUGGGAGUGCAUGUUCUUCAGCAGCAGCUACUGUAAAUGGCAUGUAGCAAUCAGAAACUAAGCAAGUGACUGGGGGGAUAAGACCAGCAGUGGCAGAGUCUUGAAGUUUAGCAAGAAGUUCAUCAAAGAAGUGGUGAAAGUUCGUUAUGAUUGAUUCACCAAGAGAGUGUAGGUCUUGACUAAUAUCACCAUCACCAUCCUUUGGAGUUAAACCAUCUGGUAUAGUCUCAAAGUUAAAGUCAGUGAAACCAUCAAAGGCAUUUUCACCUCUUGAUUUAGCAAACGUUUGUGAUUGUAUUCAGUGUUAACAAAGGUUUAUGUGAAAGCCUCUUAGGUGAAGCAGUUUUGCUAUUUUCAACAAUGCAUUGAUAUGACCUUGAACUGGAAAUGGAGUUAAUUAACACUGCAUGUGGCCUUUUCUCUUCAAAGUUGGUCAUGUUUGAUAUUUUUCUUAUGUAAGAAAACAGAGAAAAAACUGAGGUGAAAAAUCUAUGAGGCCUCUAUAACAAUGAGUAAGUUUUGUUACAUAUCUAUUAUCUAUUAUAUAGUAUAAAAAAAUUCUUAAGAAUAGAAAAACCAUUUUUUUUUAAUAAUUCAAUUACUGUCUAAUUCAUGUUUAUCUAAUUUUUAGUAUUUUAAUAAUUGAGAAGAUAAUAAUAUUUUUUUUAAUGUUGACGUUCCGAUUUUUAGAGAAAAUGGGUUCUGAUAAUUUGGAGUUCGGUCGUGAGGUAAACAUCACCUUACCAAGAAUUGAGAAGAGAAUAAAAUAAAAUAUAAUAACAUGAAUCUAACUGAAAAAUGAGGAGAUUGAAACUCCGAAAGCAACGUCUGCAUGUUGAAAGGAGACCACUUUCUAUACACACACAAUGGUGUUCAGACGGGUACAGACUUGCCAAUCUAUUUAUUAUGACCAACUAAACAAACAUACGAUUUUUAAACGUUAUCUAUGCGGACAGACUCUGGACCAUUGUUCAAGUCACAUGACUUUUAAACGUUAUCAAUUUGGUGCGCUUUUAAUCGAUUUUGAGGCUAAAAGACAUCCCAAUCGUAAGAUAAAAGAGUAUUUAGUUUGGUUUGGUUCAGUUGAUUUUUAAAAUAAAAUUUAAACCAAACCAAACCAAUAUGAUUUGAGUUGUAUUGGUUGAUGCGGUUUUUUUGAGACAAUACAAUUUUUUGUUUCCAACAUUAAAAUCGAGUUAAAAAGCUAUAACACAACAUAUUUUCAAUAAUGUUUGAAACAAUGUUUUCAAUUUCAUCCAACAUUACAAUUUUAUUUUCACAAAACAAAAUAGACGAAAUUUAAAAUGUGGACAAAAAGUAAUCCUAUUAUUUAAUAAAUGUAAAAGAUUAAGAUUUAUUAUUCUUAAAAUUUUAUUUUAUAAUUUUUUUAAUUUUUGAAAUAGAAAGCAAAGAAGAAACUUAACGUACAAGGGAAAAAAAUAUGCCGUUUUAUAAAAGUUUUUAUUGAGUUUCUAUGAGUAUUGGUGUAGGUGACAUAGGUUUAAUUUGGUUAGGUGACAUAGUUUCUAUGAGUAUGUCGUUUUACAAAAUAGUUUUUUUGCAUUUUUUGGUAUAUAAGAAGAAACAUAAACUAGUAUACAUAUGAUUUUUUGACAAAAUGGAUCCUUCACAUGAUAAUGGAAUUCAAGAUACUGUGAAAGAAUUCUUAUUCACCCAACUUAACAUAUUUAAACUUGUAGGAUUUAUAUUAUAAAGUUAAUAUACAUGCCAUAUAAUUAUCCAAUAUGCAUAUAUUCAAAACACUUAAAAUUAGCAAGAAUCACUAUUUAAGUUCAGGAACUCUUGCUGAAGAUGACUUCACUUACAUCAGAACUUAAAUUCAAUAGGGGAAGAUCAAUUAAUUAUCGUUGAACUGAAUUGCAUAAAAAAGUUACUUAAAUUGAUUUUGUUUAAGCAAAACCUCCUUGAUCACUUUGUCCAAGUUCAUGUAUGAACAACCUCCAGCUCUCGUGUUUUCCUCCACUUUCUUCUUCAACUCAAUUGCCUUUUGCCGCAUCUUCUUUCCUUUCUCUCCUGACAUCAAUUCAUUGACAAGUUUCUCCACCUCUUCUCUCUUUACAUUCGUAUCGAUUUCCAUCCCAAUCUCCCAUUCAUUGUAAAUAAGUCUACAGUUUGUUGGCUGAUCACCAAAGAAUGGCCAACACAACAUUGGAACUCCAGCACAUAUGCUUUCAGUGGUUGAGUUCCAUCCGCAAUGAGUCAAGAAUCCGCCAAUUGAAGGGUGGUUCAAUACUUUCUCCUGUGGACACCAACUUGCAAUUAAGCCUCUAUCUGAAAUUUCAUUCACAAACUCAGAUGACAAAACGACUGAGCCACCAAUGACAAGGUCAGGCCUAAUGAUCCACAAAAAGGGUUUAUUGCAAUUGGCCAACCCCCAAGCAAAUUCCAACAGUUGUUUUGGUGUCAUAACUGUAAUGCUUCCAAAAUUCACAUAAACAACGGAUCCCGGCUCCUUGGAUUCAAGCCAUUCAAGACACUUAGUAUCUUCUUUCCAAAGGUUGGAACCUAAAGAAUCCAAUUGAUGAAUUUGUGGAGUUUGGUUUAAUAAUGAAGGUAAAGGGCCAAUGGGGUAAAGAGAAGGAAACAUAGAGGAGAGAGCAUUUAUUACAUCACUCUAAAGUUCAUGGAAAGUAUUCAAAACAAUUGUAGAGUCUCCAAGAACUUUAUCAGCCGCAUCAAUUACAAAGUCUAACAUAAUAUCAUUUGGAUCUGUUGUCCUGAUACUGUCAAAGAUAUCCUUUAACCGAAAGUUUUUCAAACCUGGAAUCCAAUCUACAUUAGUUUCCAAAUAUCCAUUUGUUAGAUAGCUCUGAUCUGCAUAUCAAAUGUAUCAGUUAAUAUCUUGAAGGUUAUACAUACAUCCGUACAUACAUGAGUAUUUUGUUUUCGACAAAAACAUACAUAUAUAAUAAGGUAUUAUAAAUUGAAUAAAAGUCAUUUAUUGAUGUAUAAAUUUUAAUUUUGAAGUUUUAUGAAAUUUGUGGAGUUCCUCUAUUCAAUAAGAGUUUUUAAUUUGAUGGUUGCUUUAUUGAAAUUUAGUGUCUACAUUGAGUUUUAUAUUAACUGAAACUAUAUCAAGUGUUACUCUUGGAGUAAGUUGAUUAUCUCGCACACGACCAUUUAUAUAGAUUUAAUUCAUAUAUAGAGUCAAAGUAAAAGUUUUUUACACCGUCAAUAAAUCAUAAGUGUCAGAAUAGUGUAGCAAAAUUAAUAUUAAUCUCUCUAUAAAUAUAUACUUUAUGAAGAAAAAAACUUAACUUAGUACCUUUGAGUGGCGUGAGACCUUUUUCUACAAAGGAACGUAAGUGGUGAAUACUCAGUAACAAACUUGCACUGGAUGGAAAGAAGAUAACAAUUGGUAGUGCAAAUUCUUCAGCAGCUUGUAUAGUAAAGCUCAUAAAAUAAUCAGAAACUAAGCAAGUAACUGGUGGAACAUUGGCAGAGUCAUUAAGUCUUGUAAGAAGUUCACAAAAAGGUUUAAGGAAAUUUUUUCUUAUAGAUUGAGCAAGAGAAGGUACAUCUUGACUAACAUCACCAUCACCUUCUAUCGGUGUUAGACCAUCUGGUAUGGUUUCAAAGCAAAAACCACGGGAACCAUCUAAGGCAUUUGGACCUCUUGAUUUUAGCAAUCGUUUAUGAUUGUAUUCAGUGUUGACAAAGGUUAUAUGAAAUCCUCUAAGGUGAAGAAGUUUUGCAAGUUUGAACAAUGGAUUUAUAUGUCCUUGAAAUGGAGCUGGAAUCAACACAGCAUGUGGUUUUCUGUUUGCAAAACUUCCCAUCUUUGAAAUUUUUCUGUUUGUAUGUUAUUUGUGCAAGAUAUGAGGUUGAAAAACAAGUGAUAGGCAUGUGCUUUUAUAGAGAGAAAAAAGGACAAUGCUACAAAAUUGAAAAAUAUAAAGAAAUCCAAACAGAUAAAUUCUGGGAGGUUCUAACAAAAGGAAAUAAGUUCAUUGUAUGAAAAGACAGACACAUAAAAAGACACCAAAAAUGACACUGACACGUUAACGUCAAUGAUAAUUUGAGAAAUAAAUUAAUUCAAUGUAAUUACAAUGUGUCUGACAUAAAAUUGAAAUCUUAUACAGGUAUGUUCUUGUAAACUUUCCUAUAUGACUCAUUAUAUUGAUUGAAUAUGUUUGUUGGUAUUUGGUUUAACCAAUCAAUGUGGCAUUAACAAUUCAACUGUUACUUGUUACUUAGAUGUCGUUUGAGAUUUAUUUGGGAAUUGAUAAAAUAGAAAAGUUGAGAAAAACUUUAUAUUGUGAUCCUAAAAUCACUAAUAUAACCAAAUUGAAUCUAACCAUAUCUAACUAUCUUCCAAAAUAUUAAACUAAUUUUAACAAAUCUGAAACUACAUCUAACACAUACUUGCAUGGAAUUGCAACCAUUCAGUAGAAAGAUAUUAUCAAACAAAAUCUUCAUAUGCUUGUGGACCAACUCUAUACGUUUCAGUUUCAAAAUUGAACUAGAAGGCACUUCUAUUCAAGUAAGUAUAAGAUAGUUCUGACAUCAAAGAUUUUUGUUGUACAAAGAAAAUAAUUAUGUCCACUUAUUUAUUUUAUAAUAGUCUAUUGGCUAUUAUUUUCCAUGCUUGAAUCAGUCAGACAUUAGACAUCACAAAAAAAAUAUUAGUCCCUUUCAACAAGGGCUCAUGAUUAUCUCCAAAAGUUACAAUUGCAUAAAAGUCAAAUUCACUUUUAUUGUGCAGAAUAGUGACUAGUGGAUAUGUUGUCUUCAUUAUCAAUGGUACCUUCCAUAAGGGCUUUGUGUCCUCUAAUUUUUUUACUAGUCUUUAUUUAUGCAUGUAUUAUAAUCCUUUAUCAUGUCUAUGAGAUAUGGGCUCAAUGGUAAAAAUUUCAGCCAGUAAUCUCAAAGGACAAAGUUCAAACUCCCUUGAUAACAGUGGUAAAAUGGUCAUUGUUGUAACUUUAAUUAAUAAUUCUUAUUUUCACUAAUAAGAAUGUUAAAAUAUGUCUUGAAAUCUCAUGUUAAAAGUUUUUUUUCUUUUCGGUUUGAUUAUUGUCCCCAUGCGCUGGGCGAAGCUGUUUGCUGUUUUCAUCAUGUUGCUAUUUUGUUGCUUGGAUGAGGCGAUAUAGCUAAAUGAGUCAUAGGUGUGCGUCAAGAUCUAUAGAUAAGCAAUUUUUGCAUCAGUUUUCAGGGUGAAAAUGUGUGAAUUUUAGGGUUACAAAAGAGGGAAUUUUUAGGGUUAAAAGUUGAGAGCUUUUGGAAAAAUUAUAGGAUUAGGAAACAUUUUUGUACAUCUUGGAAAUAAAGCAUCGAGUCUUUUGUCCAUCGGAAGAGAAUUGGGAAAAUUGUAACCCUUGUAUUUCUUUGUAAGAAACUCUUUGUUAGUGGUAAGCCAGAUUUGGGUCGAACUGGAUAACUUUGUUUUGGUUGUUGCUAAUAUUUCUCCACACUUCAAAGUAUUGAUGUGAGUUUUUACAAAUUCACAACAACUGGAACCCACCGUGGGAGAAAUAAGAGGUAACUUUUUCAAGUGUGCAACAUGGGUACCAACUGGGAUAUCAAUAAAUUUAUCGGAGACAACGAUUUGGGGCUGUGAAAAGUGAAGAUGAAAGAUGUGUUGAUUCAACAAAAGUUUGCAGAAGCACUGAAGGAUGAGGUUGCUCUCCCAGCUACCAUGUUACAAGCAAACAAGACCGAGAUGGUGGACAAGGCCAUGAGUGUCAUUGUCUUGUGCCACACUGAUAAAGGUUUUAGAGAAAUCGUAAAGGAGCAAUUGACGAGUCCUACAAAAUCCUUGAUGAUUUGACAACUAUUAAAGUGGAUAUUGAGGAUGAAGACACGGAUAUACUCUUAUUAUUAUGAGCAUUAGCUAGAUCCUUUGAGAACUUCAAGGAUACUAUGCUUUAUGGUAAAGAAGUCAUUGUCACUUCGAGGAAGUCCAAGAGGCACAUAACCAAGUCCAAGAACUUGAAAGUUGAUGAUAGUGGUGAAGACAUGAGUGUCUAAAGAGGAAGACGUAUAAGUUGAUGAAAUCGAGGAAGCUCAAUUGAUGGUGCAAGUUGAAGUACAAAUACUCCAAGUGUCAAACGACCGGUCACUUCAAUAAGGACAUUCCCAAGUUAGAGGACAUUAAUGAUUCCGCACAAUUUGCAUUUGCAACAUCAGUGAAUGUUUUUGAAUGUUCACGGAAAGAACCUUUAAUUUCAAAUCAAUCUAUGCAACAAGAAGCUGAUAGUGUAGUGCAGAGAAGUAUGCUUUUGAAGUAUGAUUUCCAAGACAUCCUUAAUCACUUUGUCCAAGUUCAUGUAUGAAGAAUCACCAGGUCUUGUGUCCUUCUCUGCCUUCUUCUUCUUCAACUCCACGGCCUUUUGCCUCAUCUUUUUUCCUUUCUGUCCCACCAUUAAUUCAUUCAUCAGCUUCUCCACCUCCUCUCUCUUCACAUUUGUAUCAAUUUCGAUUCCGAUCUCCAACUUAUUACAAAUAUAUCUGCAGUAUGUUGGCUGCUCAGAAAAAAAAGGCCAACAUAACAUUGGUACUCUGGCACAAAUGCUUUCCAAUGUGGAGUUCCAUCCACAAUGAGUCAAGAAUCGUCCAACUGAAGGGUGGUUCAACACUUGCUCUUGCGGACACCAGCUUGCUAUUUGGCCUCUAUCCGAAGUUCCAUUCACAAACUCGGAUGACAAAAUAACUGAGCCACCAAUGACAAGCUAAGGCCUAAUGAUCCACAAAAAAGGUUUCUUGCUGUUGGCAAAACCUCAAGAGAACUCUAACUGCUCUGGAGUCAUAACCAUAGUGCUUCCAAAAUUCACAUAAACUACAGAACCUUGUUCCUUAGAUUCAAGACAUUUCAUAUCUUCUUUCCAAAGAUUGGAACCUAAAGAAGCCAAGUGCUUUUGGGGAUUUUGAUUCAAAAACGAAGAUAAAGGGCCAAUGGCGUAAAUAGAAGGGAUCUUAAUAGAUAGAGCCUUUACUACAUCACUCUCAAGUUCAUUAUAAGUAUUGAAAACAAUAGCGUUAGCUUCAUGAACCAUAUCGUCCGCUUCAAUGAUAAAAUUUAUCAUUAGGAUCAGUAGUUCUUAUAAAAUCAAGCAGGUCCUUUAGUCUAAUGUUUCGCAAACCUGGAAUCCAGUCAACUUUAGUGACCAAAUAUCCAUUUGUCAGAUAACUCAUCUGCAUAUUAUAAUCACAAAAUCCAUUAGCUUAAAGUUAAAACUCUGAACCCCUAAUAUAUAUCAUAUUAAUUCUAAUACUACAUUCUAUGUUGUAUACAUACUCUCAGUUUCUCCAAAGGAAGAACUUCCAUAGUAAAACUAAACUAUAGUAAUGAAACUCUUCACUUCUGCAUAAUAGUCCUACACUAUCGAUAAAGAAAGAACAUAAAUGAUUACCUUUGAGGGGUAUGACACCUUUAUCAAUAAAUGUACGAAAGAGCAAAGCACACAAAAGUGAGGAUGCACUAGCAGGAAUAAUUCAAUAUCAGAAACUAAGCAACUAACAGGAGGAAUAAGAUCAUCAUUGGAAGAAUCUUUUAAGUUUAGCAAGAAGUUCACAAAAAGGGUGAUAGAAAUUCUUUCUUAUUGAAUCAUCAAGAGAGACAAUUUCUUGACUAAUAUCACCAUAACCUUCUGUCGGAGUUAAACCAUCUGGAAUAGUCUCAAAGGUAAAAUCAGUGAAACCAUCAAAGGCUUUUGGACCUCUUGAUUUGAGCAAAUGUUUGUGAUUUCGGUGUUGACAAAGGUUAUGUGAAAGCCUCUAAGGUGAAGAAGUUUUGCUAGUUUCAAUAAUGGAUUGAUAUGGCCUUGAAGUGGAUAUGGAGUUAUGCUUACUGAUAUGAGUGAGAAGCAUAAGAAAAUCAUAAAUAUAUUUGACUUUAAUAGGUCCCCCAAAUCAUUGGAAUAUAAAAGUUAGGUGCACAAUUUUUCAUCAAGAAUUUGUUUGCAGCACGCAUUGGAAGUUUGUUUAUUUUUAUUCUCAUUAAGAAUUUGUUGGCACUGCACAUGCAUAUACAAUUGUUUCUUGGUUGAAAAAUAAUAUAUUUUUCAUGGUUUAUACUAUUUCAAUUCUUUUCUUGUUGAUAGUUGAAAUGGCAAGAAUCGUUGAAAACUCGCACACAUAAGUGGAGAAGUUUGGAUUCGAAACCCCAGUUACGGAGUUGGCCUAACAAUUUUGUUCUUUAUUGUCUAUUAAGCUAGAACUUGUCGACAUUUAUUUCCUGUUUUUUAUCAGACCAUACAUGUGAAUUUGAAUUGCAUGCAAGCACAAUUUCCACGCGAUCAGAAUUAAUUCAAUCAACAGCUCGGAGUCAUUUCAUCAAAUAUUCGACGUCUCUUAUUGUAGGAUAUGUGAAUCCAUUUUAAAAGCAAACUUAAAAUUGGAGUCGUCCAAUGUUAAUCUAAUAUCUCCGAGCUGCGCUGGCUGAACAAGUGCCUAAAAUUGUGAUUGUAGACAAAGGUUGCUAGUAAAAAUACUUCCUUAUCUUAGUUUUAAACGAUUCAUUAUAUUGCAUCUAAAUAGAAAAUAGAGAAAAACAUAAAAUUUAUAGUUCUGUUAUUGAUGAAAUGAUUUCCUAAAAGAAAAAAGCUUUGAAACUAUAACCUCUACGUACCGAGAAAUAGAAUGCUCAUAUACAUAUUCCCACCAAUAUUUUUCACUUCAAAUGAAUGUAACUAAAUGUAUCGGGGUCGUUUAGGUGUCAAAUAUCAACAUGUGAAGUGUCAAUGCUACACACUUUAAAACCUUCAACCUAAGUAAGCUUACCAUGUCUAUUUUAUUUUAAAACUGAUUUCUAUUUUAGAGUAAAAUAUUUACUUAUGACUUGUAUUUAAUUAGUUAAUCCUGAUAAAACUAUAAAUCUUGUAUAGAACGAUAGAACGAUAUUAAUUUAAACCUGUACACACAGAAAAAUGAUUGGUUUGCCUUAAUUUAUCCUAUACAUGAUAAUGGAAUUCAACAUAGUGUGCAAAAGCCUUACCUACCCCAUAUAAUUAUCCAAUUCAAUACAUUUAAUAUUAGCAAGAAGCACUAUUUUAGUUUAAGAAUUCUUGCACAAGAUAUGUUCGAUACAGUCAUCAUGAACUCAUUACUUAUUCACUACAAUAGCCUCAUCCCUUAAAUUCAAUAGCAGAAGAUCAAUGGAUCAAUAUAAUACUACAUUGCAUUAAAAACGUCACUUAGGUGUGAUUUUAUUUAAGCAAAACCUCCUUAAUCACUUUUUCCAAGUUCAUGUAUGAACAACCACCAGGUCUCGUGUCCUCCUCCGCCUUCUUCUUCAUCUCCAUUAUAUUUUUCCUCAUCUUCUUUCCUUUAUCUCCCACCAUCAAUUCAUUGACCAAAUUCUCCACCUCAUUUCUCUUCACAUUAGUAUCGAUUUCGAUUCCAAUCUCCCAUGUAUUGCAGAUAUAUCUACAGUUUGCUGGCUGAUCAGCAAAAAAUGGCUAACACAACAUUGGAACUCCAGUAGAUAUGCUUUCGGUCGUUGAGUUCCAUCCACAGUGAGUCAAGAAACCACCAAUUGAAGGAUGGUUCAAUACUUUCUCUUGCGAGCACCAACCAGCAAUUAGGCCUCUAUCUGAAAUUUCAUUCACAAACUCCGAUGACAAAACAACUGAGCCACCAAUGACAAGAUCGGGCCUAAUGAUCCACAAAAAGAGUUGCUUGCUAUUUGCUAAACCCCAUGCAAACUCUAACAGUUUUUCUGAAGUCAUAACUGUCCUGCUCCCAAAAUUCACAUAAACAACGGACCUCGGUUCCUUUGAUUCAAGCCAAUCAAGACACUUGUUAUCUUCUUUCCAAAGAUUGGUACUUAAACUUGCCAAGUGAUUCUGUGGACUUUGACUUAAAAGUGAAGAUAAAGGGCCAAUAGCAUAAACAUUAGGGAACGUCGAAGAGAUAACUUUCAUUACAUCCUUCUCAAGUUCAUUAGAAGUAUUAAAAAUAAAAGCAGAGGCUCUGUGAGCCCUUCCUGCUGCUUCAAUGAUAAAUUCUACCAUCGAAUCAUUUGGAUCAGUAAUCUGUAUAAAGGCAGGCAAAUCCCUCAGUCGAAAGUUCUUCAGUCCUGGCAUACAGUCCACUUUAGUGUCCAAAUAUCCGUUUGUCAGAUAACUCUCAUCUGCAUAUCAAAUUUACAAAAGUUGUUAGUGUGAAAUUGAAUCUCCAUACUCCAAAUAUAUGUCAUAUGAACACUUUAACUACUCUACACAUAUGAAGAAAGAAAGAAGAUUAAUUGUUACCUUUUAGUGGUAUGAGACCUUUAUCUAGAAAUGUACGUAAAUGAAUACCAGUCAGAAAUGUACAUGCAUUGGAUGGACUAAAGACAACAUUAGGGAUUGAAAGUUCUUCAGCAGCUUGUAUAGUAAAGGACAUGCUAAUAUCAGAAACUAUGCAACUAACUGGACGGACAAGACCAGAUGUUGCAGAGUCAUUAAGUCUAGCAAGAAGUUCGCGGAAAGGUUGUAGAAAAUUCUUCCUGAUUGAUUUACAAAGAGCGUAAAUGUCUUGACUAACAUCGCCAUCGCCAUCCGUUGGAGAUAAACCAUCUGGAAUACUCUCAAAGUUAAAAUUGGUGAAACCAUCAAAGGCAUUUUGACCUCUUGACUUGAGCAACCGUUUGUGAUUGUAUUCAGUGUUUACAUAGGUUAUGUGAAAACCUCUAAGGUGAAGAAAUUUUGCUAGUUGCAACAAUGGAUUGAUAUGGCCUUGAACUGGAUAUGGGAUUAACACAGCAUGUGGUUUUUUAUCACUCAUUAUUGAGUUUUUGUGUUUGAAUGUUGAGCUAAGGAAACCAAUGUUUUAAUAAAGAUAAAUCCAAUGUUUCUUGGAUUUGUGGAAAAGAAGAUAGAGACAAAAGACAAGGAAAGCAAAAUCAAAUUUAAAGGGUGAGAUCUUUUUCUUAUAAUAUGAAAUAAUUCUAAGUGACACAAUAAUUGAUGCAUACUAGUCAAGUCACCACUUUUUGUUACGUGAGAGAAGGAAAACAAUUUUUCAUUAAAAAGUUUAUAGCACAAACUUAAGAAUGCCUUUAGUAUGCGGUGGUCAGAAUUGAUUUAAAUAAAUUUGUUUGUUAAAAUUAGUUUUUGUUAAAAAGGGCGUUGGAUAUAAAAUUAUUUAUACUUAUAUAUAUUUACGUAAAUUUGAGUUGAGCAAAAAAUUAAAGACUUAAAAUCAAAGACUAAAAAUUGAAGACUUAUCUAACUUAAAUACUAUUAGUUAGACAUCGUUUGGGAUUUAUUUUGGAAUUGAUAGAAUAAUAAAGUUGAGAAACACUGUAUAUUGUGAUCCUAAGAUCACUAAUAUAACCAACCUUGCAUCUAAUCAUAACUAACUUUUUUUUAUAAGCAAUAAUCAUAACUAACUUAUAACUAUCUUAAACAAUACUAAACUAAUUUCAACAAAUAUGAAACUAUAUCUAACACAUACUUGCAUGGAAUUGCAACCAUUCAGUAGAAAGAUAUUAUCAAACAAAAUCUUCAUAUGCUUGUGGACCAACUCUAUACGUUUCAGUUUCAAAAUUGAACUAGAAGACACUUCUAUUCAAGUAUAAGAUAUAUAGUUCUGACAUCAAAGAUUUUUGUUGUACAAAGAAAAUAAUUAUGACCACUUAUUUAUUUUAUAAUAGUCUAUUGGCUAUUAUUUUCCAUGCUUGAAUCAGUCAGACAUUGGACAUCACAAAAAUAUUUGUCCCUUUCAACAAGAGCUCAAGAUUAUCUACAAAGUCUCAAUUCCAUAAAAGCCAAAUUCAUUUUUAUAUGUUGUCCCUUUACACAUGAAUUAUAAUCCUUUAUCACGCUACAACGUAUCAGCUCAAUGGUAAGAGUUUGAGCUUGUAAUCUCAAAGGACAAAGUUUAAAUUCCCUUAAUAACAAUGGUAAAAUGCUCAUUGUUGUAACUUUAAUUAAUAAACACUUAUUUUGACUAAUAGGAAUGUUAAAAUAUGUCUUGAAAUCUCAUGUUGAAAGUUUUUUUACUUUACUAUUGCCCCCAUGCGCUAGGCGCAGUUGUUUGUUGUUUUUAGCAUGUUUCUAUUUUGUAGCUUGCAUGAGGCGAAGGGUAUAGCUGAUUUAGCAGGUGUGCGUCAUGAUCUAUAUUAGUUAGGGGACAUUGAUGAUUCCACACAAUUGGCAUUUGCAAACAUCAAUGAAUGUUUUUGAAUGUUUAAAUAAGAAAGAACCUUUGAAUUCAAAUGCUUUCAAAUCAAUCUAUGCAACCAGAAGCUGACAAUGUAGUGCAGAGAAAUUUUAUAAAAGAUCAAAAGAAGAAUAUAAAUAUAAUAUUAAUAUGAUUUUCAACUAUUGUCUUACUUUGAUUCAGGUGAAUUCAAUCAAUCAAAAUUUGAAGGGGAAAAAUAAAGGUAUGUGAUCUUUAUUUAUGAAGAAUGAACUUGAUGAACAAGAAUGCAUCAUUACAAUGUUUCUGACUAAAUUGUUGAUGUUCAUACUUAAGAACAUAGGAAGACCUAAAAUAUGAAUUAUUUGUUCCUAACAAAACUAUAUAUAUUGUAUAAAAGUGACUUAAGCUUGAUUUUGUUUAAGCAACACCUCCUUAAUCACUUUCUCCAAGUUUGUGUAUGAACAACCUCCAGGUCUCGUGUCCACCUCCACCUUCUUCUUCAGCUCAAUGGCUUUUUGCCUCAUCUUCUUUCCUUUAUCUCCGGACAUCAAUUCAUUGACCAGUUUCUCCACCUCCUCCCUCUUUACAUUAGUAUCGAUUUCCUUUCCAAUCUCCCAUUCAUUGCAAAUAUAUCUGCAGUUUGCUGGCUGAUCCGAAAAAAAUGGCCAACAUAACAUUGGAACUCCAGCACAUAUGCUUUCAGUGGUUGAGUUCCAUCCGCAAUGAGUCAAGAAUCCACCGACUGAAAGGUGGUUCAAUACUUUCUCUUGUGGACACCAACUUGCUAUUAGUCCUCUAUCUGAAAUUUCUUUCAAAAAAUCAGAUGAGAAAACCACCGAGCCACCAAUGACAAGAUCAGGCCUAAUGAUCCACAAAAAGGGUUUUUUGCUGUUGGCCAAACCCCAAGCAAACUCUACGAGCUUCUCUCGAGACAUAACAGUGAUGCUGCCAAAAUUUACAUAAACAACAGAUCUUGGUUCUUUUGAUUCAAUCCAUUCAAGACAUUUAGUAUCUUCUUUCCAAAGAUUAGAGUCUAAAGAUGUCAAGUCAUUUUGUGGACUUUGAUUUACAAAAGAAGCUAAUGGACCAAUUGUGUAUAGAGAAGGGAACAUAGAAUAGAAAGCAUUCAUAACAUCACUCUCAAGUUCAUUAGAAGUAUUGAAUACCAUACCAGAAGCUCUAUGACAUUUAUCUGCCACUUCAGUAUUAAAUCUUAUCGUCAAGUCAUUAGGAUUUUUUGUCUUUAUUAACCUAGGAAGAUCCUUCAAUCUGAAGUUUUUCAAACCUGGGAUCCAGUCAAUUUUUGUGUCCAAAUAUUCAUUUGUUAGAUCACUCUCAUCUGCAUGUCAUAAUUGCAAAAAUCAAUAGCAAGUCAUAUGUAUAAAUAUAUAUAUCAAGGUUUAAAAUCACAUUUGCAAUAAUAAUUUUGGUUGUGUUAUCCUACUGAUAUUGCAUAUAAUCCCAAUCAAAUGUGGUUGAUGCAACCUCAAUUGCGAUUAUAGAGAUAUCGCAACCUUGAUGUUCGGCCCAUAUUGUGACCGCAAACCUUUUUUAAAAACCAUAACAUACACACACAGAUCUCUUAAGAAGAAAAAGGGAACAAAAAUGAUUACCUUUGAAUGGUACUUGACUAUUCAGAUACAUUUUAGGACUGAGCAAACAAGACAAGAAAUAACAUGCACUACAUGGGGAAAAAAGAACAAUUGGGAGGGCAUGUUCUUCAGCAGCAUCUACUGUAAAUGGCAUGUAGCAAUCAGAAACUAAGCAAGUGACUGGGGGGAUAAGACCAGCAGUGGCAGAGUCUUGAAGUUUAGCAAGAAGUUCAUCAAAGAAGUGGCGAAAGUUCGUUAUGAUUGAUUCACCAAGAGAGUGUAGGUCUUGACUUACAUCACCAUUACCAUCCUUUGGAGUUAAACCAUCUGGUAUAGUCUCAAAGUUAAAGUCAGUGAAACCAUCAAAGGCAUUUUCACCUCUUGAUUUGAGCAAACGUUUGUGAUUGUAUUCAGUGUUAACAAAGGUUAUGUGAAAGCCUCUAAGGUGAAGCAGUUUUGCUAUUUUCAACAAUGCAUUGAUAUGGCCUUGAACUGGAAAUGGAGUUAACACUGCAUGUGGCUUUUUCUCUUCAAAGUUACUCAUGAUUGAUAUUUUUCUUAUGUAAGAAAACUAAGAAAAAACUGAGGUGAAAAAUCUAUGAGGCCUCUAUAUAUAACAAUGAGUGAAUUUUGUUACGUAUCUAUUAUCUAUUGUAUAAUAUAAAAAAAUUCUUAAGAAUGGAAAAAACCAUUUUUCUUUUUGAAUAAUUCAAUUACUGUCUAAUUCAUUUUUAUCUAAUUUUUAGUAAAUUGAAAAUCGGAUUUUCUAAUUAAGAUAAUCCAUAUUUGAUAAUUUUUUCUAUACAUCAAACUUUCUUUAUAAACUCUUCCCCUUAAAUAUAUUAAGAGAAGGCCAUAUUUGACAAUAUAUCUUCUAAACCAAUAAAAAUCAAAUUGCAAAUUCUAUGGUACAGCCAAUAUAUUUGAAUGUACCGGUACACUUACUCUUUAAAUUAAUGGUUAAAUGAGUUGUUUUUUGAAGAAAAAUAUUAUUUUCUAUCCUUUAUAUUUAUAAUAACUAAAUCUUAUUCAUCAAAAGUGUUAACGAAAUAAAAUUAAUUUUUUUUGAAUUUUUAGCACUCAUAGUUGAGAAUAUUGAUUAUAUUUUACGAUAAUAUGCAAAAAAAUUACUAUAAUUCUUAUAAAUAAUGAACUGAUGUUUUUUCUUAUGAAAUGAUGUUCUAUAAAAUAUAAAUAUUGAUAAAUAGUUAUUUAUUUCACAAAAAAUAAUCGUUAAUUUAUAAAAUUAUGAAAAAAGAGUACCGGUACACCUCAUUUUGUGAGUCUACAAUAGAAGUUCCCCAAAUCAAAUACAGUCAAAAUAUACUUUAAGUAAAAAAAAUAAAAAUCAAAUAUACUUAAUACAAUAAAAAUCCAAUUUGGACUUGACAAAGAAAAAAAUCCAACAUGUGCAACAAAUUGACGUGGUGAACGAAAGCAACGUCUGCAUGUUGAAAGGAGACCACUUUCUGUGGUGGGGACUGAUUUUAUAUACAGACAAUGGUGUUCAGACGGGAACAGACUUGCCAGUCUAUUCUUUUAAUAGUGUUAAUUAAGGGUGUUUUGGUGCAUUUUUAAUCGAUUUUGAGGUUAAAAGUUAUCCAAAUCGUAAAAUAAAAGAGCAUCAUGUUUGAUUUAAUUGACUUUUAAAAUAAAACUUGAACCAAAUCAAUAUGGGUUGAAUUAUAUUGGUUCGUGUGGUUUUUUCGAGACUAUAAUUUUUUAUUUUUAACAUUAAAAUCGAGUUAAAAACUUAUAACACAACAUAUUUCCAAUAAUGUUUCCGACAAUGUUUUCAAUUUCAUCCAACAUGACAAUUUUAUUUUCACCAAAUAAUAAUAUAGACGAAAUUUAAAAUGUGGACAAAAAGUAAUCCUAUUAAAGAAAUGUAAAAUACUAAGAUUUAUCAUUCUAUAAAAUUUUAUUUUAUAAAAGUUUCCAUUUUUGAAAUAAAAAGUAAAGAAGAAAAUUAACAAGAGAAAAUAAUAUGUCGUUUUAUAAAAGUUUUCAUUGAAUUUCUAUGAGUAUUGGUCUACCUGAAUUAGGUUUAAUUAGCGUUUUUCUUAUGUUGCGGUUUAGUUUGGUUAAUAAAAUAAAAACUGCAAACCGAACCAAACCUUGCGGUUAAGUAAAAAAGUGAUCCGAAUUCAUCCAAACCAAAUGCAUUUUUUGCGGUUUUAGUUUGAGUUGGUUCGGUUUGCAGUUUUUCUACUGGAUUGGUCAGUUUUGAACACCACUAUUUUUUUUGUCUAGUAGCCUAGUGUCUGGAGCUCACACAAUUAAAUUUGAAGAAGUGGGGUAUCUGGGGUUCAAACCCCGACCCUGUAUAAAUUGUGCAAUGUUCUUAUCAAUUGAGCUAAGCUCACGGGGACGUUUCGAACACCUCUAGUGCUAAUGCAUAUAAAUUAUGAAUAUUUAGUAGUUUUUAUGAAAUUUUAAUUUUGAUUAAAAUUAUAGAUAUAGAUAUUUUGUUCUUUAUAUUCUAACAAAUUAUACUUAUUUUUUUUAAAUAACACUAACAAUAUAGCAAAUAUAAUAUAAAUUCUUAUCUUUUUAUUUAUAUUUUUAUUUUUAUAAGCCUUAUUUCAUAAGCCGUUUUCAGCAAAUUUUCAAAAAUGUUUUCAAAAUCAUUUAUGAAAACAUCUUAUAUAUGAAAACAAUUUAACAUAAAUUUAUCUUUUGCUGUAGAAAUAGUUUAUGCAUAAGUGCUCAUCAUAAUUAAUAAGAACUUGCGCUAUAAAUUAUUUAUCCAAACAUGGCCUCUAUUCAUUACUAUUCAACUUAUGAAGCGUGUAAGAAUUAUACUCCCCGAUGUCCAAAAAGGAACUGAAAGGUGAGCAUUUCUUAAUUCAUUGAUUUAGAAUUAUUAAGUUAUGUUUACAAUUUUUCAUGGUUCAUAUUUUUUUUCAGUUUUCAGUAGGACGCCUAUCUUACUUUUUAAUGAUUUAUUCUAUUGAAUUUAUAGAGAAAAGGAGGGAAACUGAAAAGUUAUAAAUCUGUUAUUGAUCAAAUGACUCCCUAAAACUAGUUCUGCAGUAUACCAAUCUUAUAUAUCAUUAAAAGCUUACUAGGGUUUUUUAUACAAGAAAAUGUUAAUGCUUAGUAUAUUAUGUAAGUAACCUGAAUUGGAAUCUUAGACCUCAUGUUAAGCAGUGGUUUAGAGUUUUUUUUUAUAUAAGAAAAUGUUAAUUGUAGUGAGUUAUGUUAGUAACCAGACUUGUUAGUUAUUGAUUUGAAUUCUGUUACAACUCAGACACUUAAGCUACCCCUUGAGGAUAAAAUUAUGCAAGAGUUACUUACAACAAAUAACUGUAGUAACCAUCGAUUUCAGAACUGGAUCCGCUGAUUGAACCAGGAAUCGGCCAGUCUAUACCGGUUGUUCAACCAUGGUCGGUUAUAAGUCUGUCAGAACCUCAUUCAACCAUGGUUUAUUCAACCGAAUCAUUGUUUUUUCGAAUGUUCAUACAUAUUUCGGGAAAUAUUCUUUAAUUCCUGGAUAUGAAAGACAACCAAAAUCUCAUAUUAGUUUUAUUCAUGGUCCUAUGUUAAAACCUGUUCUAUAAAGUAGCUGAUCUUAUGUACGCCUGAUAUAUUUGAAGUUUGAUCCUUCUGUUUGCAUAGGCUGUUCUUUGAUGAUAUUGAAAAUGAAUAGUAUAAUUGCAUAGUAGUACUCAACAUAAGUGAAUGUCUUUUAUUGUUAUAGGAUAGAACCUUUCAAAUCAAUCUCCGAAGCAAGAAGCUUACAAGCAAUGAGAAGUUUAUGAAUAUAAUAUUAAUGUGAUCUUUAGUUACGAAGAAUGAACUUGAUGAAGUUGAAUGCAUUGUUACGAUGUUCCUGACUAAAAUGUUGAUAUCCACACUUAAGAACAUAGGUAGACAUAAAAUGCAAAUUAUUUGGUCCGAACAAAACUAUAAAAAUCGUACAAAAGUCACUUAAGUUCGAUUUUGUUUGAGUAACACCUCCUUAAUCACUUUCUCCAAGUUCAUGUAUGAACAGCCUCCAGGUCUCGUGUCCUCCUCCACCUUCUUCUUCAACUCAAUUGCCUUUUGCCUCAUCUUCUUUGCUUUCUCUCCCACCAUCAAUUCAUUAACCAGCUUCUCCACCUCCUCUCUCUUCACAUUAGUGUCGAUUUCAAUUCCAAUUUUCCAUGUAUUGCAUAAAUAUCUGCAGCUUACUGGGUGAUCAGCGAAAAAUGGCCAACACAACAUUGGAACUCCAGCAGAUAUGCUUUCAGUGAUUGAGUUCCAUCCGCAAUGAGUCAAGAAUCCACCAAUUGAAGGGUGGUUCAGUACUUGCUCUUGCGGACACCAGCUCGUUAUUAGGCCUCUAUCUGAAAUUUCAUUCACAAACUCCGAUGACAAAACAGCUGAGCCGCCGAUGACAAGAUCGGGCCUAAUGAUCCACAAAAAGGGUUGCUUGCUAUUUGCUAAACCCCAUGCAAACUCUAACAGUUUUUCUGCAGUCAUAACUGUCAAGCUCCCAAAAUUCACAUAAACAACAGACCUAGGUUCCUUGGAUUCAAGCCAAUAAAGACACUUGGUAUCUUCUUUCCAAAAAUUGGUGCUUAAAGAUGUCAAAUGGUUUUCUGGACUUUGAUUUAAAAACGAAGAUAAAGGGCCAAUAGCAUGAAUACAAGGGAACACAGUGGAGAGAGCAUUCAUUACAUCCUUCUCAAGUUCAUUAGAAGUGUUUAAAAUAUAAGCAGAGGGUCGGUGAGCCCUUCCAGACGCUUCAAGGAUAAAUUCUACCAUGGAAUCAUUUGGAUAUUUUGCUCUUACAAAGUCCGGAAGAUCCUUGAUUCGGAAGUUUUUCAUGUUGGAAAUUUAGGUCUUAAUAUAAACAGAUUUCAUAAUACAUGUUCAACAACUAUGAAUCAAUAGCGGAAGCAAACAAAACAUUGAACAUGAUUAUGAUCGGAUCUACGACAUGUUUGAUUUACCAAGGAUAUUAAGAAUUAGGGUAUUAGGAAUACCUGGAUAAAGCUUUUGUAACAACCCUCUCAUCAACAACGAUAACCAAAGAGAGGAGAUGAUCUGAAACACGCAAUAGAGUUAGCGGCGGCUGAUUUGGUUCUUCCUCAACCGGUACCUUUAUGCCUCAAGUUCUCUUCAGAUGGGGAGAAGAGAGAGUAUUGCCGUGUACGGUGUAUUGGGGACCAUAGCCUCUUUUAUAUUGGAUGGCCAUUAGGGUUUCCCAUUAUUCCAUUAAUGGGUCAUCCGGACAUCCACUCAUGUUGAGUCCAUAUCAACUAAUUAAAUAAUUAAUUAUCCAAAAUAGAAAUCUAAUUAGCCUUAUUACUUAAUUUGAUCACUAAUCAAUUAAGGCUCACAAUUGAUAAAUAGCUAAUAUAAUUAUUAUUACGAUAUUUGCCCACAUAAUGAUAUUGGAAUAUUAUUAAUUAAUAAAAUAUUCCAACAUUUCAGUCCUGGAAUACAAUCUACUUUAGUGUCCAAAUAUCCGUUUGUGAGAUAACUGUCAUCUGUACAUCAAAUUACAAAAUCUGUUAACUUGAAAUGUCAUAUUAAUACUUUAACUACACUACAUCUAUGAAGAAAGAAAGAAGAUUAAUUGAUUGUUACCUUUUAGUGGUAUGACACCUUUGUCAAACAGUGUAGGUAAGUGAAAACAAGUCAAAAACAUACAUGCACUGGCUGGACUAAAGAAAACAACAGGGAUUGAAAGUUCUUCAGCAGCUUGUAUUGUAAAAUACAUGCUAUUAUCAGAAACUAUGCAAGUAACUGGAGGGACAAGACCAGAAGUGGCAGAGUCAUUAAGUCUAGCAAGAAGUUCACAAAAAGGUUGUAGGAAGUUCUUUCUGAUUGAUUCACAUAGAGCAUAUAUGUCUUGAUUAACAUCACUAUCGCCUUCUAUCGGAGUUAAACCAUCUGGAAUAGUCUCAAAGGUAAAAUCGGUGAAACCAUCAAACGCUUUUGGACCUCUUGAUUUGAGCAAGCGUUUGUGAUUGUAUUCGGUGUUGACAAAGGUUAUGUGAAAGCCUCUAAGGUGAAGAAGCUUUGCUAGUGUUAUUAAUGGAGUGAUAUGUCCUUGAAGUGGAUAUGGAAUCAACACUGCAUGUGGCUUUUUAUCAGAAAAAUGACUCAUUUCUGAGUUUUCUUGUAUUAUAGUAUGUGUAUGACUUGAGGUUUAGAGAUAAAGGGAUUAGCCAGUGCCAACAAUACACCUACCUAACAACUCUAAUCAUAAUGCCAAAAAACAUGUCAUGUGACAGCGUUUAAAUUAGUCUGUAGCUGAAUAAAAAUUUGGUGAUGAAUAAUGGCAAUCAUUAGGCUGUGACCAAUAAUGUUGGAGGACUUAAUGAUAAGUAAUCUAAGUCAAAUAAUUGCAUGGUUUUGUAACCAAUAUAUGUGAACAAUAAAAGAUAUUUAAACUGUCUCAUUAUUGUAAGGGAAAUAUAUUACAGACUCUAAUUUGAACUACACAAUAUUCUAUCCGUCGCAUAAAAAGUGUUUUAUUUAGAAUGUGUACGAUUCUUAUGAAAAUAAUUAGCUGUGUUGAUUUUAAUGGUAAAAUUAAUAUCAUUUACUAAAAUAUUCAUAUUAAUUUAUAUCAUUUACUACUAAGACUUUGUUUGCGAGUUGGAUUUUGGAGGGGAGGGGAAGGGAAGGAAAGGCUCAUGGCUCAUGGAGUGGUAAAUCCUUGUUUGCGAGUUUUAAAAAAACAAGGGAAAGGUUUUGGGGGGUUUUGAAGGGCUUUAUUUGUCCAAUUUUAAAGUUCCCCCAAAUUGGGGGGUUUUGGGGGGUUAAACAUACAAAUUGACAAUUUUGCCCUCUUAAUAAUUCAAAAUUCUAAUUUUAGACAUUACUAAAAUUAUUACAAUCUUUUUUAAAAACAACUUAUUCAAAACAACUUAUUUAUACAAAACAGCUUAUUACGACCUCAUUUUCAAAAACGGCUUAUUCAAAACAGCUUAUUACGACCUCAUUUUCAAAGACCACUUAUUCAAAACAACUUAUUUAUAAAAAACAGCUUAUUACGACCUCAUUUUCAAAAACCGCUUAUUCAAAACAACUUAUUUAUGCAAAACAGCUUAUUACGACCUCAUUUUCAAAAACAUCUUAUUUAUGCAAAACAGCUUAAUACGACCUCUUUUUCAAAAACAGCUUACUCAAAACAGCUUAUUUAUGCAAAACAGCAUUAUACGAUCUCUUUUUCAAAAACAGCUUAUUACGACCUCAUUUUCAAAAAUCGCUUAUUCAAAACAACUUAUUUAUACAAAACAGCUUAAUAUGACUUCAUUUUAAAAAACAGCUUAUUCAAAACACCUUAUUUAUGCAAAACAGCUUAAUACGAUCUCUUUUUCAAAAAAAAGCUUACUCAAAGCAGCUUAUUUAUACAAAACAGCUUAAUACAAUCUAUUUUUCAAAAACAACUUUUUCAAAACAGCUUAUUUAUCCAAAACAGCUUAUUAUCACCUCUUUUCAAAAAAACAGUUUAUUUGUGCAAAACACCUUAUUUCGACCUCUUUUCAAAAAAUAGCUUAUUCAAAACAACUUAUUUUUACAAAACAGUUUGGAUAAAUAAGUUGUUUUGAAUAAGUUUUUUUUAAAAAAGAGAUCGUAUUAUGCUAUUUUGCAUAAAUAAGUUGUUUUGAAUAAGCUGUUUUUGAAAAAGAGAUCGUAUUAAGUUGUUUGGUAUAAAUAAGCUGUUUUGAAAUAGCUGUUUUUAUAAAAGAGAUUGUAUUAAGCUGUUUCGCAUAAUAAGUUGUUUUGAAUAAGCUGUUUCUGAAAAUGAGGUCAUAUUAAGCUGUUUUGUAUAAAUAAGUUGUUUUGAAUAAGUGAUUUUUGAAAAUGAGGUCAUAAUAAGCUGUUUUAUAUAAAUAAGUUGUUUUGAAUAAGCUGUUUUUGUAAAAGAGAUUGUAUUAAGCUGCUUUGUAUAAUAAGUUGUUUUGAAUAAGCUAUUUUUGAAAAUGAGGUCAUAUUAUGUUGUUUUGUAUAAAUAAGUUGUUUUGAAUAAGCGAUUUUUGAAAAUGAGGUCAUAAUAAGUUGUUUUGUAUAAAUAAGUUGUUUAAAUGAGGUCGUAAUAAGUUGUUUUGUAUAAAUAAGUUGUUUUGAAUAAGCGGUUUUUGAAAAUGAGGUCGUAAUAAGCUGUUUUGUAUAAAUAAGCUAUUUUGAAUAAGCUAUUUUUGAAAAAGAGAUUGUAUUAAGCUGUUUUGCAUAAAUAAGCUGUUUUGAAUAAGUUGUUUUUGAAAAAGAGAUUGUAAUAAGUUGUUUUGUAUAAAUAAGCUGUUUUGAACAAGUUGUUUUUUUGAAAAGAGGUCGUAAUAAGCUGUUUUGUAUACAUAAAUUGUUUUGGAUAAGUUGUUUUUGAAAAGAGAUUGUAUUAAGCUGUUUUGAAUAAGCUGUUUUUCUGAAAAGAGGCCAUAAUAAGUUGUUUUGUAUAAAUAAGCUAUUUUGAAUAAGUUGUUUUUUAAAAAAAGAUCGUAAUAAUUUGUUUUUCAUAAGAUAAGCUAUUUUUUAAAAAGAGGUCGUAAUAAGUUGUUUUGUAUAAGUAAGUUGUUUUUAAAAAGUGAUUGUAAUAAGUUUUUUUUUUUUUUUAUAAAUAAGUUGUUUUUUAAAAAUAGAUUUUAAUAAUUUGUUUUUCAUGCGAUAAGUUGCUUUGAAUAAAUUUGAAGUUAAAUUACGAAGUAUAACAAUGUAUUGAUUUUAAGAGGAAAAAUGGUAAAAUAGUAAAAUUAUACUAUAAGCCCUCCAUCUCCUUUUCUUUAUUGACUUUUUAACUCCCAAACAAGAGGAAGGUUUUCCCUCCUUUCUCCCUUCCCUCCCUUUCCUUCCCUUCCUCUCCUUAGCCUUUCCUUUCCUUCCCCUCAAAACUCGCAAACAAAGCCUAAAAUGUAUUUUGAGAGUUCGCUUCGUAAAAUAUUUUUUGUUUAAUAGUGAGUUGAACAAAAAUUAAUUUAUGUUUAGAUAUAUUUAUUAGCGCAUCUUGCAACGUUUCUCUUUUGUUGUAAUCUAAUUAUGAGUGAUAAGAUAAUUAACUCGAUGAGAGUUAAGAGAAGAAAAUAUAUGUUGCAAUCUGAUCUCAUUAUUAAUGGAAAAAAAUUUACUACAACUUAUUUAUAUGGAAAUUACUUGCUAGUCAAGCAAAACAUACUCAACUUACCUAGCUGUAUUUUGUAGUUCAGAUAUUGAUGAAAAAGCUAAACUAUGGAAAUUACAACAACUUAAAAUUUACUACAACUUAUUUAUAUGGAAAUUACUUGUGAAUUUACAUAAAAUUAAGACUAAAAAUUAAUUAUUCUAUUGCAUCUAGAUAGAAAAUAGAGAGAGAAAAAAAAUUAAAAUUUUAGUUCUGUUAUUGAUCAAAAAGCUAAACUAUAACUAUAUUAACUAUAACAUCUAGAUAAGAGAAAUAGGAUGCUCAUAUACAUAUUCUCACCAAUAUUCUUCACUAGUAGAAUAUGUAAAGAGAACAAAAAUAUCAUAUUAGUUUCAGUCAUGUUCCAGUCACACCAACAUGGACACUAGACAUGACACGACUCGACACUGACAAUGAAAUUUUGAUGCCUGCAAUAAUUUGAGAAAAUAGAAUAAAUGUAUUUAAAUGUGUUGGAGUCGUUUAGGUGUCAAAUAUCAACAUGUUUCGGACACUAAACACUCAUCGAAGUGUCAAUGUUGCACCCUUUAAAACCUUACACCUAAGUAAGCUUACCAUUUCUAUUUUUUUAUAUUAAAACUGAUUCCAAUGUUAAAGUAAAACAUUAACUUAUGGCUUGUAUUUAAUUUAGUUAUUCCUAACAAAACUAUAAAUCUUGUUUAACAUAGAAGGAUAUUAAUUUAAACCUGAACACACAGCAAAGUGAUUGUUUGCUUUAAUUUAUCCUUCAUAUGAUAAUGGAAUUCAAGAUACUGUGGAAAAAGCCUCACUACCCCAACUUCAAAAUUUCAAAGCUGUAAAAUUCAACGAAUAAAAAUUUAAAUACAUAUGCCAUAGAAUUAUCCAAUUCAAUCCAUUAGUUUAAGAAUUCUUGCACAAGAUAUGUUCAAUUCCAUCAUCAUGAACUCUUAAUUUAUUAGCAUCAAUAUAUUUGUUAUACAAUACAAUAGCAUCAUCCCUUAAAUUCAGUAGGAGAAUAUCAAUGGAUCAAUAUAAUACUACAUUGCAUAAAAAAUUCACUUAUAGGUUUGAUUUUAUUUAAGCAAAACCUCCUUAAUCACUUUUUCCAAGUUUAUGUAUGAACAACCUCCAGGUCUCGUGUCCUCCUCCGCCUUCUUCUUCAACUCGAUUGCCUUUUGCCUCAUCUUCUUUCCAUUCUCUCCCACCAUCAAUUCAUUGACCAACUUCUCCACCUCCUCUCUCUUCACAUUGGUGUCAACUUCCAUCCCAAUCUCCCAUUCAUUGCAAAUAAUUCUACAGUUUGUUGGCUGAUCAGCAAUGAAUGGCCAACACAACAUUGGCACUCCAGCACAUAUGCUUUCAGUGGUUGAGUUCCAUCCACAGUGAGUCAAGAAUCCACCAAUUGAAGGGUGGUUCAAUACUUGCUCUUGCGGGCACCAACCCGCGAUUAGGCCUCUAUCUGAAAUUUCAUUCUUAAACUCAGAUGACAAAACCAAGGAACCACCAAUGACAAGAUCAGGUCUAAUGAUCCAUAAAAAAUGUUGCUUGCUAUUGGCCAAACCCCAAGCAAACUCUAAUAGUUUUUCUGUAGUCAUAACUGUUGUGCUCCCAAAAUUCACAUAAACAACGGACCUCGGUUCCUUUGAUUCAAGCCAAUCAAGACACUUGGUAUCCUCUUUCCAAAGAUUUGUACUUAAAGAUGCUAAGUGGUUUUGUGGACUUUGAUUUAAAAAUGAUGAUAAAGGGCCAAUGGCAUAAAUAGAAGGGAACUUAGUGGAGAGAACAUUUAUUACAUCCUUCUCAAGUUCAUCAGAAGUAUUAAAAAUAAAAGCAGAGUCUUUGUGAGCCGUUCCUGCGCCUUCAAUGAUAAAUUCUAUGAUCGAAUCAUUUGGAUCAGUAAUCCUUAUAAAGUCAGGCAAAUCCUUUAGUCGAAAGUUCUCCAAUCCUGGAAUACAGUCCACUUUAGUGUCCAAAUAUCCGUUUGUCAGAUAACUCUUAUCUGCAUAUAUCAAAUUUAUAAAAGUUGUUAGCUUGAAAUUGAAUCUUCAUACUCCAAAUAUAUGUCAUAUGAACACGCUAACUAUUCUACAUAUAUGAAGAAAGAAAGAAGAUUAAUUGUUACCCUUUAGUGGUAUGAGACCUUUAUCCAACAAUGUACUAAAAUGAAUACAAGUCAAAAACAUACAUGCACUGGCUGGAUUAAAGAAAACAAGUGGGAGUGAAAGUUCUUCAGCAGCUUGUAUAGUAAAGGACAUGGUAAUAUCAGAAACUAUACAAGUGACUGGAGGGAUAAGACCAGAUGUUGCAGAGUCAUUAAGUCUAGCAAGAAGUUCGCGGAAAGGUUGUAGGAAGUUCUUUCUGAUUGAUUUACAAAGAGCGUAAAUGUCUUGACUAACAUCACCAUCACCAUCCGUUGGAGUUAAACCAUCUGGAAUAGUCUCAAAGCUAAAAUCAGUUAAAUCAUCAAAGGCAUUUGGAGCUCUUGACUUAAGCAACCGUUUGUGAUUGUAUUCAGUGUUUACAAAGGUUAUGUGAAAUCCUCGAAGGUGAAGAAGUUUAGCUAGUUUCAACAAUGGAUUGAUAUGGCCUUGAACUGGAGAUGGGAUUAACACAGCAUGAGGUUUUGAAUCACUCAUUUCUGAGUUUGUGUUUGAAUUUUGAGCAAAGGGAAGCCAAUGGUUUAAUAGAGAUAAAGUGACCACUUUUUGUUAUAAAAGGAAAUCAAUUUUUCAUUAAAAAGUUUAUAGCACAAACUUAAGUAUGUAUUUGUUUGCGGUGACGAGAAUUGAUUUGAAUGAAUUUGUUUAACAAAAUUAGUGUUUGGUUAAAGUGCGUUGAAUGUGAUAUAUAUUUAUAUAAAUUUACGUAAAAUUGAUUUGAAAAAUAAAUUGAAGACUUAAAUUCGAUUAUAAAAAUAAAAUUUUGAUACCUUAGCUUUAAAUAACGAGCGGCUUAAAGGCAAAAUCAAUUCCAUUUAAGAACACACAACCAUAGGGUCUGACUAGGCUUAUCUAAGUUAAAUACUGUUAGUUAGAUGUCGUUCGAGAUUUAUUUUGGAAUUGAUAGAAUAAAAAAGUUGAGAAACACUUUAUAUUGUGAUCCUAAGAUUACUAAUAUAACCAAAUUCCAUCUAAUCACAAUUUUUUUUUACAAGCAAUAAUCAUAACUAACUUAUAAAUAUCUUUAAAAAUAUUAUAUUAAUUUAUCAAACAAUAUCAUUAUUUGCUAGGGUGGAAAUAAAUGUGGUCAAAUUAAUGUACCUAGCCAGUGUUAAAAGCAAUACACCUACAUUUCAGGUUUUUUCUAGAUUACCCUCUCUUAUUUAGAGGAUAUUUUACCCUCUCAUGAUAUCAACCAAUUAAAAUGUAAUAUAUAUUGGCAACAUUAAAUGUCAUAAAUGAGUCAAUUUUUUUUUCUAAAAAAAGAAUCAAUUAUAAUCAUAAGGUAACUUUUAAUACUUUUAAUUUUUAUUUAAUUAUAGACAUGAUUACAUUAGAGAUCCUUUAUCUUAUUUAUUUGUUACACUUGGGUCCUUUAUCUUUAUUUAUUUUCACUCAGGUCUUUUAUCUCUUAUAAAAGCACAUAUACACCAUUUUUCUCAUUUUUUUUAUUAAAAAAAAUACAUAAUUUUAUUUUUUAAAAUAUCUUUUUAUUAAAAAUGAAACAAAUCCAGAAAUAUGAUGAAGAUGUUCAUCAUCUUCAUCUUCUUCCAUUGAAUAUUCAUCAUCUUCAUUGAAUCAAAAAAAUUUCUACACAAAUAUAUCUCCAAAUAUCAUGAAUUAAUGUUAUAUUCACCUCAAAUCUUCCUUUAAACACAAAAAUCAAACCCCUAUAGAGAAAGAGAUUUAGUUUCAUCACCAAAAAAGAAAAAUUAGUUAUAUAAAUUGUCACGCUGUAUAUUAUUAUUAUUAUUAUUAUUAUUAUUAUUAUUUUCUAACUCAAUAUUCAAGCCCGAUAUAAAAAUAAUCCCAAAAUUGAUAGCAACUUUACACAUCAAUUUUGUUGUUUUCAGAGCAAUCUUAACUUUCGUAAAGCCUAACCCUUCCGUCAGUGACUAAGCCUCCACCAUCCGCCUUGCAACAUUUGUGAAAUUAAGGUUUUGAUUUUUGUGUUUAAAAUAAGAUAUGAGGUGAAUAUAACAUUAAUUCACGAUAUUUGGAGAUAUAUUUUAGUAGAUUUUUUUUUAUUUAAAGAAGAUGAUGAAGAUUCAAAGGAAGAACAUGAAGAUGAUGAACAUCUUCAUCAUAGUUUUGGAUUUUUUUUUUCAGUUUUAAUAAAAAUAUAUUUUUAAAAAUAAAAUUAUGUAUUUUUUAAUAAAAAAAUGCGAAAAAAGAUGUAUAUGUGCUUUUAAGAGAGAUAAAGGACCUAAACGGGAAAAAAUAAAGACAAAGGACCAAAGUGUUACAAAUAAAUAAGAUAAAUGACCCAUAAUGUAAUAUUGCCUUAAUUAUAUUUAGGUGUUCAAUCUUAAUUAAUUUACACUACAAGAUUGGCUUAGAACAAUAAAAAUUUCACAUCAAAUUUCUUUAAUCUGAAUGUUCUUAAAUUUAUCAAUUAUAUUUAUAAAAUUUAUUCCUCCCAUUUUGAUUGUUCAAUUUUGUCGUUCCCAACUGCCACAUUUUUCAAUUUUCGUGAGAAUCGUCAUGAUUUCAAAUAUCGUGAGAAUUGCCGUUAUUUCCAGUACAACGUCAGGUAUGAUGACUUGAUUUUUCUUGGUUGUGAGGUAGUUAAUUAAAACAAUCGAGUAAAUCAUCCGUUGUACUUUGAGGGCUGCUAGCAGGUGUUGCCGCUGUGAUGUUGUGGGAGUUUGCUAGCAUUUUUUUGGUUGUUGCUGAAAUGAUUAUGUGAUGAGGCUUUUGUUCUUUUAUUUGGACUUAAAGGCUUUUGCUGAUAGUGAGACAGGUCUAUGCGUGUUAACAGAUUUUAUUAGGUUGACUGCUUAAAUAAAAAAAAAAAGUCACGAUACCUGACGCGGUUCUAAAAACAACGACAAUUCUCACGAUAAUUGGAAAUUGCGGCAAUUUGAAACGACAAAAUUGAACAAUCAAAAUGGGAAGAAGAAUGAAAAAGAAACAAAAAUUGAUCAAUAUGGAAGAAUAAAGAAGAAGAAAUUUGAAAGAAGGAGAUGUUUUUGUUCUCACGUUCGAGGUUCUGGAAUGGAAGAAAUUUUAUGAAUGUAAAUGAUGAAUUUAAGGACAUCCAGAAGAAAGAAAUUUGAUGUAAAAUUUUAUUUGUUAUAAGUCUUGUAGUGUAAAUUAAUUAAGAUUGAACACCUUAAUAUAAAAAAAAAUUAAAUCAUUUGUUGUUUAAAAAAAAUAUUAAAAGUAUUAAAAGUUACCUUAUGAUUAAGAUUAACUCUCCUUCAAAAAAAAAAUUAAGAUUAACUCUUUUAUUUUUAAAAAAAAUCUAUUUAUUUAUUUGACAUUUAAUGUUACCUAUGUAUAUUACAUUUGGAUUGAUUGAUAUCAUGAGAGGAUAAAUUACCCUCUAAAUAAGAGAGGGUAACGUAGACUUCACCUACAUUUCAACUCUAGUCAUAAUGCCAACAAAACAUGUCAUAUCACAGCAUUUAAAUUAGUCUGAAGCAGAUGAAAAAUUUGGUGAUGAAUAAUGGCAAUCAUUAGGCUAUGUUACAACUGGUCAUAUAACAAUAUAAGAUGUUGGAGGACUUGAUCUAAAGUAAUCUAAGUCAAAUAAUUGCAUGGUUUUGUAACCAAUAUGUGACCAAUAAAAGAUAGUUAAACUUUCUCAUUAUUGUAAGGGAAAUCUAUUACAGACUCUAAUUUGAACUACACAAUAUUCCGCUCCUCGCAUAAAAAGUGUUCUAUUUGGAUUAUGUUCUAUUUUUAAAAAAUAAAGGGAAAUGUUAACGAGUCUUUUUUGGGGAAUUCUUUAACGACUAUAAGUAAUAAGUAUUUAUAAAAAAAUUUGUAAUUAAUGCAUUGGAAAUUAAAACGUUUGAUUUUUUUUUAAAAGUAAUUGCUUAUUUUAGAAUGUUUAAGGAGUAUUCCGAAGGCGCUCGUUAACACAAAACCCAUAAAUAAAUUAAUUGUGUUGAUUUCAAUAGUAAAAUUAAUAUCGUUUACUAAAAUAUUCAUAUUAAUUAAUAUGAUUUUACUACUAAAAUACGCUUAGUUUGUGUUUUUUCUUAGUUUGUGUUUAAAUGUUGAGAUAAAGUCAAAGUUUCUAGAUUUAUGGAUAAGAAAAUAGAGGAAAAAGGCAAGGGAGACUAACUUAAAGUCCCAACUUAGUAUGACCCUUUUGAUAAUGAUACGUAAGAUAAAAAUAACAAUUUCUUAAUCAAAAGUUGGUAGCACAAACAUAAGCGUGCCUUUGGUUUCAUGUAGUGAGAAUUGAUUUGAGAAUUCGAUCACUUCAUAAAAUUAUUUUUGUUUUAAAGUAAGUUGAACAUAAAAUAAUUUAUGUUUAUAUUUUUUUUUUAGCGCAUUUUGUAAUUUUUCUAGUUUGUUCAGUAAUCUAAUUAUGAGUGAUAAGAUAAUUAACUCAUGAGAGUUAAUAGAAGAAAGUAUAUCACCACAACAUAAUGGAUAUCUAUCCUUCAAAUAAAAAAUAUAAUUAACAUUUAGUAACAUUUGAAAAUUAUUACUAAAUCAAGAAAAAUGUUACCGAUUAAAAUCAAUAACCUUUGUACAAUUGUUAGGUAUAGUCUGUAUUACUAAAUACAUUAAUAAUGGCAUAAUACACUUUAUAUAGUGAUCAAGGUUGCUAAUUUCCUCAACAAAAAAAAUAAAGGGUCACUAAUAUUAGCAACCGACAACUAAUCAUAACUAACUUAUAGCUAUCUUAAUCUUUCAAAAAAACUUAUAACUAUCCUAAAAAAUAUGAAACUAAUUCUAACAAAUAUCAAACUAUCUAAGAAAUUAUCAAACAAUAUCUUCAUAUGAUUGUUGACUGACCAAAACAAAAAAGAUUCAAUUUCCUAUUUGAACUAGAAGACAAUCGUAUAAGAUGUUUCUCAUGACAAACAAAAAGAUUCUAUAAUUGUACAGAAAAGAUCCAAAACAAGUAUGACUAUUUUUUUCUUUUAUCAGAGUCUAUUGGCUAUUAUUGGCCAUGCCUUAAUCAGUCCAAAUUUUCACAUCAUGAAAAUAUUAAAUAUUUGAAUUUGCACAAGACAAUAUCUCUCCCUUGUCUUUUAACGAGGGUUGUAAAACUGUUUUAUACAUGCAUCCAAUCAAGCCAUGUCAUAAUGGCAAUUGUUUAGGUUACUUCCUCAAAUAUCUCAAAAUAUAAUAAACAUGGGGUGAUCUGAUAAGAUUCAACGCGUAAAAAAGCUUUACACCGUCAGUUUUCAGCAAUUAAUCUCUGCAAAGUAUUUCUGCCUACAAGAUUUGAUAGGAUUCUACAUAUGAUUUUUAUUUUGUUUUGAAAAAAUGGAUCGGAUCCUUCACAUGAACAUGAUAAUGAAAUUCAAGAUACCGUGAAAGAAUUCUUAUUCCCUCUACUUUACAUAUUAAAAUGGUAGGAUUCAUAUUAUAAAGUUAAUAUACAUGCCAUAUAAUUAUCCAAUAUGCAUAUAUUCAAAACAUUCAGUUUAGGAACUCUUGCUGAAGAUGAGUUCACUUACAUCAUCACUUAAAUUCAAUAGGGGAAGAUCAAUCAAUUAUUGUUGAACUGCUUUGCAUAAAAAAUUACUUAAAUUUGAUUUUAUUUAAGCAACACCUCCUUGAUCAAUUUGUCCAAGUUCAUAUAUGAACAACCUCCAGGUCUCGUGUUCUCCUCUGCCUUCUUCUUCAACUCGAUUGCCUUUUUCCUCAUCUUCUUUCCUUUCUCUCCCACCAUCAAUUCAUUGAUAAGUUUCUCCACCUCCUCUCUCUUUACAUUCGUAUCAAUUUCCAUCCCAAUCUCCCAUUCAUUGUAAAUAAGUCUACAGUUUGUUGGCUGAUCACUAAAGAAUGGCCAACACAACAUUGGAAUUCCAGCACAUAUACUUUCAGUGGUUGAGUUCCAUCCACAAUGAGUCAAGAAUCCACCAAUUGAAGGGUGGUUUAAUACUUGCUCUUGAGGACACCAGCUCGCGAUUACGCCUCUAUCUGAAAUUUCAUUCACAAACUCCGAUGACAAAACAAUUGUGCCACCAAUGACAAGAUCAGGCCUAAUGAUCCACAAAAAAGGUUUAUUGCAAUUGGCCAAACCCCAAGCAAACUCUAACAUUUUCUCUUCAUUCAUAACUGUAAGGCUGCCGAAAUUCACAUAAACAACGGAACCCGAUUCCUUCGAUUCAAGCCAUUUAAGACACUCAGUAUCUUCUUUCCAUAUGUUGGAACCAAAAGAAUCCAAUUGAUGGAUUUGUGGAGUUUGGUUUAAUAAUGAAGGUAAAGGGCCAAUGGGGUAAAGAGAAGGAAACAUAGAGGAGAGAGCAUUUAUUACAUCACUCUCAAGUUCAUUGAAAGUAUUCAAAAUAAUAGUAGAGUUUUUAUGAUCUUUAUCAGCCACAUCAAUUACAAAGUUUAACAUAAUAUCAUUUGGAUCUGUUGUCCUGAUAUAGUCAGCAAUGUCCUUCAACCGAAAGUUUUUCAAACCUGGAAUCCAAUCUACUUUAGUUUCCAAAUAUCCAUUUGUUAGAUAACUCUCAUCUGCAUAUCAAAAGUAGCAAAGUUAAUAGCUUGAAGGAGGGCCGUAUCUGAGGCAGGGCGAGGAGGACGACCGUCCCAAGGUCCCAAAAAAUAAGUUUAAAAUUUGGGUCAAAAAUAUAAAACUAGGGGUUCAUUGGGUAAAAAACAUAUUAGGAUAUGCUAAAAUCAUAUACAUUUUAACUUAAAAAGGACAUAUCAGGAAUUGAUGUACAUUUCCUAACAUAAUAAAAACUAUCAUCUUCAAGAAAAUUAUUUUUACACUUUAGGAAUUCAAUUUUUUUUUUGUACUUAUUAGUUAGGGCCCAAACUGUAGGUUCAUCCGUAGGCCACCUGAAUCUCAGAAACGGCCAUUUGAAAGUCAUACAUACAUACACACGUGUAUAUUUUGUUUUCGACAGAAACAUGCAUGUAUAAGGUAUUAUAAAUUGAAUAAAAGUCAUUUAUUGAAGUAUAAAUUUUAGUUUUGAAGUUUUAUCGAUCAAAUUUGUGGAGGUCAUCUAUUCAAUAAGAUUUUUUAAUUUGAGUGUUGCUUUAUUGAAAUUUAGUGUCGACAUUGAGCUAUAUAUUAACUGAAACUAUAUCGAGAGUUACUCUUGGAGUAAGUUGAUUAUCUCGCACACGAAGAUAUAUAUAAAUUUAAUUCAUAUAUAUAGUUAAUGUAAAGAUUUUUUACACUGUCAAUAAAUCAUGAUAUAUUGUAAGAUAAUAGAAAAUAUGAACUUUAAUCUUAACUACUUCUAAAGUAAAUCAUAUGAUUGGUUGUGAUUUGCUGACACCGUAAAACUUUUUACACUAAUAGUAUAUCAAAGUAAAUAUUAAUCACAAUAUAUAUAUAUAUAUAUAUAUAUAUAUAUAUAUAUAUAUAUAUAUAUAUAUAUAUAUACUUUGUGAAUAAAAAACUCAACUUAGUACCUUUGAGUGGCGUGAGACCUUUUUCUACAAAGGAACGUAAGUGAUGAAUACUCAACAAAAAACAUGCACUGGCUGGAAAAAGGAUAACAUUUGGGAUUGCGAAUUCUACAGCAGCCUGUAUAGUAAAGCUCAUAAAAUAAUCAGAAACUAAGCAAGUAACUGGUGGAACAUUGGUAGAGUCAUUAAGUCUUGUAAGAAGUUCACAAAAGGGUUUAAGGAAAUUCUUUCUUAUAGAUUGAGCAAGAGAGGGUAUGUCUUGACUAACAUCACCAUCACCUUCCAUUGGUGUUAGACCAUCUGGUAUGGUUUCAAAGCUAAAACCAGGGAAACCAUCUAAGGCAUUUGGACCUCUUGAUUUGAGCAAACGUUUAUGAUUGUAUUCAGUGUUGACAAAGGUUAUGUGAAAUCCUCUAAGGUGAAGAAGUUUUGCAAGUUUGAACAAUGGAUUUAUAUGUCCUUGAAGUGGAGCUGGAAUCAACACAGCAUGUGGUUUUCUGUUUGCAAAGUUUCCCAUCUUUGAUAAUUCUCUAUUGAAUGUUAUUGUUAUGUGUGCAAGAUACGAGGUUGAGAAACAAGUGAUAAACAUGGGCUUUAAUAGAGAAAAAAAAAAGGAAAUUGCUAUAAAAUUGAAAAAUAUAAAGAAAUCCAAACAGUUAAAAUCUGGAAGGUUAACUUAAAAUCGGGAUUUUGCUUCAGAUCGAAAGGUAAGAGCAAAAUCGCAAUCAAAAUCUACGAAAGUUAACUUAAAAUCAGGAUCUGAAAGAAAUUGUGCCACGGCCGGAGGAAUUGUGCCACGAUUGUGAAGGAAAUUUCUGGAGCAGGUCUCUGGAAAAAACAUGUCAUGAUGGAGCCACAAAGUGGCACGAUGGAGCGUUGAAGGAGAAAAAUAAAACCAUAACUUUCAGCGUAAUAUUUGUUCCUAAUUUUAAGGGUUAUAGAAGGGAGGGAGGGAGGGAGUGUGUGAGAGAGAGAGGCAACAACAAAACUAGGGUUUGUAGAGUUUUCACUUGGCAACAAACACUAGGGUUCAAAUAUUAAUUUGGUUUUCAUAACAAUGCUAUGAAACACAGGCAUAGAAAAAGACAUAAAAAAUAACACUGACACGUUGAUACUAAUAAUAAUAAAAAAAAUUAAUUAAUUGAAUGUAAUUACAACGUAAUUGAAUGUAAUUACAACGUUUGACAUAGACACAUGUUAGAUACCAUUCACAUCUUCGGUGAGGGUCGUCGGUGGCACACAGUUACAAUUUUUUCUUAUAUACACAAAUAUAAAUAUCAAUAAGUUGUAGUUAUGUUACUUCUUCUACUUCCUGUCCUCGUCAAUUCAUCUCCCUAUAUGACUCAUUAUAAUGGUUGAAUGUGUUUGUUGGUUGUUGGUUAAUUAACCAAUCAAUAUGGCAUUAAAUUUUAUGUUGUGUGUACUUGUGUCCAUUUGGUAACCAAGAAAAGGAAAGUUGAUAGAGUCCACAAAAGGGAAAUAUUUAUGCAUGAUUAUGGAGAUGGACCACCACCAUAAGCCGCAGUUCCCUUACGUCCACAUGCAAAUUGUAAACGUUUUUACAUACAUAUAUAUUAGUAAAAAAAAGAAGGUAGAGUAAAACUUGAAAUUGGUACAUGAAUUGUAAUUUGUAACAGUGUGUAACUUACUAUAAAGAAAUUUCAAGUUAGUAUCCCAAAUUGAGGAAUGCUAGAAACACUCUCUCUAGCACUCACUCUUUUAUUGAGUGAAAUCAAUGUAUGUCUCACCACUUUUUAUGGGUUCCAUUUUCAAAGUGUAAGUCCUACAUUAAUUUCACCAAAGAAAAGAGUGAGUGCUAAAGAGUUCUCAAAAGAGAGUGUUGCUAGCAUUUCUCAUCCCAAAUUUGUUCACAUAAUUAUCCCUUCAAAACAAUGUAAAAUAGUUAGGUACUAGAAUGCGACCAUAUUUGUUGUUUCAAUCAAAUUCAUUGUCAGUAUCAAACCGUAAGAAAACGUAUAGUAAUAAAUAAGCUCCUUUAAUUUGACAGAAAAUGCACAAUAAGUAGGGUAAGCAAAGGAGCUCCUUUCAAGGACGUAUUCGGGGAAUAUCAGGUUCGAUUUUCAGGGGGAACAACGUUUGGCCAAUGUACAUGAGCCGGAUUAGUCGUCCACCAUUAGUGGGUUGGAAACCAGUGCGAAGGCAAAAAAAAAAAAGUUAAAGCAACCAUGACCCCUUAAUUUGAUAGCAGGCGCUAAAAAUCAUUUUAUUAAUCAGGUAAUGCAAUUGUGAAAAAACUCCCAUUAUUUUUUUUUAAGAAGCCAAAAUUGAAUUAUAUUAACAAUAAAAGAGCAAUCCCCAAAGCACAAGAUGUGCCUUUGAGACUACGGCAAAGAACCAAGUUUUAUAUCAUAGUACACAAAUACAGCUCAAACAACAUUAGCCAAUACCCAAACAAACAAGAGGGUUUGACCACCGCUGUUGAGAGCCAAAAACAAAACAAGCUUUUUUUUAAGUUUUAUACAUAUGGUAUUUAGAUAAAGAGAGAGAUAAGACCACAUAAGCUUUAUAUUAAAGAAGGGUUGUGUUGUAUUUACCAUGGUUGUUAAAAUUGGGAUUUUGUUUUCGGUUGAAAGGGAGUAGCAAAAUAAAAAAUUGUAAAAUUGCAAUCAAAAUUGAAGGAUUCUACUCAAUUACUUUUCUAGAAUUGAUAUAGGAUAGCGAAACACGAAAAUCGUAAAAUCGCAAUAAAAAUCGGUGGAUUCUACCAAAACAGCAAAAAUAAUGCUAAAUACAUGUUAUUAAUUGCAUAUAUUUUGGAUCCACAAAAUACUUAUACAUAAAUGACUCACACCUAGAUGCCAAAUAUCUUUUAGUAGUGAUAAUAAUGCUACACAACUUAGACAAAAUACUUAAAGUAAAUCCUAGAUGCCAGACAAAAUAAUUGAUCAUAAAUGAGUAAAUGACUAUUAAGUUUUAAGGAAUAGCCGAUAUGGCUACCAAAAUACACAAUCGAAAGCCUAGAUGCAAUCAUAAAUCAAUUGACAGACCAGGUCACCCAUAUAAAAAAAAAGGCUAGAAUCCUUCAAAAUUAUGUAAAAUCCAACGAUUUUGCAUGAAUUUCACGAUUAUGUGUGGUUUUACUAGGAUUUUGCCUAUUUUUAAAUUCUGCAAUGAAUUUGAAUCGUUAAAGAUGAAUAAAGUCACAAAAUCCUAAAUUUAGGAUUUAAAUUGUGAUUUUGACAACAAAGGUAUAUACACCAGAAUUGAAACAUUUAUAUUCAAAUGUAUUGUAAACUUGUAGUUAUGGAACCUUAACUACUCUUUUUUUUUUCCAUGUAAGCUUGUAACAGUGCAACAGGGAAAUAUUAUAUAGGAUAAAGUGCACUUUUCGCCCCCUAUGUUUCAAAAUGUUGCGAUUUUGGUCCCCUAUUAAAAAAAAUGACAAUUUUGGCCCCCUUCAACCCAAAAUUACUGAAAAGACGCCACAUGUCCCAAAAAAGGGGCCAUAAUUGCAACUUUUUGUAAAGAUAAGGGGUCAAAAAACAUAUUUCCCUUAUGUUAGGAGGUCAAAAGAGCAUAUUUCCCUAAACAUAGGGGGUCAUUUUUGCCAUUUUUUAUAAUAGGGGGCCAAAAUUGCAACAUUUUGAAACUUAGAGGGCGAAAAGUGAAGUUUAGCCUAUUAUAUAUACAGUUUAACAUUGUGAAAUUGGAAUUAUGUAAAGUUAUUUUAGGGACACUAUAUAUGGAUUAAUCUAAUUGCAUAGUUUUAAUUCAAACACUAAUGGGAACAACCGUGAGUGCUCACGAGUAUUUAAAUGCAUUCAAAUCAGUCUCUUCAAAAGAUCUAAAGAAGCAUUCAAGCAUAUAAAUAUAAUAUUAAUGAGAUUUUGAAGUAUUGGCUUACUUUGAUCCAUAUGGAUUCAAUCAAAAACAACCAAAGGCCAAAAUAGAGGUAUGUAAUGUAAUCUUUAAAUGUGAACUUAUGAAUAAUGGACUUGAGGAAGCUGCAUGCAUGCAUCAUUGCAAUGUUCCUGACUAAAAUGUUGAUGCUCACACUUUAGAAUAUAGGUUAACAAAAAGUAAAAAUUAUUUGAUCCUAAUAAAACUAUAAAUAUUUUAUUAAAGUUAAUUAAGUUUGAUUCUGUUUAAGAAACACCUCCUUAAUCACUUUCUCUAAGUUCAUGUAUGAACAACCUCCAAGUCUCGUUUCCUCCUCCGCCUUCAUCUUCAAAUCAAUUGUCUUUUGCCUCAUUUUCUUUCCUUUAUCUCCCGACAUCAAUUCGUUGACCAGCUUCUCCACCUCCUCUCUCUUCACAUUAGUUUCAAUUUUGAUUCCAAUCUCCCAUUCAUUGCAAAUAUAUCUGCAGUUGGCUUGCUGAUCCGCGAAAAAGGGACAACACAACAUUGGCACUCCGGCACAUAUACUUUCAGUGGUUGAGUUCCAUCCGCAAUGAGUUAAGAAUCCACCAAUUGAAGGAUGGUUUAAUACUUGCUCUUGCAGACACCAGCUUGCAACUAAGCCUCUAUCUGAAAUUUCAUUCACAAACUCCGAUGACAAAACAACCGAGCCACCAAUGACAAGAUCAGGCCUAAUGAUCCACAAAAAGGGUUUCUUGCUAUUGGCCAAACCCCAAGCAAAGUCUAACAACUUUUCUGCAGUCAUCACCGUUAUGCUCCCAAAAUUCACAUAAACAACAGACCUUGGUUCAUUGGAUUCAAGCCAGUCAAGACACUUGGUAUCUUCUUUCCAAAGAUUGGUACCUAAAGAUGCCAAAUGCUUUUGUUGACUUUGAUUUAAAAACGAAGAUAAAGGGCCAAUGGCAUAAAUACAAGGGAACAUACUGGAGAGAACAUUCAAUACAUCAUUCUCAAGUUCAUUACAAGUGUUAAGAAUUAUAGCAGAGGCACGGUAGCCCUAUUCAUCGCUUCAUUGAUAAAUUCUACUAUAGAAUAAUUUGGAUCUGUUAUCCCUAUAAAAUCAGGAAGAUCUUUCAGUCGAAAGUUUUGCAGUCCAGGAAUACAAUCUACUUUAGUUUCCAAAUAUCCGUUUGUCAGACGACUAUCAUCUGUAUAUAUCAAAUUACAAAACUUGUUAGCUUGAAAUUGAAUUAACAUAUAUACUUCAUAUGAACAAUUUAACUAAACUACACCUAAGCAGAAAGAAAUAAGAUUAAUUAGUUAUAUUACCUUUUAGUGGUAUGAGACAUUUUUCAAACAAUGUCGGUAAGUGUAAACAAGUCAAGAAUGUACAUGCAUUGGAUGGACUAAAGAGAACAAUAGGAAGUGAAAGUUCUUCAGCAACUUGUAUAGUAAAGGACAUGUUCCAAUCAUAACUAAGCAAGUAACUGGAGGGAUAAGACCAGCAGUAGAAGACUCAUAGAGUCUAGCAAGAAGUUCGCGAAAUGGUUGGAGGAAGUUAUUUCUGAUUGAUUUACAGAGAGAAUUUAUGUCCUGUGUAACAUCACCAUCACCAUCUAUUGGAGUUAAACCAUCUGGAAUAGUCUCGAAGGAAAAAUCAGUGAAACCAUUACGAGAAUUAGGACCUCUUGAUUUGAGCAAGCGUUUGUGAUUGUACUCGGUGUUCACGAAGGUUAUGUAAAAUCCUCUAAGGUGAAGAAUCUUUGCUAGUUUGAUUAAUAGAUUGAUAUUUCCUUGAAUUGGUAAUGGAAUCAAUACUGCAUGUAGUUUUUUACCACUCAUUUGUGAGUUUGUGUUUGAAUGUUGAGUGUGUAUGAUAUGAAGUAUAGAGAAAAUGAGAAAGGGGUAUGUCAGUGGUUUAAUAAUUGAGAUAAAAGCCAAUGUCCCUUAGAUUUGUGGAAUGGAAAAUAGAGAAAAUAAAAAUGGAAAAGAAACAGAAAUUCAGAGUCUAAGAUAUGUUUAUUUUAAAAUGGAAUGAUUCCAAGUAAUACAAUUUGAGCCUUAUCCUCAUUGUGACAAAGAUUGAUCUUGAAUCCUCUCAAUAAUCGAUGCAUACUAGUCUAGUCAAAACUUUUUGCUAUGCCAGAAAUUAAUUUGAAUUAUUCACAAUUAUGUUUAGAAUCUGCAGACAGCAAAUGUAGUCAAGUUCUAACUCUAUCCUUUAGUGAAAAAGAAAAAGUCCAAGUCUUGUAACAUCAUUUGUAACACCAUUCAUUUUUAAGGUGUCACUGUAUUUUGAGAAAAAUAGUUAAGUGAAGAUUGCGAUCAUUCUUAAGGAAACCAAAAAAUUGGUUUUGGUUCAAAAUUGUUCGCCUCCACUGUUGGUCGUGCAAUGCUUUAAUGUGGUUUUGUAGCGGUGGGAGUGACACAAUCUUUUAAAGUACGAUUUUCAGCCAUUUUAGACUUGUGAUCACUCUCUUCUUCGUUGAUGGAGAAAUCUCUCUUUCUCGAGUAUUGGUGGAACAAUUUUCCCGAGAAUUCAAGUUCUUCACGUCCAAACAAGAAAACAAGCAAAAACAGAAAAUAUUAUUGUGGCACGAUUUUGACAAUAAAGAAACUUGGAAAUUUUGUAUCAUACCAAAAAAUCUCAAAACUAUAUCUUACAAGAAUACUUGCACAGCAUUCCAACCGUUCAUUAGAAGAUAUUAUCAAAAAUAUAUAUGAUUGUGGAUCAUCUUCAUAAAUUUCAGUUUACUACUUGAACUGCAAUUAUAAUAUAUUUCUUACAUCAAAGAUUCUAGUUGUACAGAAGAAAACAUGUGCAAAUUGAUGAAGCAACAAUGACCACUCAUUCUUUUUAUCAUAGUAUUGUCUAUUAUUUACCCAUCUCUGAAUCUGGCAAAUUUUGGACUUAUGAUAAAGAACAGAAAAAUUUGUCUUUCAACAAGGACUGGAGAUUCUCCCUAAAGUCACAAUUGUAUAAAAUCCAAAUUUACCAAUCAAGAGGGAUGGAUGUGUCCCUAUUAUCAAGAUAGCCUUCCAUUCUCUUCACUUGUAUAUGCUUUCACGUCAUUCGGGGUGUAUUUUAUGUCCUUUUAUAGUGUGUGUAUUUUAAUCCUUUGUUAUGCAUAUGAGGUAUCAACUAUGGUUUUAGUCCUUCCAAAUAUUUGGUUCCAGAUGUUUUGUUUUGGUCCCUAUAAAAUCUAUUCAUAUUUAAAUUGAUACCUAAUAUUCAUUUUAGUCUUUAUUUUGAGGGACUAAAAUCAAAUAUUCUACAUAUUACAAGGACCAUAUCCAAUAUGAAUCAAUUUUGUAAUGAUAAAAAACCAAGGACCAAAAACAAAAAGUAAGAUAUUUGGAAGGACUAAAACCGAAAACAUUUUUUUACAAGGAUUAAAACCAAAAUGCUUACAUUUGCAAGAACUAUUUGCAUAUUAAAAUCUUGGGUCAUGCUAACUGGUGCCCCGGACACUUGUGAAGGAAGCCAAAAGAAGAAAUUUGAAAUCAAAAAAGAUACUUUUUAAAUUUUUAAUGCAUUGAUUACACAACUUUCAAUGUAAAAUAUUACUAUAUUUUAUUUUUUAACCAGUGCCCUGGAGACACUGGUUAGUUUGUGAUCAAUCUGUAUCACAUGCAUGGGAGUUGGUUAAGCUAUAGUAACUGUGAAAGGAAACUUAUUCCAAACUUCAAUUAAUAAAGUUUCUUUCUAAUCAGCCCUAGGAAAAAUAUUUGAAGCUUCACAUAAUAUUAAUCCCAAAUUCAAUAUUGGAAUAGUACAUAGUAAAAAAUACAUUGCAUCAAAGCAUAGUAAUAGCUUAAUAAUUUAAUUAGAAACAACCUCCAGGUCGAUAAAGUAAUAGAAUACUGCAUUGUAUAAAACAAUAUCAUUAUAUAUCUAAUUUUGUUUAAGCAACACCUCCUUAAUAACUUUGUCCAGGUUCUUGUAUGAACAACCACCUAGUCUAGUGCUCUCCUUUGCCAUCUUCUUCAACUCCAUGGCCUUUUGCCUCAUCUUCUUGCCUUUAUCUCCGGCUAUCACUUCAUUGAUCAGCUUCGCCAACUCCUCUCUCUUCACAUUUGUAUCGAUUUCCAUACCAAUCUCCCAUUCAUUACAAAUAAAUCUACAGUUUGUUGGCUGAUCGGCAAAAAAAGGCCAACACAACAUCGGCACUCCAGCACAUAUGCUUUCAGUGGUUGAGUUCCAUCCACAAUGAGUCAAGAAUCCGCCGAUCGAAGGGUGGUUCAACACUUUCUCUUGUGGACACCAACUUGCUAUUAGGCCUCUAUCUGAAAUUUCAUUUGUAAACUCAGAUGACAAAAUCACUGAGCCACCAAUGACAAGAUCAGGCCUAAUGAUCCACAAAAAUGGUUUAUGGCAAUUGGCCAAACCCCAAGCGAAUUCUAAUAAUUGAUGGGGUGUCAUAACUGUAAUGCUGCCAAAAUUCACAUAAACAACGGAUCCCGGCUCCUUGGAUUCAAGCCAUUCAAGACACUCAGUAUCUUCUUUCCAGAGGUUGGAACCUAAACAGUCCAAUUGAUGAAUUUGUGGAGUUUGAUUUAAUAAUGAAUGCAAAGGUCCGAUAGUAUAUAAAGAAGGGAACAUAGAAUAUAGUGCAUUCAUUACAUCACUCUCAAGUUCAUUGUAAGUAUUCAAAAGAAUAGUAGAGUCUCUAUUAAAUCUAUCUGCAAUUUCAAAAAAGAAUUCUACCAUAAUAUCAUUUGGAUCUGUUGUCCUGAUAUAGUCAAGAAUGUCCUUCAACCGAAAGUUUUUCAAACCUGGAAUCCAAUCUACUUUUGUUUCCAAACAUCCAUUUGUUAGAUAACUAUCAUCUGCAUAUCAUAAGCACAGAAGUUAAUAUCUUGAAGAUUCAUACACACACAUAUUUAUAAAGUUACUAUACAUUCAAUGAAAGUUAUUUGUAGUAUAACAAAUUUUAGUUUUGAAGUUUUAUAGAAAUUUGUGCAGGUCAUCUUCUCAAUGACAAUGAGAGCUUUUAAUUUGAGGUUUGGAUUGUUAUUAACUUUAUUAAUUAAUUUAUGAGUUAGCUCUCUGGUAAGAGUUUGAUUCAGUAAUCUCAAUGUGCAGAGAGUUCAAAUCCUUUAGGGAUCAUAUAUAUAUAUAUAUAUAUAUUCAAGAAGCUGAACUAACCCAUCAAAAUUGACACUAGGGAGAAUUGAACCUGAGACCUUAGAACGCUCCAAGGUUUCAAGCCAACUAAUAUAUAUAUAUAUAUAAUGUGCAUUUACAAAAUACUAUUAACUAUGAAGAAAACAAACUUAGUACCUUUGAAUGGUAUGAUGCCUCUUUCUACAAAGGAACGAAGAUACAUAACAAUCAAUAAAGAACAUGCACUUGAUGAAAAAUAGAGAACAUUUGGAAGUGCAAAUUCUUCAGCAGCUUGUAUAGUAAAGCUCAUACAAGAAUCAGAAACUAAGCAAGUAACUGGUGGAACAUUGGUAGAGUGAUUAAGUCUUGUAAGAAGUUCACAAAAGGGUUUAAGGAAAUUCUUUCUUAUAGAUUGAGAAAUAGAAGGUACAUCUUGACUAACAUUAUCAUCACCUUCCAUCGGUGUUAGUCCAUCUGGGAUUGUUUCAAAGCUAAAAUCAGUGAAGCCGUCUAAGGCAUUAGGACCUCUUGAUUUGAGCAAACGUUUGUGAUUGUAUUCGGUGUUGACAAAGGUUAUGUGAAAUCCUCUAAGGUGAAAUAGUUUUGCUAGUUUCAACAUUGGAUUGAUAUGGCCUUGAAGUGGAUAUGGAAUCAACACAGCAUGUUGUUUUCUGUUUGCAAAGUUUCCCAUUUUAGUUAAUUUUCUAUUUGGAUAUUAUGUGUGCAAAAUAUGAGGUUGAAGAACAAGUGAUAAUAAGCAUGUGCAUUAAUAGAGAGAAUAAAUGACAAUGCUACAAAAUUGGAAAAUACAAAGAAAUCCAAAGAGAUAAAAUCUGGGAGGUUGAGAUUCUAACAAAGUGAAAUAAGUUCAUCCAACUCAAUUUUUAAUUUGGCUAUCACAACAAUGAUGUGAAGCAUGGACAUACAUACAAGGACAAGAAUACAACAUUCACACGUCCAUACCGGUAAUAAUUAAGAUGAAAACAUGAUUAAUUGACUGUACUUACCUGUGUUGGUGUCAAACGUACAACAACACAUGUCCAACAUCAAAUACAUCUCUUAUCAAAAGUGUCGCUGCUACAUCGUUUGUAUUUUCAUAGGCAAAUGUUACUAUGUUGGUAGUACAUUUAGUUCUUAGAUUUAAAAUUUGGAACCUUUACUUUACUCAUCAAUCGACCUACCGGUUAAUACUCAUCAUAACGGUGUUGAAUUGUUGCUCUUUGGUUUCUCCAAUCAAUAUGGCAUUGAAUUUUCAGGUCUGCCCAUAUGCUAAAUUACCAAAACAAGAAAUAUAUCUAACAAAAGUAUGCAGUUGUCUUGUAGAGUACAGUUAAUAUGUCAUAAAUCACAUUUCGGUCUUUCAUGAAUUUGAAGGUUAAAAUAAGUUAUUAUACAUUUUUUGGAGGUUAGAAAUAAGUUAGUAAAAUUUGAAGGUAGAGUAAAACUUCAAAUUGGUACAUGAAUUUGUAAGUGUGUGUCAACUUACAUUAUAUAAAUUUCAUGUUAGUCUCCCAAAUUUGAUUAGAUUAGUCCCUUCAAGAUUAUGUCAAUUCGGUCUUUUCCUUUAUCAAUAUUUUAAAAUAGUCCAAUGGCCAUCCCUCCUAAGAUCAAGGGUUAUGCGAUCAAAUUGUCCCAUAUAUAUAGAUUUUUCUAUUUGGUCAGGUAUCAAGCAGAAAGAUCACAUCAUCAAAGAUAUUUGUCAAUGAUUACUUGGGAAAGGGGAUAAGAUUAAUUUGUAAAAUGCUCACUGGCUUAACUUUUCAAUUGUCGAUCAGCUUGAUAUUCCAGAGAACAAGCAUCAUUUACUUCAAGGCAUUGUGAAGGACUUCAUCAGAAAUAAGAAAUGGUAUCUUCCUCAAUCAAUUCUUUUGAAUCAUCCCUAAUUUUAGGACGGGUGACAAUCGAGUUUGGGAGCACACAAAUAAUGGGUAACUUUGUUUUCGUGAAUCUUAUUUUUUUCAAAAACCUCCCCUUAGUGAGGCAUAUUGAGCUAAUUAAGCCUUAUAUAUGAAGUCGAUCCAUCCGACCGGACAAAUAUCUUCUUGUUUGGAGGCUUUUUACAAAGAAAUUCCUACCGAUGAGAAUCUGUGUGCUAGAGGUUGCAAUGUUGUUUCUUAGAGUAACUUGUGUGACAAGGCAAUGAAAACUAGCCAACAUUUUGUCUGGGAUUAUACAUUUAUGAAAAAUUGUUAGGGCUGGCUUGCUUCUACUCAUAAUAUUUCUAUUGACACCAACUGCUUCUGGUGGUAUUUUUAGAGAUAGUAAUAUGUCCUUUGUAGCGUGUUUUUUUCAAAAUUUAAACAUAUCUACUACUUUUCAUGCAGAGGUCAUUGGGGCUAUGCAUUGCAAUAGAGAUAGAUUUAAAAAAAAAAGGGUUUGACCUCUCUUUGGUUGGAAAAAGACUCUCAAUUGGUUACUAUGGAUUUCAAGAAUCCUAGUCAAAAACAAGUGGUUUAUCUGUGUUGAAUUAACUAAAAAUAUGUGAUUCAUUAUUUCUCAUAUCUUCAUAAAAGACAAUUGUUGUGCACAAAAAAAUUGCUUAUUUGGGCUUGAACAUAAUAGUUUGGGUUAAAUAUGUUUUUGGUCCCUAUAAAUAUAUCAACUUUUCGUUUUAGUCCCUCUAAAAUUUUCCUUCAACUUUUAGUCCCUAUAAAAUUUUGAAUCACUACUUUUGGUCCCUAUUUUAAAUUAAAUUUUUGUAUUUUUUAAUGAAAUUGUACAGAAAUGUGUAGAAUAUUGUAAAAACAUUUCCCAAAAAAAAUUAGAACUUUUCAAGUAAACAUAAAUUAAAUAUGAAUUUUUAACCAUAAAAAAUAUAAAAAUCAUAUUAAAUUCAUGUUUAUUAAAAAAUUCUAAUUUUUUUUGGGAGAGAUUCUGAUAAUAUUAUAAAUUUUUCUGGAAAAUUUGAUUCAAAAAUAUGAAUUCUACAUAUGAGUUUAUUUUAAAAGAGGGACCAAAAGUGAAGAUGGAAAAUUUUGUAGGGACUAAAAGUUGAAGGAAAAUUUUAGAGGGACUAAAACGAAAAGUUUGUAUAUUUAUAGGGACCAAAAACAUAUUUAACCCUAAUAGUUUUACUAGAAUUUGACCCGGGCAACGCACGGAAUCCUUGCCUGCAUUUUUUUUUUCAAGUGGGGCACAUGCAUUUACGACUUUGGUAAAAUUUGGCGAAACAGCCCACUCGUGACUACUGGAAAAGGUGUGCAUUAUUUGAUUUGAUUCAAUGCCAACUUGAAGAGUCCAUGCCCGUGACAUUAUUGUAUAUAUUUCCCAUUCUUUUCUAUGUCACGUUUAGUGGUAGAAUUAUCACUAUUUUUAGUGAAAUUUUCACGUGUAUAAUCUUCAUGCAUGGGUAUCUCCGACUUGACAUAUGUACAUUCACAUUAGUAGCUAUAGAGAACAAAAGUAGAGAAAUUACAAGUUGUGAAAAAACAAAAUUCUAGCCAAUACUAGGGAAAAAGUUUUGCCUCUUAUGGGUAAAUCAAGGUUUAGACUAGAUAAGGGUAGACGAAUAUUUUCAUACAUAGUUGUAGUACAUGAAAGAACCACUUACAUGACGCAACCCAAGACCAAUUUGAAUAUAGUAUUGCACACUUUAUAUUAUUAAUGGGAAAUAUUUAAAACAAUAAAAAAAAUGUAAAGCUAGUUUUUUUUUUUAAUAUAAGGUAAAGAUAUAGGCUGAGUUGCCCCUUUGUGACUAUUAAAGACUUGACUUCAUAGAGAGGCUAGUAAAUUGUAAUAUCAUUUUUCAAGCUCAUCGUUGUUAGAUAAUACUUCAUUGCAUGUUUUGCAUGACUGUCCAUUGGCAACGGUGAUUUGGAUGUAUAUGUUUGACAUCGAGAUUAGGAACGUUUUCUUUCCUUGUUCUUGGACUCAGUUGCUUAGGCUCAAUAUAGAGAACGAAUAUUUCACAUCGAGAUUAGGAUCGUUGUCUUUCCAUGUAAUUAGGCGGAGGGGGACAAGAGACCAGGUGGUUUUUCAUACAUGAACUUGGAAAAAGUGAUUAAGAAGGUUUUGCUUAAACAAAAUCAAACCUAAGUGACUUUUUUUAUGCAAUGUAUUAUUAUGUUGAUCCAUUGAUCUUUUCCUAUUGAAUUUAAGGGAUGAUGUUAAUGUAGUGUAUAGCAAGUAUAUUGAUACUAAUACGAUCGAGUUCAUUAUGAUAGAAGUGAACAUAUCUUGUGCAAGAAUUCUUAAACUAAAAUAGUGGUUCUUGCUAAUAUUAAAUGGAUUGAAUUCGACAAUUAUAUAUGGCAUGUAUUUAAAUAUUUAUUAGUUGAAUUUUACAGCUUUGAAUAAAACUAAUAGUUAUAUUAACACAACUUUUUUUUCCUGGAAUUCACUUGAUCAAUAACUGAAGUACAAAUUUUAAGUUUUUCUCUAUUUUCUAUCUAAAUGUAAUAGAAUAAAUCAUUUAAAACUAAGAUAAGGAAGUAUUUUCACUAGAAACCUUUGCAUAUAUGGCUCUUUUAUGUCAGUUCUAUAUAUAUAUAUAUAUAUAUAUAUAUUUUCUAGCACCGUAAAAAAAUGUCCUCAAUAUUGAGCACAUCCAUGAUCAUAUAUAGGUUGAGAUCCUUUAAGAGAAAUUAGAUUGUUUGUGAUCACAAUUUUAUCAACUCGUACAGUUAGCAACAAUUUGGAGUUGUUCGAUUAAGAUUGAACGACUCUAAUUCUAUGUUUGAUUUUAAAAUGGAUUCACAAAUAUAGCUUAAAAUAAGAGUCGGCCAAUAUUUGAUCAAAUUGCUCCGAGCUACCGAUUGAAUUAACCGUGAACGCGUGGAAAUUGGGCUUGCAUACAAUUCACAUGUAUGGUCCAAUAGAAAACUGAAAAUAAUAUCAACAUGAAAAAUAUGUAAUUUUGCAACUAAGAACAAUUGUGAACAUUUAAUAAAAAAAAGUGUAAACAAAAUCAAUUCACAAAUGUUUUUUUUUUCUUUUUUUUUUUACAAUCUCAAACUUAAUUUAAUAAAUCUAAAUUAGAUAUAGUGGUCAAAUUUAAGCUAAUAGACUAAUCAAACGAAAGGAAAUUCACAAGUGCCGACAAAUUGUUGUGGAAAAUGAAAAUACACAGAACCACAAGAAUAUUCAUGCAUAGUGCAAACAAAUUCUUGAUGAAAAAUUGUGUACGUAACUUUUAUAUUCCAAUUAUUUGCAUGUUGCUCUACAAACCCUAAAUACCACAUAAAUACGUAGAUACCAGAAACUUUUGAAAAUUAGGAUGAGACCAACAAAAGCCACACAAAAAGUAAUAAAUUAAAUACAUAAUUUAACAUACUUUUGAAAUGGGUAUUAGGGUAAAAGUAUCCUAAGAAUAUUGGUGUUUAAUAUUAGGGAUGUAAAGUGAGCCGACCAGUCCCGUUAAGGUUGUCCCAUCUAGGCCCACUUAAAAUGGAACAAGGUGAACCUAGUCGAAUUAGAUGGUCGAGUUCAAAAUUUCUCCUCAUCCUGUUUAAUGACGGACUGACGAGUUGGCGGGUAGAUCCGUCAAACAAAAACACUUUUUUUAAUGUAUUAUUUUACAACUUAUUUGUUAAAAAAAAAUGUUGCUUUUAUCAUAAAAAUAUAAAAAGAAUAGGCAUCAAAUAAAUUGUUGGGAAAAACAAGAUAAUUAACAAAAUCCUGAAUUCAACAUCAUAAUUAAUAACAUAAUAAGGUAAAUCAACCAAAUUAAAAUAAAUCUACAACAUAAAAUAAAUCCAAGAAUAAAUAAUUGUUAUUAUUCAUUAUAGUUAACUGCCUACAAUAAAACAAGAAGGUAAUUGACAUUGACCUUUCUUUUAGAAAUAUUUCUAUACAAGAUAAUGAUCAAGGGAAUAAUAAUAAAUCAAUAAAACAACUCGAGAAGCCACCGAUACAUGGAGAGAUACAUUGUGAUUUAUGAGUUACGGAUGAGGAAAAAUAGAGGCAAGUAUUGUAUCAAACAAAAUGCUACUAUGUUUUGUCCUAUACAAUUAUGCAACUCAAAUAAUAAUUGAUUAUUGCAUACCUGAAAUAGUAAAAAAUUGAAAACAAGUUAAGUGGGUUGGCCUGGCCCGCUUUGUGCCCACCUCGGUUUUUUUAAUGAGUUAGGCGAGGCAAACCAACUAUAAGAAACGAGUUCAAAACUUCAAUUCAGUCCGUUAAAAAUUGCGGACUAAACAGGCUAGAUCGAUAGGUUGGAUCCGUUUUACCACCCCUACUUAGAAAUAGUAAUCGUCAUAAAUGUGGCUUCCCGCGUUAGUUAGUUACCUAGUUCUCUUUCUCUAUAAAUAGUUGUUCAAAUGAUGUAAAUAAGGUCAUAUACUUGCAUUUUGAAGCGUACUCAUGAAUUUAAAACGGAUUUUAGUUCUCAGGAUCUGCCUUUACAUUUUGUGAUCAAACUUUUAUGUUUCUUUGCAAUUUAUGUUCAAGCAAUUUAAUUCCAAGUCCUUUAAACUUUCAAGCAUUUCUAUUUCAAAUCAUUUACUUUUUAGCAAACUAUACAUUUUGUACAAUCUAUGUUAUGUCAUUUUAAAGUUCCCUCUGAUGUCAUUUUAUUUUCAGUAAUUUGUAAGAUUGUCUUUAAUUUUUCGCAAAUUGUAUUUUCGUCUCAGUAUCUCUGUUGGUUCUUAAAAAAUACGUAAACUCUCACCAAUAAUUAUUCGAGUCAAGAACUUUAUUAAUCCACGCACACGCACUCACACACGCAAGGUCUCACAAGUUACCAAUUAGCUUGGCUAAGAUCCAAUGAUUACAUAGAUUAAACAUUCAUUUAUGGUCGGUUUGACAUGCUUCACCGUUAACCAAAACCGUCCUAAACAAUGAUAUAUGUAUACAUAUAGUUAGCAAAAUAAAUAAAAAUAGAAUUAAUCAUGUAUAUAAUUUUAAGCUUUGAAUAUUUUCUUUAGAUAUAAUAGCACAAGUUAAGUCUCAAUAUAGUUCAUCUCUAUCACCAAAAAGUUUAACCUUUGUCGAUGAAUGAACUAACCAAAGUUCAACUAAUCACAAGUUAAUCUCACUGUAGCUCAUUUGGUUCAGAAAAGAUGUAGAACGUUUGUCGACCAAUGAGCUAACCACAAUUCAAUUGUUCAUACGUUAAGCUUCAUUGUAGUUUGUCCGAUUCAAAAGAGAUCAAACCUUUGUCGACCAAUGAAGUUUAAAUACUUAAUUAAUGUGGUUUGAUUUAAUAUAAACAAUUGUAAUAAUUUUUAAUAUAAAAAUACAUUUAUCAUGUAAAAUUGUACCAUUAAUAUAUAAUAUACUUCUUUAAAAUGAAUACUACAAAAUCAUUUCCCAUUCCCCAUUUAGUCUCUUGACUCUAUGCAUUUCCCAACUUAUACGUUUUCCCAAUCUUUAAUUAUUUGGUUCCUAUCAAGUCAAGACAAACUUAUAUUGUGCAUUAUUUGUCUGUUCUUGGCAACUUUAAUUGUUAUCAUCUGCAUAAAAAAAUAUCACUUAUUUAGCCCCCAAAUGACCGGCUUCUCAACACCAAGUAAAGUCUACAGCAGCAUGCAUGAACCUAUAUUCACGAUAAGUGUGAUUGUUACAUAUUCUGGAUUUCCACCAAGUCCCGAAUUAAAGAGAAUGAGACUGUUUUGUAAGCAACCAUUAAGAUAAAAACCAUGGUCUAGAAAUAUAAGCGCCUUUUAAAUUGUUAAAUGUAUUCAAUUAUUAGGCUGAUGCUUUCAACUUAGUACACACCAAUGUUAUAGAAUUUGGUCACAAUAUUACGUCAUAUCGGUCUUUGUUCUCCUCUCAUUUUGCAAACUUUAGGAUGAAGUUUACUCGACCAACGAAUAUAUAUAUAUAUAUAUAUAUAUAUAUAUAUAUAUAUAUAUAUAUAUAUAUUAUUUUUUUUACUUUUUUUUUAUUUAUUUUUUGUCUUAAAUGAAGUGGUAAACCACUGAACUCACACAACUGUGAGGUCCCAGGUUCGAACCCGGGUCAUGAUGUCUGGCCUGCAAUUUCAGCAUUUUCUAGUUAAGCUAGAACUUCUAGACUUGUUACUCUUAUAUUUAAUGAAAUGCUAUAAACAUUUUUGACUUAAAAAAAAAAAAUUCAAUUAAUCAGUUCAUAAUGAUGGAACUCAUCAUCAGCAAGAGUUCCUAAAUUUAAGUUGUGAUUCUGGCAAAUCUUAAAUGGUUUAAGUAUAUGCAAUUGAUUAAUUAUAUGUCAAGCAUAAAAAAUUUCAUAGAGUUAAAUUUUGCAACUUCAAUCUAUACUCAUUUUUUUUAAUUGUUUUACUACUCAUUCUGUACUUUAAUAAGUGAUCAUUUUGUAAAAAAUUAUUGUUUUAAAAUAACUUAUCCAUUUUACUUUUUAAUGCAAUAUUAAUUACUUUUUUUCAAUUCAAUUUAUUUCCAAUUUAUUAUAUUUAUGCUAAUGGAAAAUGCACCAAUACUUAACAAAAGCACUUAAAAUCAUUUUCUCUAUCCUUCAUUUAUACAUUUAAUAAAUGUGAAAUGAGCAAAUGACUAAGUGAAUUUUUUUUUUGGUUACAAAUGACUAAGUGAAUUUAGGACCGAGGGAGUAUUAUUUUUGGGGAAAAAAACCAGAAUCAUUUCUGUUAAAUGUGAUGAAUCUGUUAUACCUUUUCUAAUAAUUGAGUUGAAUGAUAUAAAAUUAUAUUUUGAAUAUGUAGAGUAGAGUGCAGCUGCAGCAUAUAUAUAUUUUGGAUGGAUAAGUCUUGAUGAUAUCAGAUAGUGUUUCGUUGUGCGGCUUGCAUGAGCUCAAGAAUAAAACUUAUGGUGGAGGUCCACAAUCAUAUAUUUAUUGAUUUAGUGACCUUGCACUAAUAUUUGUCCAAUUAAAUUAAAUAGUCUUUAUAAUCGUGGAAAGGUUAUCGAAAGCUGCCAUGCAUGCAAAAUUUUAGUUUAAGAAGGGAUCUGGAUCUUCUGCUGUAACUGCUUUAUGCAGUAUAGAUCUCGACCAUAAAAAAGUGAUUCAUUGGUUCAGUUUUAUUUGAUAAAUUUUCACACAGUUUAAUUUUAACCAUUCGUUUUUAAUCGGACAAAUCAAUUCUCACCCCCACAAACUAAAAUGUACACUAUGUUGUUUGCUAUUAUCUUUUUUAAUUAAAAAAAAAUUAUUCUAGUUUUCUCAUAGAGUAUAUCAAAAAGUGGUGGCUUCACUAGUAUGCAUCAAUUAUUGUGUUAAGUUGGAAUUUUUUCAUUUUAAAAGAAAAAUAUCUCAGACUUUGUAAGCUUCCUUGUCUUUUCCUCUAUUAUCUUUUUCCACAAAUCCAAGAAACAUUGGCAAUAUUGCUAUUAAAGGUUAAAACCAUUGGCUUAUCCCUGUACACAACAUUCAAACACAAACUCAGAAAUGAGUGAUUCAAAACCACAUGCAGUGUUAAUUCCAUAUCCAGUUCAAGGCCAUAUCAAUCCAUUAAUCAAACUAGCAAAACUUCUUCACCUUAGAGGCUUUCACAUAACAUUCGUCAACACCGAAUACAAUCACAAACGCUUGCUCAAAUCAAGAGGUCCAAAUGCCUUUGUUGGUUUCACUGAUUUUACCUUUGAGGCUAUACCAGAUGGUCUACCUUCAAACGAAGGCGAUGGUGAUGGUGAUGUUAGUCAAGACAUAUAUGCUCUUUGUGAAUCAAUCAGAAAGAACUUCCUACAACCUUUUCGCGAACUUAUUUCUAGACUUAAUGACUCUGCCACUUCUGGUCUUGUCCCUCCGGUUACGUGCAUAAUUGCUGAUAAUAGCAUGUCUUUUACCAUACAAGCUGGUGAAGAACUUUCAAUCCCUGUUGUUUUCUUUAGUCCAGCCAAUGCAUGUACAUUUUGGACUGGUUUUCACUUACUUACAUUGUUUGAUAAAGGUGUCAUACCACUAAAAGGUAACGAUCAUUUAAUCUUCUUUCUUUCUUCAUAGGUGUAGUGUAGUUAAAGUGUUCAUAUGACAUGUAUUAGGAAUCUGGAGAUUUUAUUUCAAGCUAACAACUUUUGUAAAUUUGACAUGCAGAUGAGAGUUAUCUGACAAACGGAUAUUUGGAUACUAAAGUGGACUGUAUUCAAGGAUUGCAGAACUUUCGACUGAAGGAUCUUCCCGGCUAUAUAAGGAUUACAGAUCCAAAUGAUUGCAUAGUACAAUUUACAAUUGAAGCAGCAGGAAGGGCUCACAGAGCCUCUGCUUUUAUUUUUAAUACUUCUAAUGAACUUGAAAAGGAUGUAAUGAAUGUUCUCUCCUCGACGUUCCCUAAUAUUUGUGCUAUUGGUCCUUUAUCUUCACUUUUAAGUCAAAGUCCACAAAAUCACUUGGCAAGUUUAAGUACCAAUCUUUGGAAAGAAGAUACCAAGUGUCUUGAUUGGCUUGAAUCCAAGGAACCGAAGUCCGUUGUUUAUGUGAAUUUUGGGAGCAUGACCGUUAUGACUGCAGAAAAACUAUUAGAGUUUGCUUGGGGUUUGGCGAAUAGCAAGCAACCCUUUUUGUGGAUCAUUAGGCCUGAUCUUGUCAUUGGCGGCUCAGUUGUUUUGUCAUCAGAGUUUGUGAAUGAAAUUUCAGAUAGAGGCCUAAUCGCGAGCUGGUGUCCUCAAGAGCAAGUAUUAAACCACCCUUCAAUUGGCGGAUUCUUGACUCAUUGUGGAUGGAACUCAACCACUGAAAGCAUAUGUGCUGGAGUGCCAAUGUUGUGUUGGCCAUUUUUCGCGGAUCAGCCAGCAAACUGCAGAUAUAUAUGCAAUGAAUGGGAAAUUGGGAUGGAAAUUGACACCAAUGUGAAGAGAGAUGAGGUAGAGAAGCUGGUCAAUGAAUUGAUGGUGGGAGAGAAAGGAAAGAAAAUGAGGCAAAAGGCAAUUGAGUUGAAGAAGAAGGCAGAGGAGGACACGAGACCAGGAGGUUGUUCAUAUAUGAACUUGGACAAAGUGAUCAAUGAGGUGCUGCUGAAACAAAAUCAAACUUAAAAAAAAAAAAAUUAUGCAAAGAGUUUCUUAUUGAAUUUAAGUGAUGAUGUAAAUGAACUGAUCUUCAGCAAGAGAUGGUAAACUUAAAAUAACGAUUCUUGCUUAUCUUGAAUGGUUUGAAUAUAUGCACAUUGGAUAAUUAUAUAGCAGGUAUAUUAACCCUACAUCUUUAAAUUUGUUAAGUUGGGGGAAGUAAGAGUCCUUUCACAGUAUCUUGAAUUCCAUUAUCAUUUGAAUGAUUCAUUUUGUCAAAAAAUAAUUUUUCCUAUGUAUUCCAGUUCAAAUCAACAUUCUCCAAUAGCACAUAAUACUUAUAGUUUUGUUAAGGACAAGUAAUUUGUUGAGAUUAAUAGGCAUGCUUUGACGGUGUAAAACUUUUAUAUACCAAUCAAAUCACGCUAAAUGUUAUUUUUAGAGAUAUUUGAAGAACUAACCGACAAAAUUGACAUAAUUAUGCGACUUUUUUUUAAGAAAUAAUGAUGUGAUUGGUGUAAACAUGUUUCUCAUUGAGUCCACUAACGAAUACCUCCUUCUCAUUUUUUUAAAAAUUCUCAGGUAAUCUUUCGAUUAUUCUCCGUUUCUCUUCCUUUGUUGUUGUUGUUGUGGUUUAGGGUUUAUGGAACGACUUUUAGUUUUGAUUUAGGUUUCUGUCGUUACUGUUAGUAGAAAGUGCAGGUUAGCAUGUACGUGAACCCAGUUCGUGAAUUUCUGGCAUGAUGUUGUGUGGUAGAUUUGGAACUCCCGCAAUGAUUUGAUCUUUGCUCGAGAAACAACCAAACUCUUUUCAAAUAUUUAUACUAUAUUUGUCAUUCAAACAAAAAAAAAAUCACGAAUUCUUAGUUUAGGUAAGGAUGGUUAGAGUAUUUGGGAUGUAGUUUGUGUCGAUUUUGUAACCAAAACACAUUAGAUACAAAGUGGUUACAAGAAAUUAGAUCUAAGAGCUCACAUGAACAAUCACUAAUAUCCCCGCAUAGAGAACCUUGGAGAAAACAAGAGAGAAUUUUUUUUUUUAUCCUUAAUCUAACGAAUCUCACUAAUCAAGGUGUUCAGAAAGUGUUUCCCAAUUCAAGAAUCUCACCCAAAAACACUUGCCCUUAGCAGUUAAGUUCUUUCCUUUUGUUUGACAAGAUUACACAAAAAAAUAAAGAAUGCUUAAAUAAGGUCAAAAACCCAAUCCAAAAUCGCCUCACAAUUUUGCACAUCGUGGUGCAAUCCAACCAAGUAGAAAGAGCCAUUGCACCAAACUUCACGAUCAUCGGGGCACAAUUUUGACACUAAAAAAACUUGGAAAUUUUGAGUCAUACCAAGAAAUCUCAAACUAUAUCUAAAAAAUACAUGCAUGGCAUUCCAACCAUUCAGUGGAAGAUAUCAUCAAACAGUAUAUGAUUGUGGAUAUUCACCCUCAUAAUUUUCAAUUUUUACUUGAAUUGCAAGUAUAAUAUAUAUUUCUCAUAUCAAAGAUUCUGGUUUUACAGAGGAAAACAUUUUCAAAUUGAUUAAGCAACAAAGACCACUCAUUAUUUUGUCAUAUAUAGUCUAUUGGUUAUUAUUUACCCAUGUCUGAAUCCGGCAAAUUUUGGAUAUCGCCAAAAUAUCAGCCCCUCCAAGAAUUUGGACACAUAAUAAAGAACAGAAUUUUUUUGUCUUUCAACAAGGACUAUAGAUUCUCUCCAAAGUCACAAUUACAUAAAAGCCAAAUUUUCCAAUCAAGAGUGUGGAUGUAUUUUAAUACUUUAUUAUGGGCCAUAAUUUUUGGGUAUAUGAGGUAUCAGCUCGGGACAAAAGGUAUUUCAUAAAAUGGUUAUUAUUGUCACUUUAGAAUGAAGACUCAAUUCGGUCCUUCACAAAAAAUUUGUGGGCCAAUUUAGUCUCUAACAAAAAAUAAACCCAAAAUAGUCCUUCUAUUUUAAUAUUGACGAGAAAUUAGAACGUAACUCUUUGUAUUAGAGUAACUAAUUUGUCCGUUGUAUGAAAAUCCCAAGGAAUAAUUUGGAUUUAUUUUUUGUGAGGGAUUAAAUUGGUCAGCGAGAAAUUGUGAGGGACUGAAUUGGAGCUUCACUCUUAAUAGUAAUUCCUUAUUUUCCUUAACAAGAAAAUUCAUUUUCAAUAUCCAAUGUGCUUUGAGAAAUGUUUAAGAACCGGGGAUCUCUGGUGCAGAAAGUUUCACUGGUUCGAUCUCUGAUCCCAGCUUUUAAACAUUGCUUGGUAUGUUACAGAGCUUUUUUCCUUCUUGGAAUUCAUUCAAUGAAUAAAAGAAUUACAAAUGUUAUGCUAUCCUCUAUUUUCUCUCUAAAUUCAAUAGAUUAAAUCAUUUAAAAGAAAGACAAGGAAGGAUCUUCACUAUAUAUGAGUUAAACAUAUAUAUGAUAUUCUUACCUUUAUAAAUCUGUUAUCAAUUAGAAAAAUUUAAUUUUAAUUUAAUUUAAUACUAAUACACAGAGAAAAAAGAUUUUAAUAUAGUACAAACUAAUUAAAUGAAUUAGUUUAUGUUAGCUUUGUAUCACAUAAAUCUGGUAUCAAGUAAUUGUGGAAGGAGCCUUGUUCCAAACUUCAAUUAUAUGAAGUUUCAUCCUAAUCAGGCUGUAGAAAAAAUAUUUGAAGCUUCACAUAAUGUUAAUUGAUGACACACUGCCAUAACAAUAUUUUUGUUAAAGCACGCACAUUGCGCAGUUGAAGAAAACACAGGACAGGCCCGCCUCAUGUGCAUCCCACAGAAGCACCGGCGCAUCGCGCAGGGUGUUCAAGUUUGGGACUGUGCAUCGCACACAACACUCCCUGAAUUGGGUGAUUUUGCUUUCUCUAUUUACAAAGCUGAGAAGCUUUAUUUUCAGGAAGUCAAGGUUGAAGAUUGAACUAAGAAACAAGAUUGAAGCAACUUUGUUAUCAAUUUAUUCAUGAGUGAUUUCUUUAAAUUAGGAUGGUAGAUAAACUUUUGUGAUCAGCUUGAACCAUGUAAUCGUUGAUUACUCUUUUAUGCAAUUGCAAUCUAAGAUAAACUCUGAAUAUGAACUUAGAAAUUUAUUACUUUGAUUGACGAUUUGGUACACUUACCAAUAAUCCACCAAUAAACCCAAAUUAAAUAUUGAAACAAUACAUAGUUAAAAAUACAGUACAUCAAAGCAUAGUAAUGGCCUAAAAAUUUCGAUACGACCUCCUGGCUUAAUUUUGUUUAAGCAACACAUCCUUAAUAACUUUGUUCAAGUUCAUGUAUGAACAACCACCUGGUCUAGUGUUCUCCUCUGCCUUCUUCUUCAACUCCAUGGCCUUUUGCUUCAUUUUCUUUCCUUUAUCUCCGGCUAUCACUUCAUUGAUCAGCUUUGCCAACUCCUCUCUCUUCACAUUCGUAUCGAUUUCCAUACCAAUCUCCCAUUCAUUACAAAUAAAUCUACAGUCUGUUGGCUGGUCGGCAAAAAAUGGCCAACACAACAUUGGCACUCCAGCGCAUAUACUUUCAGUGGUUGAAUUCCAUCCGCAAUGAGUCAAGAAUCCUCCGAUUGAAGGGUGGUUCAACACUUUGUCUUGUGGACACCAACUUGCUAUUAGGCCUCUAUCUGCAAUUUCAUUUGUAAACUCAGAUGAGAAAAUCACUGAGCCACCAAUGACAAGAUCAGGCCUUAUGAUCCACAAAAAUGAUUUCUUGCAAUUGGCCAAACCCCAAGCAAAUUCCAGUAAUUGCUCGGGUGUCAUAACUGUAAUGCUGCCGAAAUUCACAUAAACAACUGAUCCCGGCUCCUUGGAUUCAAGCCAAUCAAGACACUCUGUAUCUUCUUUCCAAAGGUUGGAAUCUAAAGAGUCCAAUUGAUGAAUUUGUGGAGUUUGUUUUAAUAAUGAAGGUAAAGGGCCAAUCGGAUAAAUAGAAGGAAUUGUGGAGGAGAGAGCAUUUAUUACAUCACUCUCAAGUUCAUUGAAAGUAUUCAAAAGAAUAGUAGUGUCUUUGUUAACUCGAUCUGCAACUUCUAUAAAGAAUUCUAACAUAAUAUCAUUUGGAUUUGUUGUCCUGAUAAAGUCAACGAUGUCCUUCAACCGAAAGUUUUUCAAACCGGGAAUCCAAUCUACUUUAGUUUCCAAACAUCCAUUUGUUAGAUAACUCUCAUCUGCAUAUCAUAAGGACGAAAGUUAAUAGCUUGAAGGUUCAUACACACAGAUAUAUAAGGUGUUACACAUUUAAUAAAAGUUAUUUGUUGAAGAAUAAAUUUUAUUUUUGAACUUUUUAAAUUUUAUUUUUUUUGAAGGAAACUUUUUAAAUAAUUUGACAGUUGGAUUGUUAUUAACUGGAUUAACUAAUCUGUGAGUUAUAAACUCCGGUAAGAGUUUGACCUUGUAAAUUCAGGUAGUUGAAAUACUUUUGUAAACAAUUGUAAAAUUAUGAUCGGUAAUAAUUUUCCCCUUUACUAAAUUUUAAAAAAUAAAAUGGAAUAACAUUAUGUCAAGACUAUAACUCUUGGAGUAAUUUAAUUUGUAUAUAUAUAUAUAUAUAUAUAGAGAGAGAGAGAAUAAACUUAGUACCUUUGAAUGGUAUGAUACCUCUUUCUACAAAGGAACGAAAGUGCAUAACAUUCAAUAAAGAACAUGCACUUGAUGAAAAAUAGAGAACAUUUGGGAGUUCAAAUUCUUCAGCAGCUUGUAUAGUAAAGCUCAUACAACAAUCAGAAACUAAGCAAGUAACUGGUGGAACAUUGGUAGAGUGGUUAAGUCUUGUAAGAAGUUCACAAUAGGGUUUAAGGAAGUUCUUUCUUACUGAUUGACAAAGAGUUGGUACAUCUUGACUAACAUCACCAUCACCUUCCAUUGGUGUUAAACCAUCUGGAAUGCUCUCAAAGUUAAAGUCCGUGAAACCAUCAAAAGCCUUUGGACCUCUUGAUUUGAGCAAGCGUUUGUGAUUGUAUUCGGUGUUAACAAAGGUUAUGUGAAAGCCUCUAAGGUGAAGAAGCUUUGCUAGUUUGAACAAUGGAUUGAUAUGGCCUUGAACUGGAUAUGGAAUCAUCACAACAUGUGGUUUUCUGUUUGCAAAGUUUCCC